rnacentral:lncRNA from 1 species
AGUCUACAAGUAUAAGUCACCACCACCUCCUUCCCCAAUUUACAAGUCACCAUCACCACCUUCUCCAGUAUACAAAUUACCUCCACCACCUCCUCCAGUUUACAAAUCUCCACCACCAUCAAUUUAUAAAUACAAGUCUCCUCCACUACCUCCUCCAGUGUACAAGUCAUCACCACCACCUGCUUACAAGUCUCCACCUCUUCCAGUUUACAGUUCCCCACCACCACCAAUCUACAAGUCUCCACCUCCACCCUACCAUUACUACUACAAUUCUCCUCCUCCUCCUCCUCGUCACUACUAAGCAAUUGUAUGCAAGUUUUUGAGGUAAUAACGCUUAACCAAUAAACUAACUUUCGCAUGAUAAAACUUAUCUCUAUCAAGACAAACUGCCAUGUGUAUCAUGCCAAAUACGUACACCUAGAUCCAUGAAAAUGAAUGGUAGAAAAUUUUCUUAAGAACUAAGGAACAGCAUUAGUAUUCCCUCUGCUUCCAAAAACUUGUGUAUUAAAUAGAUUAAUGAAUUGUUUAACAUGCUCAUUUACUUGAAAAUACACAAUACCCAUAACCUACUGAAUUUUUUGCAGGAAAAGGGAAAGACAAUCUGUGUUUGAGAGCUUCAUGAAGAUGUUGAAGAAUAAGAAUAAAAGCCCAAUGCGAGGAUGUUUCAAGUUUUUCUAUGUUUCCACUUUAAUUUGUAAAUUGAAUUUUGUGACUCAAUUAAUUCCCUGUUUGUGGGGUACGUGUUGUUUUACGUACCAUGCCGUACAGGUUUGUAAGGAUUUCUAUCCUAUUGGCAAAAGUCGGUUCCAUACAAUUAAUCAAUUCAUUUCACUUCUAUUGGCUCUACUAUUUAUGCAUGUUACGACAUUUUUUCUCUCUUUCCCUUAUAUUUUGCCUUUAAUAUUAUUGAAUCAAUAUUAAUAAUGGGCCUUUUUCUUAAAAUUAUACUAUUAUACAUAGGUUGUUUGGUCUAACGCUAAAUUCAUGUUUGUCUUUCUUUUAUUCCCUUUACAUCUCAAAGUAUACUAUAGUUUGUAAUCAUUGUGGUGAUGAUAUUGCCAGCUGGUACUUAUAGUUUAAGGCAGAGACAUGAUAUUAACAACUAUCUCAUUGAAACAUAAAGAAAAAUCAUGACAAGUGUGAGUCUUGGUUAAUGCACAAUUUGUUAGUGGAAUUUAUAUUUAUAAAACUCAAAAAAAAAUUUUGACAAUGCUAUUACUAAUUAAUUAAGGACUUUAUUGCUAUAAUUUAUCGCUUACUAGUUUAAACUAUAAAUGAUCUCAAUACUUUUCUCCAUGAUGUCGAUUUCUUUAGAUUACGAAAGGGAAAAAUUAGUGACAUAUCCCUUACUGAUUACAACAUCAGCAAAAAUUAGUUAUAAAUUUUUCCGGUGGUUUUAAAUCCCUCGGGCACUAAGAUUUUUUGCACAUCGAGUGAAUUGAGGAACAUAGGCAAUUCGUUCUGCAUACCAAGUCCUUGUUUAAGAUGCAAGUACUAAAAUGCAUCCACUUCAUUAAUUUGGGAAAUUGCCAUAGUUUUUUUUAAGCAUUUUGAUUUUUUACAUGAUUCAAAAUUUUCUUAUUGGAUACAAUCACUUUGUAUCAAGAACAUUUUCAAUCAUCCUUUUUAUCUUCUCAAUAAGAAAAUAAAAAUUUAUUCAUGCUUUUCUAACAUAUCCAAUCAUUGAUCUGAAAAAUAAAGAAUUUAAAAAAAAAGACAUUUUCAAUCAUUGCUUACAGGGCAACUUCCCCAUGUGAACCUCUUCAAACAAAGCCAAUAAUAUGAAGGAACAUCUAAAUACACUUUUGCCCUAAAGGCUGGUUGCCUUGGGGUCAAAAUUUAACCUUCGGGAGUAUAAUUACCCUGCCAAAUUUAUUAUUUUUUAUGGGUAUAUAGUUCCAAUUUUUCCUCCUGUUAAGCUUAUAAAUAUAUUAUCACCCAGAAAAUAAAGGAAUCUUGAAUACUAACAUGUCCAUUUACUUGAGUUGUCAUCAAUUUGGCUACUUCGAUUCCAUGAGGGCAAUCCAAUUCACACUUGCUAGAGAAAAUGGUGAUAAAGGCACAAAGAAAAUUAUAUGUAAUAUUGAUUGGUAGUAACCACCUUGUAUUGAUCCCACUAUUGUGGAUACUCGUGCUCUUAUGAAAAAAAAUUAUAAAAAAUUAGCAAAAUUUAAAAGAACAAAGUAAAUUUAUUCGUACAAAUCAGUCAAAGAAGUAGCAUUUUAAAGACCAUGAUGAAAUUAAUACUUUCAAGGUCUCUAUUAGGAAGACUUCCUUUGUUGGUGAAACUACACUAGGUACGGUUACAUGCAGAUGUUUACUGUUUUGGUACCUAAUUUCCUUGCCUUGAGUUGGGUGCAGAUGUUUAUAUUACAAAUAGAUGGUAUCAUAAAUUUGUUGUAUUAACGUCUGUUCUUUUUUUUCUUCCUUAAGUUUUUUUCUUUAUUCUCGUGACUUCAAAAAUACGAACUCAAGAAAUUAACUGCUUCGACAUUAAGGUAUAACUUCACAACUAGAGCCAAUAGAAAUCGUCAAAUGAUUUUUUGACAUCCAAAUUAAGCAAUAAAUUUUGUUUUCAUUUCACGGGAGAUUUUAUAGUUUCUUUUGGGUAUCAUACCUACAAGUGAUAAUUGUCAUUGGAUAGUGAAAGAAGUGUUAAUGAUUGUAAGAUUAAAUAUUGAAAAUUUAAACUAUUUAUCUUUAUUGAGAGAUACAACUUAAAGAAUCGUAUCCAAAAGAGACUAUAGAAUUUUCUCUGUUUUUCAUCAUCUGUAGACAUAAACUUUCUACGGUUGAUGUACUAUAAGGAAAUUUUGCCUAUACAAUGUGAUACCAUUUUUUCAAAAAGACAAGAUGGCAAAUUGCCCCCUUGAACGGAAAAAAUCAUGAUCUUUCCUCAAACUAGUCUACUUGUCAAUUCUUUGAAAAAGAAUACACUGCCCCGCAGAAUUCUAGAAAGUUAGGCAAAACUAGACAAGUUGACAGCUAUAAUCAUACCCAAGAUCAGGAACAAGCAGUUACACAUUUCAAAAUUCGCUGCUGCAACAACUAAUUUGAUGACUUACAACACUAAAUGGUCAAACUUUGAAUGGCAAUGAAUCUUUUGUUGUACAUCAUGAUGUAAUUUUCAUGUUACAUAAUAGAUUGAUAUCUAUGUUCUUUAAAUUAUCAUAAUAAUUAAAUUUAACUGAUAAAAAGAACACAUAUCAAUACACAAAAGUGUGUAACGUGAAUGUUAUAUUAGUGUAUUGCAGAAGACCUAUAGUCUCUUCACAUCUCUUCCUGCAUCUUUUAUGUUUUAUUACCUCCAAAAGCCUUUACAGGGUCUUUACCCUAAAAAUCAAUUCACCGACUCGCAUUUGAUGUCAGAAAUUCUUAAGACGAAUUCUACUUUACUCAAAGAUUGACUGUUAAUAAUGAGACAACGACCAUUUUGUAUUAUUACACCGUCCUUCUUGAUAGGCAAAAGAAAUAGAGAGGAAAGCGGGUCCGUAUAUGGUCUUUUAUUCAUAGAUAAUACAACAUUACGCCAUCGAGCAUUCACACAAUAUUUCAAAGUCAUUGCAUGCCUAAAGCCCCGCUUGAUAAUCCAAUUUCAUACUUAAAUUUAAUGGAUUCAAAUUUUAACACAUUCAAAUUGUUUGAUAACAAAAAAUUGAACGUCUAAAUUAAUUAAGUAACACUAAAUUUUUUAGACAAAACUUGCUCCCAAAAUUAAGUGAUAAGCUAUAUCACUUAUCACUGAAUGUGAUAUGCAUUCAAAUGUAUUAUAUUUAAUACUUAAUAAUUUAAUAAUUUAAUGGAUUCAAAAUUCAGAUUUUAGAUUUCAGUUUUAUCAAACAUACCCUAAGUUGCAAAAUAAUACCAAAACUUGUUAUUAUAUAGCUUGAGAUUCAAAAAUUUAGAGCAUAAUUCUCAACCUAACACAAUUGAAUAAUGAAUAUUCACGAUUGUCAAAUCUAUCAAAGUACAAUUUGAGGACAACCCAUUCCAACGCGUACACAAUUUCUCACUUUUCUAAAGUUGUUGAGAGCUGUUAAAAGAGAUUUACCAUGUUUACAUCUUCCAAGUCUUGGGAGUAAAAAAUGAAGCCACCGAGUGCUAUAAAAAGGGGGCUAGAGGCUGCCUAGAAGCAUAUCAGCCUAAAACAAGAAUUUGUAGUAACAAUGGGGAGCAAAGCAAAAGCAACGGGGUCUAGGCUGACUCCUCUUCUUACCACUGUUUUAGUGGUAUUUGUCGCCCUUGGCUUGCCCUUGGAAACUGCAGCUGAUUAUUACAAGUAUUCAUCUCCUCCUCCUCCUCCUUACCACUAUUCUUCACCACCACCUCCAGUGUAUUCACCUCCACCAACCCCUGCUUAUAAGUUACCCCCACCAUCUCCUCCAGUUUACAAGUCCUCACCACCACCUUACCACUACUCACCACCUCCGGUGUAUUUACCUCCACCAUCUCCAGUUUACAAGUCACCACCACUACCCCCUCCGGUAUACAACUCCCCGCCUCCACCAGUGUACAAAUACAAGUCCCCACCACCACCUCCUCCAGUUUACAAAUCUCCACCGCCACCAGUUUACAAAUACAAGUCACUCCCACCACCUCCUCCGGUAUACAAGUCUCCUCCGCCACCUGUUUACGAGUACAAGUCUCCUCCACCACCUCCUCCAGUGUACAAGUCCCCACCACCUCCAGUUUACAAGUACAACUCACCUCCACCUCCUCCCCCAGUUUACCUGUCUCCACCUCCACCCUAUCAUCACUACUACGGUUCUCCUUCUCCUCACCACUACUAAGCAAGUGCAUAAGUUUUGAGGUAAUAAUACCUAUCCAAAACUUUAUCAACACAAACUGCCAUGUAUAUCAUGCUAAGGACGUACACUUGAUCCAUGAAAAUGACUAGUAGAAGAUUUUUUUUAAGAACCAAAGAAAUACAUUAUUUUUUCGGUCUGUUUUCAAGAAUUUGAGCAGUAUACAGAUUAAAGAGUGUUUUUUUUUUUGUAAACUUGCUUGUCAACUUAAAAAUGCACAUAGCUGAAAGCCAACUGAAUAUUUGCAGGCAAAGGAGAAGGCAAUCGGUGUUUGAGACCUUCAAGAAGAUGUAGAAGAAUAAGAAUAAAAGCCCAAUGCGAGGAUGAUUCCAAGUUUCUACGUUACCAUUUCUACAUCUAAAUUGACUUUAGCUCCUGAGUUCCAUGUUUAUGGGGUUUGUACCGUUUUACGUACCAUGCAGUACAUGCUUGCAAGGUUUUCUGUCCUGUUGGCAAACUGCAGGUCCAUAUAAUAAAUGAAUACUAUUUACAUUACGACACUUUUCUCUUUUUCUCUUAUAUUUUGUCUUUAAUAUUGUUGAUCAUUUUUUUUUUAUCAAAAGCAUCAAAUGCUUAGGUAAUUUGGUCUAAUGCUAAUUGUUUUACUUUUAUUUUUCACCUACACCCCUUUUCAACUCAAAGGAUGCUAUAGUUUGUGAUAAUUGUUUAAGACCGAAGCAUGAUACUAAUAAAUAUCUCAUUGAAAGUCAAGGAAACUAACAUUAGGAAAAGUUUAAAUCUUGAUUUGAUGAAACUAUUUAUUCGUGGAAUUUAGAGAUACAAAACUCAAAUUGUGACGGUGUUGUUGCUAAAUUAUUAAGGACAUUAUCACCAUUAUUUUUCCCUGAUCACUAGUUUCAACUGCAAUGAUCUCAAUCUUUUUGUGACUAAUUCUUUCCUUAAUAAUUUAUAAAGACAAAACUCACAAAGAAUAUGUGACUAAUUCUUUCCUUUCGUCUUCUAAAGAAAAUGCCAACUGUUAGUUUAUCAAGGGGAAAAAGGAUCGACAUCAGUUAUUAUUGAAACUAGUAAGGAAUAAAUAAUGGUGAUAAUGUCCUUAAUAAUUUAACAACAGCACCAUCAGAAUUUGACUUUGAGCUUCGGUCUUAAACAAUGAUCACAAACUACAGCAUCCUUUGAGUUGAAAAAGGAAGUAGGUGAAAAGAAAAGUAAAAAAUACAAUUAGCAUUCCCUCAAAUUGUAGAAAGUUAGGUAGCAUUAUAGACAAGUUGAUAGCGGCAAUUUUACAUUUCAAACUUCACCUAUUCAAUAACUAAUUCGAUGGCUUGCUACAUGGUCAAUCUUUGGACCCCUUCCUGCCUCCAGAUAUCCCUUUCCUCAAUCAGGGGCUUCUACAAUUACCAGUUUCAAUUGUAUGGUAUAGUGUAAAUAUCAACAAAUUAGAUGUAGAUGCUAACAUAAUAAAUGUGAAUGCUAAGACAGCAACAUACAAUCGAACCUGCAAUUGUAUGAACCCCAAUCUCGCUUCCUAGUCCACCAUCUUUCUCUAGGUAAUAAUCUCCCUUCUAAUUUAUUCACAAAAUGCACCUUUCAUCACCUCCAAUAGCGUCGACAUGAUCUUUACCCUAGAAGACUAUUCACCGACUCUCAAUUGACGUCAGAAAAUCUAAGAGUAAUUCUACUUUACCCUAAGAUUGAUAUCAACAAGACAAGGACAAUUUAGAAUUAUUACACGCCUCUUCUUAAUAGGAAAAAGAAAUAGAGAAGAAAGUCAGGCCAGGUCUAAUUUCUUUUCAAAGGCAAUACAACAUUACGAAAUCAAGCAUUCAUUCAUACAAAUAUUUCAUAGUCACCGGUUUGCUGAGUAGAAAAAUUUAGACAAAAACUUAAUAUUAUAUUGUUUAAGAGUUAACAAUUUAGAGCUUAAUCUCCUUGUACUUUGGAGUUAACAAUUUAGAGCUUAAUCUCCUUGUACUUUGGACUAAACUUGAACGUGAAAGGAAAUCCCAAAACCAUAUUGGGCAUGAAUUCACACUUAAUAUACCCAAUAAAAGAUGGCGACUGGUGAAAGGCAGUGGAGACUGGUGGAGAGAUUUGAGGAAUAGAAGCAGACGGAAAAGCAACAAAUUUUUGCCGAAAAACGGUCACUUUCAUGGUUAAUUUUGCUACUCUCCAAUUGUACUUGACCAAUUACAACAAUUUCAUGGAGUUUGAUACGUGAAAAGAAUUUUUUAUAAAUUUUAUUUUGAUCCAUAAUGUUAUCUUUACAUAUAUAAAACAUUUUACAAUUUUGAUUUUGGCGCAGCUAACUUUUGGUUAACAAAAAUGCUCAUGUUUAAAAAACCAGAAAUAAAACAAAACAAGAAACAAAAGAAAUAAGAGGGUAGCAUAGACAUUUUGGAUUUUUCCGUUAAUUUGGAUGAUUUCCACCCACGUUCUAAUUUAAUCCAAAACACAAAGGAAUUACGUAGAGGUUUUAAAUAAUCAGGGAGCUUCAUGAUCGAACCCCAAACCACGUGAUAGCAUACAAGAGUUCUAUUUCACUAUCGGUAGACAAAGACUUUCUAUGGUUGAUGUACCGUAGGAAAAAAUCUGCCUAUACAACGUGAUAGCAUUUUUUCAAAAACACAAGAUGGAAAAUUGCCCCCUUAAACGUGGAAAUUCAUGAUCUUUCCUCGAACAAAGAAUACUCACGCCUAUUCAAGAUGGAAAAUUGCCCCCUUAAACGUCUAUUUGUCAAUUCUUGAAAAAAGAAUACUCACGCCUAAAACACGGCCUCUUCAUCUGCAGAAUUCUAAAAAGUUACGUAAACUCUAUAAACAAGUUGAUAGGUACAAUCGUACCCAAGAUCAAGUACAGAUAGUUGUACAUUCACUGCUGCAAUAACUAAUCUGAUGACUUACAAACAUAUCAUGGUCAAUCGUUGAAUGGUAAUGAGUCUUUUGUUAUGCAUUAGUAUUAGUGUGUACACUCUAAUAGAUUGAUACUUAUACUCUUUAAAUUAUCAUAAUAAUACCCUUAAUUAACUUUAACUCUUAAAAAGAAUACGUGUUAAUACACGAGAGUGUGUAACCUGAAUUGUUACUUAUACAUUAGUGUGUAAUAGAUAGGGAUGGCAGUGAGGGCGAGUGCCCGCGGGGGGCUCUCGGGGCGGGGGCGGGGGAGAAUUUUUUCCCCCCGUUUAGAAACGGGGCAGGGGACGGGGGAGUAUACCCCCGCCCCAUCCCCCGCCCCGCCACCCGCAAAAAAAAUUAUAUAUAUAUAAUUAUAUAUAAUAUGUAAUUUAAUUAGUUAUAAACUUAUGAUAAUGAUAUUAUUAGUUAGAUGUAUUAUAUAAUGUAUAUUAGUGUAUGUAAUAUAAUUAAUAUUAUCAAUUAUACGAAUAAUUAGACAUGUCCACUAAUAGAGUUUAUUAAUUAGUUAUACUAAAUUUACUAAUACAUUUGUACUAAAUUUCUAAUUACACUUAAUAGAAUAACACUUUUUUCUAAAAAAAAAAGCACAAACACAAUAAUGAAUUAGUGAUUGUAUUUGUACCAAAAGUGAAAACUUAACUAUUUUAGUUGUAUUUAUUUCAUCAUGUUGGAUUGUAUUCAAAUAAUUUUUGUUUGAUUGUUUUUAUGAGUUUCAAUUGUAAAAUUAAAAUGAAUAAUAACUUGAUGAUGUGUUGAUAUUUUAGUACUUGAUUAUUUAUUGAUUUAACUAUAAUAAAAUUUUAUUUUAUUAAAAUUUAACUAUAAUAAAAUUUUAUUAACCAAACGAGUUAUUAAUCCCGCGGGGGCACCCACGGGGGAAGCGGGGCGGGGCGGGGGAGUGGGAGGCGGGGGACGGGGCGGGGGUGGGGGGAGUUGUAGGUAGCGGGGCGGGGGAUGGGGGAGGGGUCCCCCGCCCCAACCCCGCCAUCCCCCGCCCCGUUGCCAUCCCUAGUAAUAGACUGGCAAGCAUUGUGGUGGUCAUUGAGAACUUACUGGAGAAAUAGUCCUAUAAGCUGUUCAAUGAGCAAUCACAACUUGCUAAUUGGAUGACUAAUAUAGCUCUAGCUGUAAUGUUUUAAUUAAAUUACAUCACUAACGUUGGGAUGACUUUUUAACCAAAAAAAAAUGCCUUAGUUCAAGCUUUUCCCUUUAUUGUGCAUUUUUUAAAGCAUUUGAUAGGCACUGCAAAUCUGUCAUUUUGGACAUUUUAUUAUUGACUAACAAUGAAAGCCGUGACGUCUACCCAUAACCAACACAAGAUUAAAUUAAUAUUAGAAAAAAUAAUUGAGUAAUUGGAAAAAAAAAAAGAGACUCAUUUUCAUUGAAACCCACCGACAAACUAAACGUGUCCAUGGCUUUUGAAUAGUGCAUUCAACGUUUAAUUGUAUAGUCCAGUUCAUUGCAGAUUACAUGGAGUAAAGAUUGUGCUCUUUCCUUUUUCACCCCUUUUGGAAUCGAUACUGUGGAGAAUUGGGUUUUUCCCUUCUUUUUUUCUUUUCUUUCCUUCUGUGCUUUGCAAAACAUAGGUAAAAAUAUGAAAUCCGAAGCAUUCUUUAAUUGGGAUUAAGUAUUGUUGUUGAAAUUAAAAAGAAAAAAGAAAGAACAACAAAAUUCCCAAUCUGGGUUGAUUGUUGAGCUCUAGAUUGGUUGCAUCGUGCUUCCAUAGAAGCUCUCUUAGUGUGAUACACUGCUUUCAAUCAGUUUAACACGGGAAAAAAAAAAAAAGAGAUGAAAAGCAAAUUUGGUGGGGAUAAUUUCAGAAACCUCCCCUGAAGAUUUUGACUAUUCUACUGGUCUCCCUUCAGAUUUUAAAAAUUACACUAAUCUUCCUUGAAGUUAAUUAUCUUGUAACAUUUAAAUUCAAUCAAUAAUUUAAAAAAUGAUAUUAUGAGAGAGAAAAUAAUGAUUUUAUCAUUGCCCCCCAUCUUACUACAUUAUUUAAUUAAUUUAAUAGCAACCCACACAUUAAAGAAAAAUAUUAAAAUUUGUUGUUUAUCAUUAAAGAUCAAAUCGCUUAUAACAUCAAAUAAUAGUAUAUUAUUUAUAUUUUUCACUCAAUAUAAUAUCCAAAUUACUCUUUUCAAUUACAUACCCAUUGUUAGACAAUCAACAACAAAUAACCAAAAAAUUUGCAACCAAAAUAUUACAAAAAAAUAAACUUUAACAUAUAAAUAUUCUUAUCAACAUAUUAAAGUUAGUUACUGAAAUUUUUAUGCUGUUAAACUUCACUCUUUUUGGUUACAGAUUUUUUUGAUUAUUUGUUAUUAAUUAUGUUUGAUGAUGGAUUUAUAAUUGAAAAGAACAAUUUGAAACUUACAUUAAGUAAAAUAUAUAGAGUGAUAUACUAUUUUUUAUAACAUAUGUGAUUCAAUCCUUCUUGAUAGGAUUGGUAAUAGAGGUAGAGGGGGGAGCCGGCUGCAUCCGGUCUACUUUUCAUAGAUAGUACAAUAUUGCGAAAUCGAUCGCAUUCACGCAAUAUUAUUUCCAAGUCAUUGCAUGGCUAAGCUGCAAAAAAAGUACGAACACAUGUUAUUAUAUAGCUUACGAUUCAAAACUUUAGAGCAUAACCCUCCACCUAACACAAUUGAAUAAUGAACAUUCACGUUUGUCAAAUCUGUCAAAGCACAGUUUGAGGACAACCCAUUCCAACCUGCAAAAGAUUUUUUACUUUUCUAAAGUUGUUGAGAGCUGUAAAAAGACUUACCAUGCUUGCAUCCUCCGAGCCUUGGGAGUUAAAAAUGAAGGCACUGAGUGCUAUAAAAAGGGGAAUAGAGGCUGCCUAGAAGCAUAUCAGCCUAAAACAAGAAUUUGUAGUUAAGAUGGGAAGCAAAGCAAAAGCAAUGGGGUCUGGGCUGACUCCUCUUCUUGCCACUGUUUUAGUGGUGUUUGUUGCUCUUGGCUUGCCCUCACAAACUGCAGCUGAUGAUCACUACAAGUAUUCAUCUCCUCCUCCUCCUUACCACUAUCCCUCACCACCACCACCAGUGCAUAUACCUCCACCUCAUCCUGUUUACAAGUACAAAUCUCCACCACACCCCCAGUACAAGUAUAAGUCACCACCACCACCUCCUCAUCCGGUAUACAGUCUCCUCCGCCACCACACACCCAGUUUACAAGUACAAGUCACCACCACCACCUCCUCAUCCGGUACCACACCCAGUUUACAAGUAUAAGUCUCCUCCGCCACCAGUUUACAAAUACAAGUCUCCUCCACCACCACCUCCAGUGUACAAAUACAAGUCUCCACCACCACCAGUUUACCACUACAAGUCUCCACCACAGUUUACAAAUACAAGUCUCCACCACCACCCCCAGUUUACAAAUACAAGUCUCCACCACCACCAGUUUACCACUACAAGUCACCACCACCUCCUCCCCCAGUUUACAAAUACAAGUCUCCACCACCUCCUCACCACUACUAAGCAAUUGCUUCUGAGGUAAUAACACUUGUUCAAUAUACCCACUUCUGCAUGAUAAAGCAUAUCUCUAUCAACACAAACUGUCAUGUCUAUCAUGCUAAGUGCCUUCACUUCAUCCACCAAAAUGACUGCUAGAAAAUUUUUUUUAUGUUACCAAAGAAAGGCAUCAUUUUUUCCCUCUGUUAUCAAGAACUUGUACAGUAUAUAGAUUAAAGAGUAUUUUUUUAACUAGCUUAUCAACUGAGAAAUGCAUAUAGCUGAUAGCCAGCUGAAUAUUUGCAGGCAAAGGAGAAGGAAACCAGUGUUUGAGACCUUCUUGAAGAUGUAGAAGCAUAAGAAUUAAAGCCCAAUGUGAAGAUGAUGAUUUCAAGUUUUUCUACGUUACCAUUUCUUUAUCUAAAUUGGUUGUAGCGCCUUAGUUCCUUUGUUUAUGGGAUUUGUAUCGUUUUACGUACCAUGCAGUACAUGUCAUGUUUGUAAGGUUUUCUAUCCUGCCGGCAAACCGCAGGUUCCAUGUAAUAAAUCAAUACUAUUUAUAUUACGACACUUUUCUCUGUUUCUCUUAUAUUUUGUCGUCUUUAAUAUUCUUAAUCAUAUUUUUAACAAAAAUAUUCAAACACUUAGGCAAUCUGGUCUAAUGCUAAUUGUAUGUUUUACUUUUCUUUUUCACCUGCUCCCCUUUUCAACUCAAAAGGAUGCAAUAGUUUGUGAUCACUGUUUAAGACGGAAGCAUGAUACUAAUGAAUAUCUCAUUGAAACUCAAGGAAACUAACAUUGCGAAAAGUGUAAAUCUUGAUUUGAUGCAACUAUUUAUUCGUGGAAUCUAUAGUUACAAAACUCAAAUUCUGACUGCGCCAUUGAUAAAUUAUUAAUGACGCUAUCAUCAUUAUUUAUCCCUAACUAGUUUCGACUACAACUGAACCCAAUAUUUUCCCCAUGAUAAAAGUUUUUGACUAUUUUACUGGCCUCUCUUCAAAUUUUAAAAAUUACACUAAUCUUCAUUGAGAUUAAUUAUCUUGUAACAUUUAAGUCCAAUUAAUAAUUAAAAAAUGAUAUUAUGAGAGAGAAAAUAAUAUAAUUUUAUCAUUGCCCCCCAUCUUGCUAUAUUAUUUAAUUAAUUUAAUAGCAACCCACACAUUAAAGAAAAAUACUAAAAUUUGCUGCUUUUCAUUAAAGAUCAAAUUGCAUAUGCCAUAAAACAUAGUAUAUCAUUCUAUAUGUUUCACUUAAUGUAAGAUCCCAAUUGUUCUUUUCAAUUACAAACCCAUUGUCAAUAACAAAUAACCAAAAAAUUUGCAACCAAAAUAUUACAAAAAAAAACUUCAACAUCAUAAAUAUUCUUACCACCUCUAGUGCAUUCACCCUCAUAAAAUAAUUCAAGACCCUACUGUCAUAAAAUGACUGAUCAACUCCCGUAAACCUAAUUUGACAACAUUUAAAUGGAGAACUUUAGCUAAAAGAAUUAUGGUCAAGCUAAAGAAAAAACCAGUUAUUUUCCAACAUAUGCAAUCAUUGAUCAGGGAAAAAAAAAAGAGCAAAAAGACAUCUUCAAUCAUUUAAUAGCUUACAGGGCAAAUUAACCCCUAAGCGAAAACUGGUUGCUCUAGAAUCAAAAUUUUACUUUAGUUACCCAGGCAACUUUUUUGUUGCUUUUUUUUUUUUUUUCCUUUAGUUUUGCCCCCUCUGUCAAGCUUAUAAAAUUAUUAAGAUAAUAAAAGUGCCUUGAAUAGUAUUAAUAUAUCCAUUGACUUGAGCUGUCGUCAGUUUGCGAUUCCAUGAGGCCUUUUCAAAGUACUCAGAAAAUGGGGAGUCAUGAAAUCCAUUUGUUCUAUUCAUUGCUAAGAUGCUUUUCUCUAUAAAGAGACUUCCUAACGAAAAUACUUUGUAGAUUUCUUUACUCCAAGUGGUGCAUGGAAAAUUAAUAUUUUCAAUUAUCAAAUAAAAUUCCCUUUUUUCGGCGUAGAUUUCAUCCAUCCAGCUGUUAACACAUUCUAUAAAUCCGAAUUGACUAAUCUUUUCGUUUCCAUUUUCCAACUUGCGAAUACGGCAUAUAGUGUCUGCUAAACACUAUAUAUUCUCUGCCAAAUAUGAAUACAUAUCACUUUUCUGAGCAAGUGCAGAGUCAUUAUCAUUUUUAUUCCCACCUAACAAAUUAGGGAUAAAAAAGUUAAUAAUCUUUACAUGCUAUCAGGUCACAAGUUAAUAAUCUUUUAAAGAACAUGUUAAAUUAAUUUAUUGGUAUGAAUAGUAGUCAAAGAAGUAUGUUAAAGUUAGUAAUCUUUAAAAUAAUAUGUUAAAAUCAUUCGUACAAAUUAGUCAGAGAAGUAGCAUAAACACCGCGAUGCAAUUAAUACUUUCAAUCUCAAGGUCUCUAUUAUGGAAAUUUGCAUCGGUCAAUAUACACUUGGCAUAAUAUAAUCUCCCAACUCAUUUCUUUACAAAUGCACCUUUAAUCACCACCAAAAGGUGUGGACAUGAUCUUUACCCUAGAAAACUAUUCACCGACAGGCAAAUUGACGUCAGAAAUACUGAGGAAUUCUAGUUUCCUUCGGGUUCAUGCCAUGUUGUAUCCUUCAACUGUAACUCGAUUUCUAAGCUGUAAUUUGUGACAUAAUAGUCCUUAAACUAUGAAACCCUUCUUACUUAAUUACAAUGGUUAAUACAAUGCCCGUGACUAGACAAGUAUGAAGCAACCAUAACAGAAAAAAAAUCCAAAAUUAGAGAAAAGAAAGAAGUUUCGCGACCACCACCAGUUUACAAGUCACCUCCACCACCUCCUCCAGUUUACAAGUCACCUCCACCACCUUACCAUUAUUCCUCACCACCACCUCCAGUGCAUUCACCCCCACCACCACCAGUUUACAAGUCUCCGCCACCACCUUACCAUUAUUCCUCACCACCACCUCCUGUGCAUGCACCUCCACCACCAAUUUACAAGUCACCUCCUCCAGUUUACAAGUCUCCACCACCACCUUACGAUUAUUCCUCACCACCACCUCCAGUGCAUUCACCCCCACCACCACCAAUUUAUAAGUCUCCCCCACCGCCUCCCCCAGUAUAUAAGUCACCACCACCACCUCCUCCAGUAUACAAAUCACCUCCACCACCUCCUCCAGUUGACAAAUCUCCACCACCACCAAUUUAUAAAUACAAGUCUCCUCCACUACCUCCUCCAGUGUACAAGUCAUCACCACCACCUGCUUACAAGUCUCCACCUCCUCCAGUUUACAGUUCCCCACCACCACCAAUCUACAAGUCUCCACCUCCACCCUACCAUUACUACUACAAUUCUCCUCCUCCUCCUCGUCACUACUAAGCAAUUGUAUCCAAGUUUUUGAGGUAAUAACGCUUAACCAAUAAAUUAACUUUCGCAUGAUAAACCUUAUCUCUAUCAAGACAAACUGCCAUGUGUAUCAUGCCAAAUACGUACACCUAGAUCCAUGAAAAUGAAUGGUGAGGAGGGCCAUUUAGGCUCGGAGCGCCCUAGGCCUAGUUCCCCACCAUUUCCUGAAGUGCCGCCUCGGGUAUUAUCCUGGAAGGCGAUCGCGGCCCAUUUACCACCUCGGCUACAAUGUCAGGUCGUAACACCGAGGUGGACAUUGAAUGACAACUACGAAAAGGGGAGAUGUGAUCUCUGACACCUGAGCAAAGGCUGCUCUGACCCGCCGCCUGAAUCUGACAGAAUGUCCCAUCACGUCUCUUCAUGGAGACCGGUCAAGUCCACCUGAUCCACUGACUAUCUCAGAUCUUUUGGGACCCGUGCAAACAUCUCCUCUCUCCUAUCAGUCCCCUAUAAAUACACGAUACUUCUACUGAAAAAGGAGAUGACCAAUUUCUGGUAAAACACACUCCACUCAUUAUUUACUUCUCUAUAUCCGAACUGACUUAAGCUUCGGAGUUAUACCGGGGGAUCCAGCCCCUUUCUUAUCCAAGCAGGUGACUUCGUCCAAGAGAGUUGCCCAAGGUAAAGAUAUUCUUCCAAUUGAGGUGACUCACUCCUGCGGGUCGAAAAUCACCUCUUCAAUUGGCGCCGUCUGUGGGAACCGCAAAGAUAUUAGAAGAUGAAGCCUGCGCGUUCUAGAAGCAGAAAAGCUCUCACUAUCGAGGCUGGGCAAAGCAAUGCAGCUCAACAAGAAAAUAUUUCUGAAGGGCAGGAGUCCCCAAGGACUCAGCCCGCAAACGAAAAAGCCAUAACCCGUAUGGCCGAGUUUGUGACCGAGAACCCCAACAUCUUUGAAGAGUUGGGAAGAUACCUGAAGAGGCAAGGCAAACAAAAGGCCGAGUCCUCUAAAAGGAUGUCAGAUGGGUCUCUUGAGGACUCAUCUGAGGAGGAGUCGGAUGGAAGGCACUUAAGCCGAAGUGCCUCAAAGCGAGCAUUUUCUAAGGCCACUUCUAAGGUAGCCUCCCUGACCAAGGCGUUUUCCCGAGGGCUCUUGGGCCGACGACCCGAGGAAGAACCUCGGCCCUUGGGAAUACCCGGGGUGGACUGCAUGAGGGCUCCACCGUUCACGGAUGAUAUAAACGAGGAAAGGCUUCCUCCCAAUUUUAAGCUCCCCGCAGUACAAUCUUACGAUGGCCGAGGUGAUCCCGAGAAUCACAUCCAUACCUUCAUCUCGGCCUUCCAAAUAUACUGCAUCCCAGACCCUGUCAUAUGUCGGGCCUUUCCAGUAUUCCUCAGAGGAACUGCUCGAAAAUGGUUCUGAGCUCUAGAACCUAGGAGCAUUUCGACCCUGGGUGAAUUAGUGGAGAAGUUUCUCCACCGAUUUGUCUCCUCCCGACCUACGACUAGGACCUCGGCUUACCUGCUCACCGUGCAGCAGAACCCGGGAGAGUCACUCCGGUCGUACGUCCGGAGGUUCCAUGAGGAAAGCGUUCAGAUACCUGACCCCAAUGAGCAGGUAACCCUCGCUGCCUUUACCCAUGGACUCGUUGCCGGGGAGUUCAAUACGGGGAUCCAUAAAAAAUACCCCCGCACACUGCAUGAAUUGUGGUUGAAGGUUGAAAAGGGCAUACAGGCCGAAGACCUCCAUCGCAUGAAGAAAGAGGUCCAAGCCACCCGUCCAAGGGCUGAGCCCAGAAAGGGAAAAGACGCUGGCCGAACUGAAGUAGGGUCGGGAAGUGGCUUCCGAAGUCCUGGCCGAGACCGCCGCAGCGUGUUCGACAGGAUAUCCAAGGGGAAGUCACCUAUUCCCGAGUCCGAGUUGACUCCUUUAAAUACUACCCGAUCUCACGUGUUGUCCGUGAUGGAACAAAACAACCUCGGCAAGGGCCCGCCGAGGAUGUUUGGAAGCAGAGACAAGAGGAACUCGAACCUCUACUGCUUGUAUCAUCGUGACAUUGGUCACGAAACUGAGGAUUGCAACGAUCUCAAGAAGGAGAUCGAGAACCUCAUUAGACGGGGACACUUGAAACAGUUCAUCCGCAGAGGUGGAGGUCACCAACGUGACGAAAACCGGCAUGACAAAUGAGGUGACCAACGCCGAGAUGAGCGGCGGAGCUCCAGAAGCAGUUGCCGACCUCCUGAGGAUCCCAGGGAGACGAAAAGGCCUCCCCCAGACGGAUCUUCGGGACAUGGGCCAACCAUUGCCCGGGUCAUUAACACCAUUGCCGGAGGUCCGACGGGAGGGGACAGUCAGAACUCCCGGAAGAGAACCUAUAAGCAGGCUAACCCGGAUCAGGCCGAGUCGAGUUCUCGCCUGUCCGAGGUGAUCACCUACGGGCUCAGUGAUCCCAUCCCAGCUGCAUCCAGCAGUCAUGAAACCUUGGUGAUUGAAGUCCUCACCAAUAACUACAUUGUGAAAAGGUCUACAUAGACCCGGGAAGUUCAGUUGACGUCAUGUACCUCCGUACCUUUGAGAGCCUUAAAAUGGCUAAGGGGUGCAUGACCCCGCUGAGAACCCCUCUUGUAGGGUUCGGGGGACACGUGGUGCACCCCGAAGGGAUGGUGACUCUGACAGUGACCAUAGGGCAUCACUCUCGCUGUAGAACCGUCCCUGUCAAUUUUGUGGUGGUUAAGGCUGACUCCCCAUACAACCUACUUUUAGGUCGGCCUACGCUCAAUGCCUUGCGGGCGGUCUACUCCACCUACCACCUGAGCUUCAAGUUUCCUACCCCAGCAGGGGUGGCCGAGGUCAGCAGCGACGUCUGUGCUGUCCGGGAGUGCUACCUCGCCACCCUACAAGCAGCCUCCCCGUCUACCUCCGGUGCGAGGUCCGAGAAGAGGUCAAAUAUCCUCUCAAUAGAUAGCAUCGAUCCUCAGUGAGCUGAGAAGGUCCCGAGGCUGGAGACUGGGGAUGAGGUGGAAGAGAUUCCCCUGGACCCCACGAAACCUGAUCAGACAGUUCGCGUUGGUACCCGAUUGCCCGGUCCUAUCCGAAGAGGUAUGAUGGACCUCCUCAGGGAAUACCGGGACGUCUUUGCUUGGGCCGCCGAAGAGGUCCAAGGAGUCCCGCACCAUCUCAUGAUGCAUGACUGAACGUCGACCCCCAAGUCCGUCCGGUCAAACAGAAGAGAAGGCACAUCGGCCCUGAGCGCAGCCAAGCUGUUGGUGAGGAAGUGGACAAGCUUUUACCCGCUAAAAUAAUCCGAAAAGUCCAAUACCCGAUCUGGUUGUCUAACUCGGUCAUGGUCAAGAAGGAUACGGGGGCUUGGAGAAUGUGCGUCGAUUUUACCGACCUCAACAAAGCCUGCUCCAAGGAUUGCUACCCCUUGCCCAAAGUCGAUACUUUGGUAGACUCAGCAAUGGGCUACGAGAUCCUCUGUUUCUGGGAUGCAUUCAAAGGCUAUCACCAAAUUGGGAUGAGUCAAGAAAACCAGGAGAAAACGGCCUUCUACACCGACCGCGGCACGUACUGUUAUACUACCAUGCCAUUCGGGUUGAAGAAUGCCGGAGCCACUUAUCAACGCUUGGUCAACCAAGCAUUCAAGUCUCAAAUCGGCCGGAAUGUUGAGGCCUAUGUAGAUGACAUCCUCCUCAAAAGCCAGACGAACUCCACCUUCCUGGCCGACUUGAAGGAGGUCCUUGACAUCCUGCGGAAGGUGAAAAUGAUGCUGAACCCCAAGAAAUGUGUUUUUGGGGUCACCUCGGGGAAAUUUCUAGGUUACCUCGUCUCAAGGCGAGGUAUCGAAGCAAAUCCGGAUAAGGUGCGAGCCAUCCAGGAGAUGUCUCCACCCCGGUGCGUCCGCGAUGUCCAAAGGCUGACAGGGCGAUUAGCCGCCCUGAAUCGGUUCUUAUCGCAGUCGGCAGCUAAAGCACUGCCCUUUUUCAAAGUGUUGAAGAAAGCUGACCAUUUCUCCUGGACGGAAGAGUGUCAACAGGCGUUUGAGCAGUUGAAGGAUUACCUUCACUACCUUCCAACGCUCACCUCACCUCGUCCGGGGGACAAAUUAAUCUUAUACCUUUCUGCUGCGGCCGAAGCGGUGAGUGCCGUGCUGAUAAGGAAGGAAGGGGUCCAAAUGCCCGUCUACUACGUUAGCCGAGUCCUCCGAGGUCCAGAGACCAGGUACACACAAGCAGAGAAACUUGUGCUAGCCCUGAUCCACGCCGCCCGCAGACUCAAGCCCUACUUCCUAGCUCACCACGUCUGCUUGAGGACUGAUCAACCACUUCGGCAGAUUUUGACACGACCAGAGGUUUCGGGACGUCUUACCAAAUGGGCCAUUGAGCUGGGGGAGUACGACCUAACUUAUGAGCCUCGCACAGCGAUCAAGGCCCAGGCUCUCGCAGACUUCGUAGCCGAGCUCACCUUUGACGAGGUGCAAGGAUCCGUCCCGGCUGCCACAUCGGCCACAGUUGAUGUGGCCACCACUGGGCUCCAGCGGUGGAUCCUACACGUGGACGGUUCGUCAACAGUGAGGGUAGUGGAGCAGGCUUGCUCCUCGAAGACCCCCAAGGAGAAAUAUGCUAAUAUGCCUUAAGAUUUGACUUCGCUGCUUCAAACAAUGAAGCUGAAUACGAAGCCGUCAUUGCUGGACUGCAGCUAGCUCGCAAGCUCGGGGCCGCACACAUCUUGGUUUAUAGUGAUUCCCAACUCGUCGUGUGCCAGAUAUUAGGUGAGUACGAAGCCAGGGACGAGGUGAUGCAUCGUUACCUCUCCAAGGUCCUCCAGUUGGCGACUCACUUCGAGUCUUUUGAAAUUCAAAGAAUACCGCUAUCGAAAAACAGAAGGGCUGACGCCCUCUCCCGGCUUGCCUCAACCUCUUUCUCUGACCUGAACAAGACGGUUCUCGUUGAAGUUCUAGCCGAACCAGGAUAUGUAGCCGAGGUAGUAUACCCCGUCUACCCUGGGGACACCUGGAUGGGUCCCCUGACUCGAUUUUUCAGCCAGGGUGAGCUCCCCGAAGACCGAGCUGAGUCACGGAAGCUCCAACGAAAAGCAGCACGGUACAUUCUCCGACAAGGCCUUUUAUACAAAAGGUCUUACCUCGGCCCUUAGUUGCGAUGUAUCACGCCCGAGGAAGGCCAGAGAAUCCUCCAAGACAUACAUGAGGGGCUCUGUGGUGCUCACGUCGGCUACAGAAUGCUGGUAAAAAAGGCUUUGUUACUUGGGUAUUUUUGGCCCACUAUGAGGAUAGAUGCCCAGGUCAUGGUCCUUUGCUGCCCCUCCUGCCAGCAUCACGCUCCUGAGCACCACCAGCCGACCAAUUUAAUGAUCCCUAUCACCUCGUCAUGGCCAUUUGAGCAAUGGGGAACGGACAUAAUUGGCCCCUUUCCCAGAGCUCCAGGCAAUUAUACCUACGUGGUGGUAGCAGUGGACUACUUCACCAAAUGGGUCGAAGCUGAACCCCUAAAAAAUAUCACUGGUGCGGCAGUCCAGAAAUUCUUCUGGAAGAAUGUGGUUUGCCGCUUCGGCCUACCCCGGGUGAUCAUCUCGGAUAAUGGCCGACAGUUCGCCGAUAAUCCUUUCAAGGCCUGGUGUGAGAACCUCGGGGUCAAACAGCAUUUCACUUCGGUGGGACACCCCCAAGCCAACGGACAAGCCGAAAACUUCAAUCGCACGCUCCUCCAUGGCCUCAAGACCAGGCUCCACCAGGCUGGAUCGUUUUGGAUGGAAGAGCUCCCCAGUGUGCUGUGGUCCUACCGAACUACGCCGAGAUCAGCAACCCAGGAAACCCCGUUUUCCUUAACCUACGGGUCAGAAGCUGUUGUUCCAGCCGAAUUCAUCACCCCGAGUCCACGAAUGGCCGCAUAUGCUGCCGAAGUCAAUGAAGAAGAACGGCGAGUUGACCUCGACCUCGUCGAAGAGAAGCGUGAUAUGGCCGCGGCCAAAGUUGCUGUUUACAAAAAUAUCGUAGCUGGCUACUACAACGCUCGGGUUAAACAUUUGCGGUUCAGUCCGGGAGACCUGGUGCUCAGGAAGAACUCAGUCAGCCGGGCUGAACCUCAGGGUAAACUAACCCCCAAGUGGGAGGGACCAUACCGUGUUGUUGAGUCCAGCCAAAAUGGAUAUUGUAAAUUGGCAUACCGAGAUGGGUCUCUGAGUGCCCCGAACUUGGCAUGCUGAAAAUCUUAAGUUGUACUACCCUUGAGGGUAUGUGCUUUUAAUCUUGAGUUAUUUCACACUUAUUUUCAUUUCAUUAUAAGUGAAAAAUAAGGGGACAAAGUAGCAGUAAAGAGGAAAACCGAAUUUAAUUAAAAAGAAAGCAAGAAUAUGAACUCAAUUCCAUUGAAUUACAUAAAAGUAGAAAGCCGAGGUCACCUUUAAUUAGGAAGAAAGCAAGAAUAUAAACUCAAUUCCAUUGAAUUACAUAAAAGUAGAAAGCCGAGGUCACCUUUGACCUCGGCCUACAAUGACAAAAAAAAAAACAAGUGCCUCUAGGCACUCCCUACCCUGACAUCCUGGCCCCCCGUGGUCGCGCCACCCGUUUCGGCACCCUGUCCACCCUCAGCUCCUCCACCGGCCUGGUCGUCUUCAGUACCAUCUAGUUCAAACUCCUGGAGCCAUUUGUUGAAUUCGGCUCGGACUUCGGUUAGGUCUUUCUCAGUCCGGAUGCCCUCAGCCAUGCUGUCGCAUAGCUCCUUGGCAUCCUCGUUAUAGUGCGAAGUGCUCUGAAGGGACUCCAGUUGUUCAGAGGGAAGAAAGGAUGCCGCGUCAUUAAUAGCCGACGUGUACCCGAACAUGAAGCUUGGCCGGGUGAGCUCGCCGAGGUCACGGAUGAAGGACUCUGACGUCCGGAAGGCUUCCACAGCAGUGACCCCGGCCUUGUCCAUGGCCUCCCUGUUUGACUGUUCUUCUUGGGCCCUCCUUUUUUUCUCCUCAUCAAGAGCAGUCACCAGGGAAUUGUUCGCGACCUCGGCCCUUUUGUUAGCCGCCUUGGCCUUGUCACGCUCCAACUCGGUUGCCUUCAGUUUUUCUUCCAACUCGGCAAUUCUCUUCUGGAGCUCGGCAGGAGGCUCAUAGUUUUCCAUGAACUUUCCAUACCGUUGAAUCAUCUCGACAAAAAAAGCCGUGGUAGAGGCCCAUGACACCGAGGCGCUCUGCAUCAACUCCCCUGCGGAGAGCUUCCUAGCAUAAGUGCUAUCUCGUGGCAGCACUGAAUGCACCAAGAGCUCCUGAGCGACCAAAGGGUUCUUGCAGCGAUCGUUGAAAUUAAUCUCCCACUCUGGACACCAGUGUGAUCCGGGGUGUCUCUUGUCCUCCUCAGCUGCCUUGAAAGGCACAUGAUGGAGUUUGAACAAAGAUGACCCCGUGACGGGGUUCUCCGGAAAUAUGGUCACACCCUGACCCCGGGGGGGAGUGGCAAUCGUGACCCAGCGAGAAGGGAUUCCCACCGGAAUUGCCGAGGCUCGGGAACCUCCCGGAGUGGCCGAGGUGUGCGAGCCCUCGCCCACGAUCACCACGGCAGGCUCGCGGUCGCCCGACGCCGCGGUGGUUUUCUUAGCCGGCCUGGAAGAGGACCCUGCAGUGUCCUUGCGCUUUUUGGGAGCUCUUUUGACCACCUCGACAUCUCCCGAGGUUAUCAGGUCGAAAAUCUUCGUCACUGCAAAGUAGGAGACGAAGUCAGUUAGAAUUCAAGAGGGAUAAACUAAAAGGGAAGAAAUGGAAAAAUACAAAGUCUGUGAAGCCUAGUCGAGAGUAAGACAGGCUGGUCAGAGCUCGUCAAGGCUCAACUGAUCCCGCCUUCCACGAGCACCACUUCGGGAAAAUCCCAGCAGUUUAUCCUGAGGCCCGACCCCGUUAACUUCUGGAAGUUACGCUCUUCUAACUUCCCUGGAGAUAUCUCCUUGAUCGAGGUGGGAGGCCUCCACCAGAAUCCGCGAGGGAAGUCAUCGGCCGAGACGAAGAAGAAGUUUUGCUUCCACUCCUUUAUUGAGUUCGGAGCAUCAACCACCAACUUCGGAACUUUGUUUCCGAAGUAGAACCAUCCUUUUUCACUUCUGCUGUUCUUGAGUGAGUAACAGCGGCGAAAGAGGUUGACCUAAGGUUGUAUCUCCUGAUGUCGGCAAAGUAGCUGGAAGCCAACGAGAAUGCGAAUAGCGUUAGGGGUGAGUUGAGUGAUUCUCACCCCCCAGUACCUCAGGCAGUCCCGAAGAAACCUCGUCGUGGGCACUCUGAGUCCGGCCUCCAGCUGUUCCUGAUAGAUAGUCACCUUGCCCUUUGGUGGCAGUGCGGCUGACUGAUGCGGUUGGGGUAUGUAAAUACUAUAAUCCCUUCUCCAGGGAUACCUGCGGACCACCUCGGCUAUUGAGGCUUGUCCCAUACCACUACUGAAGAACGGCAUCUGGCCGUAGUCGAGAGUUGCCACGUUUGGAGGAGUGGAAGGUUCUUGUACUCCCUCGUCUCUAGGGAUCUCAAUCCCGAGGUCAUCGUUGUAUAGGACCUCGGGCUGGACCUCGAUCUCCUCGGGCUGCACCUCAACCGCCUCAGCUCGGCGUGAUGCCUCGGCACCUCCACCCUCAGCUUGGUGAGAUGCCUCAGCACCUCCGCCCUCGGACGCGGUCCUUUCCUGGGAGGGGUCAGGCCUCUCUGCCUCAGUGAGGUCAGGUCUCACUGUCUCUUUGUGCGUACGAGCUGUUCUAGCCAUUGUAUCAGAAGGGGAAGAAGUGAACUUACUUAGAAUCUGCGACUGGAAGAAGAUGCCGAAGUAGACGUGGUUUAGAAAGGUUGCCGAAGUGAAAAGAGAAAGAAACAGAGUUCUGGGGUGAUUCUUGAUUUUUGGUGAAGAGUAAAACGGUGAAAAAAGACCACUAUUUAUAGGCCACCAGGGUGAAACCCAAGAGACGGCACCCUCUCUCUUCAUUAAUGGGAGGACUGUUCGUCUGCCAACACAGCUGACAGCCGUCCCUUCAGUUAUCACUCAGUCCCAUCUAUGCGGUCAUGACGUGUCCGUGUUCCGUGUUUUAUACGCUUCUCAGCUUCGGGAAGUAACGACCACGGCGGAUGCCCAUCUCGCCCUUCUCAAAGCUUGGGGGGCUUAGUGAGGAGGGCCAUUUAGGCUCGGAGCGCCCGAGGCCUAGUUCCCCAUCAUUUCCUGAAGUGCCGCCUCGGGUAUUAUCCUGGAAGGCGAUCGCGGCCCAUUUACCACCUCGGCUACAAUGUCAAGUCGUAACACCGAGGUGGACAUUGAAUGACAACUACGAAAAGGGGAGAUGUGAUCUCUGACACCUGAGCAAAGGCUGCUCUGACCCGCCGCCUGAAUCUGACAGAAUGUCCCAUCACGUCUCUUCAUGGAGACCGGUCAAGUCCACCUGAUCCACUGACUAUCUCAGAUCUUUUGGGACCCGUGCAAACAUCUCCUCUCUCCUAUCGGUCCCCUAUAAAUACACAAUAUUUCUACUGAAAAAGGGGAUGACCAAUUUCUGGUAAAACACACUCCACUCAUUACUUACUUCUCUAUAUCCGAACUGACUUAAGUUUCGGAGUUAUACCGGGGGAUCCAGCCCCUUUUCUUAUUCAAGCAGGUGACUUCGUCCAAGAGAGUUGCCCAAGGUAAAGAUAUUCUUCGAAUUGAGGUGACUCACUCCUGCGGGUCGAAAAUCACCUCUUCAAAUGGUAGAAAGUUUUCUUAAGAACCAAGAACAGCAUUAGUAUUCCCUCUGCUUCCAAAAACUUGUGUAUUAAAUAGAUUAAUGAAUUGUUUAACAUGCUCAUCUACUUGAAAAUGCACAAUACCCAUAACCCACUGAAAUUUUUGCAGGAAAAGGGAAAGAGAAUCUGUGUUUGAGAGCUUCAUGAAGAUGUUGAAGAAUAAGAAUAAAAGCCCAAUGCGAGGAUGUUUUCAAGUUUUUCUAUGUCCACUUUAAUUUGUAAAUUGAAUUUUACAACUCAAUUAAUUCCUUGUUUGUGAGGUACGUAUUGUUUUACGUACCAUGCCGUACAUGUUUGUAAGGAUUUCUAUCCUAUUGGCAAAAGUCGGUUCCAUACAAUUAAUCAAUUCAUUUCACUUCUAUUGGCUCUACUAUUUAUGCAUGUUACGACACUCUUUCCCUUAUAUUUUGCCUUUAAUAUUAUGAGUCAAUAGUAAUAAUGGGCCUUUUUCUUAAAAUUAUACUAUUAUACAUAGGUAGUUUGGUCUAACGCUAAAUUCAUGUUUGUCUUUCUUUUAUUCCCUUUACAUCUCAAAGUAUACUAUAGUUUGUAAUCAUUGUGGUGAUGAUAUUACCAGCUGGUACUUAUAGUUUAAGGCAGAGACAUGAUAUUAACAACUAUCUCAUUGAAACAUAAGUCAAAAUCAUGACAAGUGUGAGUCUUGGUUAAUGCACAAUUUGUUAGUGGAAUUUAUAUUUAUAAAACUCAAAAAAAAUUUUUGACAAUGCUAUUACUAAUUAAUUAAGGACUUCAUUGCUAUAAUUUAUCGCUUACUAGUUUAAACUAUAAAUGAUCUCAAUACUUUUCUCCAUGAUGUCGAUUUCUUUAGACUACGAAAGGGAAAAAUUAGUGACAUAUCCCUUACUGAUUACAACAUCAGCAAAAAUUAGUUAUAAACUUUUCCGGUGGUUUUAAAUCCCUCGGGCACUAAGGUUUUUUGCACAUCGAGUGAAUUAAGGAACAUAGGCAAUUCGUUCUGCAUACCAAGUCCUUGUUUAAGAUGCACGUACUAAAAUGCAUCCACUUCAUUAAUUUGGAAAAUUGCCAUAGUUUUUUUUAAGCAUUUUGAUUUUUUACAUGAUUCAAAAUUUUCUUAUUGGAUACAAUCACUUUGUGUCAAGAACACAUUUUCAAUCAUCUUUUUUAUCUUCUCAAUAAGAAAAUAAAAAUUUAUUCAUGCUUUUCUAACAUAUCCAAUCAUUGAUCUGAAAAAUAAAGAAUUAAAAAAAAAAGACAUUUUCAAUCAUUGCUUACAGGGCAACUUCCCCAUGUGAACCUCUUCAAACAAAGCCAAUAAUAUGAAGGAACAUCUAAAUACACUUUUGCCCUAAAGGCUGGUUGCCUUGGGGUCAAAAUUUAACCUUCGGGAGUAUAAUUACCCGCCAAAUUUAUUAUUUUUUAUGGGUAUAUAGUUCCAAUUUUGCCUCCUGUUAAGCUUAUAAAUAUAUUACGACCCAGAAAAUAAAGGAAUCUUGAAUAGUAACAUGUCCAUUGACUUGAGUUGUCAUCAAUUUGGCUACUUCGAUUCCAUGAGGCCAAUCCAAUUCACACUAGCUAGAGAAAAUGGUGAUAAAGGCACUUAGAAAUUUAUAUGUAAUAUUGAUUGGUAGUAACUGAUAAGUAUAUAUUUUACGUGUUUUAAAUAUGUUUUAUUAGUUAGUUUUGGUGUGUUUUAACUACUUUUAUAACUAAUUAACUAGGAAUCUAGUGAAAAUAUGCAUUUUGUGGUUUGAAGUGUGAAAAUUGUAUUUCUAUGGAUUUUAAUGGUGAAAACUUCAUGUUUUUGUAGGUUUAAUGAUUCAAUCAUCAAAUGACAUGAUUUGAGAAGAUAAUUAGAUGAUUGAUGAUGUUUUGAAGUGAUAAAAAGAGAAUACAAAGUGCAAGAGAGGAAAUGCAAUCAAGAAUAAAAGAAGAAAAUUUUUGUAGCUUUGACAUAUUGUGGUAUUUUGGCAAUAUAUUGAGCUACAAUGAUUGGAUUAAGGUGAUUCUUAAACCAUUUGAAGCUAAGAUAUAGAUCUACAUUUGGUAUGAAGGCAUCGAAACCCAUGUCAGUCAUUUUCCUUGUCAAAAUGUUGAAAUACAGAAGUGCAACUCUGUUCUCGAAAGCUAAAACAGAGCUCUGGCUAGUCGAGGGUAUUUUCAUCAUUUCUUAGUCCACAGAGCUCCAAAUGAGAUGAUUCUUAAGGCAUUAGAACCCUAACUCAAAGAGCUACAACUUUCAUAUUUUGUACAAGAGUUAGUUCGGCCUCCAUCAUUCAGAAAAUAGUAGUUGAAGUGGUGCCAAAUGCAUAGAAGUGAAAACGCGAGCUAUCAAUACUCGACCUGAAGUCGCGUAUUCCUGAGGUCAUGCAUUCUCUUCUAUUUUCUGCAACUUGCCCUGCUUUCACAUAAUUUUUUCAUCUCAAUUCCAACUAUCAAUUUCGGCUAUAUCUGAUCAAGAAAAGUGUGGAAAGUUUGAAAGACAACUCAUAGGAGUUUCAAGAGUCAAAAAUUACAAUUAGAAACAACUCAUUUGGCUCUUGAAUCCUCUAUAAAUAGAGGCCUUUGAAGAACAUUUUCACAACUUUGGAAGGUUAGAGAAACUCCACAAAAACAUAGUCUUCACUAGAAUUUCCUUAGUUCAUUAGUUAGGGUAGUAUAGUAUAGUUAGUGUAGCUUUUCCUUCUUGUAUUUAUAGUUAGGUUUGAAUGAAGAUUCAGGAGCAAAGAUAGAGAGGUUGAUCUCAUGUGACAAGGGUGAUAUCUCUUCUACUACUUUCUCUUUUGUAUUUGAUUUCAUAUUUAACUAUACUACAAAUUUGGCUUUGUUUUUUUUUUUUAUCAUGUUUAGUUAAAGUUUAUGCCUAGAGUAUGGAUGACCUUUCUAUAUCUUGUUUGUGAUAUUUAACUGGUUAUUUGAUGAUGUUAUUUUUGAGCAAGUUAUUUAUCACUUUUGCUUUUCUAAUCGUGAUUAACUGGCCAUUAGUUGUGAUUAUCUAAAAGUGUUAAGUUUGUAAUGAGAAUUGGAGUUUAACACUAGUUCAAGGAAGUGAUAAAUUUAGGGAGUUCACUCAUGAGAGUAGAGGAACACCUUUGUGACCUAAGUGACUUGUUUCAUAUAAUUUCAUAGAAAAAAUGAACUUGUAAUUAAUUUCAUAACCACGAGAGUAAGUAUGGUUUAGCUAUAUGUAUAGUUGAUUCACUACGAGAGUAGGUUUCACAUACAUUAGAAAAUUACAUCAUAACUAGUCAAGAUAAUAUCAUUCAUUUAAUCAGUAAUCUCAUUUGCAUGAGUAGUAAGGCAUUCCAUAUCUCUAGGAGGUUUUUAGUAUUAUUUUCAUUACUUUUAUGUUUAUGGUAGUCUAGAUAAUAAUGGAGUUCAAAAACUACUAGUAAUUGAAAAUUUUCCCUGUGGGAUCGACCUUUAAUACCCUAUACUCGCUCUCGACUCGUAUACUUGCGAAAAAUCACGUGUGCGGUAUUUAGAAUUUAUAAAUGUAAAACUUGACUGUAGAUGAACUAAUUGAUAUAUGUAUACCCCGCACUCGUCAGUAACCAGCUUGUAUUGAUCCCAUUAUUGUGGAUAAUUGUGCUCUUAUGAAAAAAAAUUAUAAAAAAAUUAGCAAAAUUUAUGAUAACAAAUUAAAUUUAUUCAUACAAAUCAGUGAAAGAAGUAGAAUUUUAAAGACCAUGAUGAAAUUAAUACUUUCAAGGGCUCUAUUAGGAAGACUUCACUUGUUGGUGAAACUACACUAGCACAGUUAUAUGCACAUUUACUGUUUUGGUAUCUAAUUUCCUUGCCUUAAGUUGGGUGCAGAUGUUUAUAUUACAAAUAGAUGGUAUCAUAAAAUUGUUGUAUUCACGUUUGUUCUUUUUUUUUCUUCCUUAAGUUUUUUUCUUUAUUCUCGUGACUUCAAAAAUACGAACUCAAGAAAUUGGCUGCUUAAUCAAUAUGUCAUACAGGCUUCGCUAGUGAGGUAUAACUUCACAACUAGAGUCAAUAGAAAUUAUCAAAUGAUUUUUUAACAUCCAAAUUAAGCAAUAAAUUUUGUUUUCAUUUUAUGACAUAUAAUAGUACUACUUCAUGAGAGAUUUUAUAGUUUCUUUUAGGUAUCAUACCUACAAGUGAUAUUUGUCAUUGGAUAGUGACAGAAGUGUUAAUGAUUGUAAGAUUAAAUAUUGUUAAAUAUUGAAAUUUAAACUAUUUAUCUUUAUUGAAAGAUACAAGUUAAAGAAUCGUUCAAGGGGGCAAUUUUCCAUCUUGUCUUUUUGAAAAAACGCUAUCACAUUGUAUAGGCAUGAUAGGUUCAAAUUUGUCAUUAAAUUUAUGAUUGAUUUCCCUUUUAUUCAAGCCAAAUAUUGUUUUAAUUAUCAAAUUCUACUUAUAUUUGGUUAAUUGUACUAAUUGUAGGGCGGUAGAGCAAAAGUUGCUAAAAAUAGGUGAUUUUCUGCAAAUUGGUUGUCAAGGCUGAAGGAUUUGGGAUUCGCAUGUUCAAGGCCUGUUUCCAAGUUUGAUUCAAACUCUGGACAGUUUUAGAGGAAGAUUUGGAAGAUUUGAAAUUUCAUUAUUAGUUUUAUGGUUGAAUUAGGAAUCUUGGAAUAAUUUCUUUUGUGAUUUAUUUUUCUAUUUAGGAGACUAGUUGUUAUUUAGUAGUAGACUUCAAUUAGAAAACAAAGAGAAAAAGAAGGCCGGAAUCCCGCUUGAUUAAUACCUUGGCCAGGGAACAAUCUCGGUGGGGAGGACGGCCACUUAGCCUCUCAAUUCAUCUUGCUUUUCGUUAGUUUGAGAGGAAAACCAAUUGCAACUAGAUUCAAUGGAGUCUGGCAGAAUUUCUUCUAGGAUGCGUAGCUAAAUCCUCAAUUUUUAGUCGAAGGUCAAUUUGAAAAUUCGGUUCCAAAUAUCUGUGAAAUCGAAUUAUUUUACUUAUUUCUUUUAUUUAUUGGUAUUCGCACGUUUUCUGAUUUAACUUUUUAUGAUUGUUUUGUUAUUUGAAUGUCAAGGGUCCGAUAUUCGAAUUAACUUAAUAAUCUACUGCCAAAUUAACCGGUUAAAUCCGUAAUUGUUUGAUUGAUUAAUAUCAGUGGCGACUAGCGUGAUUGGUCCCAUGUUAGGAAAACGUCUGAUCUAAUUUAAACAAACCGUCGUAGCGUGUUUGUUGAUUAGGGUUGGACUUUUCUAAUUCUUAAUUCAAUUGAGAAAUUAAAUCUCCCGGUCGUACCUAAGAUUAUUUUUUUGUUAGCGAAAUAGUUAAUGGUCGUACCUUGACUAUCGAAAAAGUAAGGAAGAGUUGAUUGUUUAUCGCGUGUACGACAACUAUAAUCAAUCUAUUAAUGAGUAAUUGAAUUAUCUUUGCAUCAGUAAUCAGUUGAAUGGACCGUGUCUGAAAAGUUGUACCUUUGGCUAGAGUCUUAUCUGUUGUUGAUUCAUUCAUAUCUAUCUUCAUGCGUUGUUUUAAUUUAGUUAAUUAGUUAUUUUUAUAAAAACCCCUCAUCUCUGGACUCUAAAAGAAAUAAAUUAUUUCUAGUUCCUGUGGAUUCGAUCCUACUCACCGCUAUAUACAAAAUUUGUAUUUUUUUGAAUAAAUAAUUAUUAUUACACAGGCUUGACACCUGUCAAGGCAAAAUUUCCUUAACUUCAUCAUCUGUAGACGUAAACUUUCUACGGGUGAUAUAAUAUAAGGAAAUUUUGCCUAUACGAUGUGAUAGCAUUUUUUCAAAAAAGACAAGAUGGAAAAUUGCUCCCUUGAACGGAAAAAAUCAUGAUCUUUCCUCAAACUAGUCUACUAGUCAAUUCUUUACAAAAGAAUACUCGCUCCUAAACAUAGCCUGUUCAUCUACACUGUCCCGCAGAAUUCUAGAAAGUUAGGCAAAACUAGACAAGUUGACAGGUAUAAUCAUACCCAAGAUCAGGAACAAGCAGUUGCACAUUUCAAAAUUCGCUGCUGCAACAGCUAAUUUGAUGACUUACAACACUACACGGUCAAACUUUGAAUGGCAAUGGAUCUUUUGUUGUACGUCAUGAUGUAAUUUUCAUGUUACAUACAUUAAUAGGUUGAUAUCUAUAUUCUUUAAAUUAUCAUGAUAAUACCCUUAAUUAGAUUUAACUGAUAAAAAGAACACGUGUUAAUAUACAAAAGUGUGUAACGUGAAUGUUACAUUACUGUAUUGCAGAAGACCUAUAGUCUCUUCAUAUCUCUUCCUGCACGUAUCAAUUCGUUUCCUCUAGAUAAUAAUCUCCCAACUCGUUUCUUUACAAAUGCACCUUUUAUGUUUUAUUACCUCCAAAAGCCUUUACAGGGUCUUUACCCUAAAAAUCAAUUCACCGACUCGCAUUUGAUGUCAGAAAUUCUUAAGACGAAUUCUACUUUACUCAAAGAUUGACUGUUAAUAAUGAGACAGCGACCAUUUUGUAUUAUUAGACCGUCCUUCUUGAUAGGUAAAAGAAAUAGAGAGGAAAGUGGGUCCGUAUAUGGUCUUUUAUUCAUAGAUAAUACAACAUUACGCCAUCGAGCAUUCACACAAUAUUUCAAAGUCAUAGCAUGCCUAAGGCCCUGUUUGAUAGCUCAAUUUCGUAAUUAAAUUUAAUAGAUUCAAAUUUUAACACAUUUAAAUCAUUUGAUAACAAAAAAUUGAAUAUUUAAAUUAAUUAAGUAACACUGAACUUUCUAAACAAAACUUGCUUUCAAAAUUAAGUGAUAAGUUAUUCACUUAUCUUUGAAUGUGAUAUGCACUCAAAUAUAUUAAAUUUAAUAAUUUAAUGGAUUCAGAUUUCAGAUUUCAGUUUUAUUACACACCCUAAGUUGCAAAAUAAUACCAAAACUUGUUAUUAUAUAGCUUGAGAUUCAAAAAUUUAGAGCAUAAUUCUCAACCUAACACAAUCGAAUAAUGAAUAUUCACGAUUGUUUCAAAGUACAAUUUGAGGACAACCCAUUCCAACGCGUACACGAUUUUUAACUUUUCUAAAGUUGUUGAGAGCUGUUAAAAGAGAUUUACCAUGUUUACAUCUUCCAAGUCUUGGAAGUGAAAAAUGAAGCCACUGAGUGCUAUAAAAAGGGGGCUAGAGGCUGCCUAGAAGCAUAUCAGCCUAAAACAAGAAUUUGUAGUAACAAUGGGGAGCAAAGCAAAAGCAACGGGGUCUAGGCUGACUCCUCUUCUUACCACUGUUUUAGUGGUAUUUGUCGCCCUUGGCUUGCCCUUGGAAACUGCAGCUGAUUAUUACAAGUAUUCAUCUCCUCCUCCUCCUCCUUACCACUAUUCUUCACCACCACCUCCAGUGUAUUCACCUCCACCAACCCCUGCUUAUAAGUUACCCCCACCAUCUCCUCCAGUUUACAAGUCCUCACCACCACCUUACCACUACUCACCACCUCCGGUGUAUUUACCUCCACCAUCUCCAGUUUACAAGUCACCACCACUACCCCCUCCGGUAUACAACUCCCCGCCUCCACCAGUGUACAAAUACAAGUCCCCACCACCACCUCCUCCAGUUUACAAAUCUCCAUCGCCACCAGUUUACAAAUACAAGUCACUCCCACCACCUCCUCCGGUAUACAAGUCUCCUCCGCCACCUGUUUACGAGUACAAGUCUCCUCCACCACCUCCUCCAGUGUACAAGUCCCCACCACCUCCAGUUUACAAGUACAACUCACCUCCACCUCCUCCCCCAGUUUACCUGUCUCCACCUCCACCCUAUCAUCACUACUACGGUUCUCCUUCUCCUCACCACUACUAAGCAAGUGCAUAAGUUUUGAGGUAAUAAUACCUAUCCAAAACUUUAUCAACACAAACUGCCAUGUAUAUUAUCAUGCUAAGGACGUACACUUGAUCCAUGAAAAUGACUAGUAGAAGAUUUUUUUUAAGAACCAAAGAAAUACAUUAUUUUUUCGGUCUGUUUUCAAGAAUUUGAGCAGUAUACAGAUUAAAGAGUGUUUUUUUUUUUGUAAACUUGCUUGUCAACUUAAAAAUGCACAUAGCUGAAAGCCAACUGAAUAUUUGCAGGCAAAGGAGAAGGCAAUCGGUGUUUGAGACCUUCAAGAAGAUGUAGAAGAAUAAGAAUAAAAGCCCAAUGCGAGGAUGAUUCCAAGUUUCUACGUUACCAUUUCUACAUCUAAAUUGACUUUAGCUCCUGAGUUCCAUGUUUAUGGGGUUUGUACCGUUUUACGUACCAUGCAGUACAUGCUUGCAAGGUUUUCUGUCCUGUUGGCAAACUGCAGGUCCAUAUAAUAAAUGAAUACUAUUUACAUUACGACACUUUUCUCUUUUUCUCUUAUAUUUUGUCUUUAAUAUUGUUGAUCAUUUUUUUUUUAUCAAAAGCAUCAAAUGCUUAGGUAAUUUGGUCUAAUGCUAAUUGUUUUACUUUUAUUUUUCACCUACACCCCUUUUCAACUCAAAGGAUGCUAUAGUUUGUGAUAAUUGUUUAAGACCGAAGCAUGAUACUAAUAAAUAUCUCAUUGAAAGUCAAGGAAACUAACAUUAGGAAAAGUUUAAAUCUUGAUUUGAUGAAACUAUUUAUUCGUGGAAUUUAGAGAUACAAAACUCAAAUUGUGACGGUGUUGUUGCUAAAUUAUUAAGGACAUUAUCACCAUUAUUUUUCCCUGAUCACUAGUUUCAACUGCAAUGAUCUCAAUCUUUUUGUGACUAAUUCUUUCCUUAAUAAUUUAUAAAGACAAAACUCACAAAGAAUAUGUGACUAAUUCUUUCCUUUCGUCUUCUAAAGAAAAUGCCAACUGUUAGUUUAUCAAGGGGAAAAAGGAUCGACAUCAGUUAUUAUUGAAACUAGUAAGGAAUAAAUAAUGGUGAUAAUGUCCUUAAUAAUUUAACAACAGCACCAUCAGAAUUUGACUUUGAGCUUCGGUCUUAAACAAUGAUCACAAACUACAGCAUCCUUUGAGUUGAAAAAGGAAGUAGGUGAAAAGAAAAGUAAAAAAUACAAUUAGCAUUCCCUCAAAUUGUAGAAAGUUAGGUAGCAUUAUAGACAAGUUGAUAGCGGCAAUUUUACAUUUCAAACUUCACCUAUUCAAUAACUAAUUCGAUGGCUUGCUACAUGGUCAAUCUUUGGACCCCUUCCUGCCUCCAGAUAUCCCUUUCCUCAAUCAGGGGCUUCUACAAUUACCAGUUUCAAUUGUAUGGUAUAGUGUAAAUAUCAACAAAUUAGAUGUAGAUGCUAACAUAAUAAAUGUGAAUGCUAAGACAGCAACAUACAAUCGAACCUGCAAUUGUAUGAACCCCAAUCUCGCUUCCUAGUCCACCAUCUUUCUCUAGGUAAUAAUCUCCCUUCUAAUUUAUUCACAAAAUGCACCUUUCAUCACCUCCAAUAGCGUCGACAUGAUCUUUACCCUAGAAGACUAUUCACCGACUCUCAAUUGACGUCAGAAAAUCUAAGAGUAAUUCUACUUUACCCUAAGAUUGAUAUCAACAAGACAAGGACAAUUUAGAAUUAUUACACGCCUCUUCUUAAUAGGAAAAAGAAAUAGAGAAGAAAGUCAGGCCAGGUCUAAUUUCUUUUCAAAGGCAAUACAACAUUACGAAAUCAAGCAUUCAUUCAUACAAAUAUUUCAUAGUCACCGGUUUGCUGAGUAGAAAAAUUUAGACAAAAACUUAAUAUUAUAUUGUUUAAGAGUUAACAAUUUAGAGCUUAAUCUCCUUGUACUUUGGAGUUAACAAUUUAGAGCUUAAUCUCCUUGUACUUUGGACUAAACUUGAACGUGAAAGGAAAUCCCAAAACCAUAUUGGGCAUGAAUUCACACUUAAUAUACCCAAUAAAAGAUGGCGACUGGUGAAAGGCAGUGGAGACUGGUGGAGAGAUUUGAGGAAUAGAAGCAGACGGAAAAGCAACAAAUUUUUGCCGAAAAACGGUCACUUUCAUGGUUAAUUUUGCUACUCUCCAAUUGUACUUGACCAAUUACAACAAUUUCAUGGAGUUUGAUACGUGAAAAGAAUUUUUUAUAAAUUUUAUUUUGAUCCAUAAUGUUAUCUUUACAUAUAUAAAACAUUUUACAAUUUUGAUUUUGGCGCAGCUAACUUUUGGUUAACAAAAAUGCUCAUGUUUAAAAAACCAGAAAUAAAACAAAACAAGAAACAAAAGAAAUAAGAGGGUAGCAUAGACAUUUUGGAUUUUUCCGUUAAUUUGGAUGAUUUCCACCCACGUUCUAAUUUAAUCCAAAACACAAAGGAAUUACGUAGAGGUUUUAAAUAAUGAGGGAGCUUCAUGAUCGAACCCCAAACCACAAGGCGAUUUACUAUAUUUUACUCUUAAAUUUUGGUUUCAUCUCAUAGCAUACAAGAGUUCUAUUUCACUAUCUGUAGACAAAGACUUUCUAUGGUUGAUGUACCAUAGGAAAAAAUCUGCCUAUACAACGUGAUAGCAUUUUUUCAAAAACACAAGAUGGAAAAUUGCCCCUUAAACGGGGAAAUUCAUGAUCUUUCGUCGAACAAAGAAUACUCACGCCUAUUCAAGAUGGAAAAUUGCCCCCUUAAACGUCUAUUUGUCAAUUCUUGAAAAAAGAAUACUCACGCCUAAAACACGGCCUCUUCAUCUGCAGAAUUCUAAAAAGUUAGGUAAACUCUAUAAACAAGUUGAUAGGUACAAUCGUACCCAAGAUCAAGUACAGAUAGUUGUACAUUAACUGCUGCAAUAACUAAUCUGAUGACUUAUAAACAUAUCAUGGUCAAUCGUUGAAUGGUAAUGAGUCUUUUGUUAUGCAUUAGUAUUAGUGUGUACACUCUAAUAGAUUGAUACUUAUACUCUUUAAAUUAUCAUAAUAAUACCCUUAAUUAACUUUAACUCUUAAAAAGAAUACAUGUUAAUACACGAGUGUGUGUAACCUGAAUUGUUACUUAUAAAUUAGUGUGUAAUAGAUAGGGAUGGCAAUGGGGGCGGGUGCCCGCGGGGGGCUCUCGGGGCGGGGGUUGGGGCGGGGGGGAAUUUUUUCCCCCCGUUUAGAAAUGGGGCAGGGGACGGGGGAGUAUACCCCCGCCCCAUCCCCCGCAAAAAAAAAAUUAUAUAUAAUAUGUAAUUUAAUUAGUUAUAAACUUAUGAUAAUGAUAUUAUUAGUUAGAUGUAUUAUAUAAUGUAUAUUAGUGUAUGUAAUAUAAUUAAUAUUAUCAAUUAUAUGAAUAAUUAGACAUGUCUACUAAUAGAAUUUAUGAAUUAGUUAUACUAAAUUUACUAAUACAUUUAUACUAAAUUUCUAAUUACACUUAAUAGAAUAACACUUUUUUCUAAAACAAAAAAGCACAAACACAAUAAUGAAUUAGUGAUUGUAUGAUAGGGUGUAAUUUUACUAUUUAUUUUAUUAUUAAUUUCCCCUAUCACCUGACCUGAUGUGGAUUAAUUGCUGGAUUCUGCUCACUUUUAGUACUUUGUAUUUAUUUCAGGGAGUAGAACGGAAAUUUGAUAACAGGUGCUAAUUUGGCAGAAAAAGAGUCCAGAUGAUAGAGCUUGCCCCAAGGGCAUUUUUGGAAAGGAGAACUUGUGCCCAUCUUGGUAAUUUGGGAGAAAAGGGAAACAGACAAAAUGGGUCUAACAUGGAUUGGAAGCGGCCGCACAGUAGCAGGGAAGAGGGCAGACGUAAAAGCAAUUGCAGGGGGGAAAAGGAGUUUUUUUAGUUUUUAGCUUAGCAUCUGAUUUUCCCUGGGAGACUUUUGUUAAAGAUUUCCUUUUGGCUGAUAUUACGCAUGGCAGAUGGCUUUUAACUUAUUCCUCCAUCUUUGACUUUUCUUCUUUAGCUUGUGGCAGUGGAUUGCUACUUACGAAUGUCAGCACUUAGCCAUUCGUGGCUUUUGAUCUUUUCUUCCUUAGAAAUUCUGAGUAACCUCUUUUCCUUUGUGCGCCAGACGAAGUGAAAACUAUAAACUUUUGUAGUUUUUCUAUUCAUUCAAUAUAUUGAGACGAGUUGGAUUCUACCAAAUUUCAACGGACAUGGCCGCUGGUUUCUCUUCAAUUUUAUAUGGGCUUUGUUCAUCCAACAUGAACUAAUUUCACCACUCUAGUCAAGGAGCAACGAAGGCUCUGAUUUGCCUAAAAAUUGUGAGAUCGUUUUAAUUUAAUCUUUUCCUUUUAUUUAUUGGUAUCCGCACAUUUCUUGAUUGCUAUGCUUAUGGUUAUUUAAUUAAUUGAUUGUCUUGGAUCCAGAUAAUUAAUUGAUCUGAUAGCCUAUUGUCAAUUAGGGCAUUUAAAUCCGUAAUUGUUUAAUUGUCCUGAAAUAGUGACAACUGGCACGAUUAGAUUCGUGCCAGGGGGGAUAUGCGGGCUAAUCUAAAAUAACCCUGGUAGUGUGUUAUUUGGUUAGAAUAGGGCUCCUCUAAUACUAAGGCAAUUGGGGAAUUAAAUUCUACGGGCGUACCUAGGAUUAUUUCUUAAUUAGAGCAGUGAUUAACGGGCGUACCUUGAUCACCGACACAGUAAGGAGGGGUUGACCGUCAUCGCUUGUUUGGCAGUUAUAACCUAUUUAUCAGUAAAUAAUUGGGAUUGCCUUGCAUCAAUGAUCAAUUAGGUGAACCAUUGUUGAAGUUACUUCUUGGUUAGAUCUUUAGUUAAUAUUACCUUGAUUUUGGUGAAUUGCCAUUUGAUUUUUAGUUGCCUACUUUAUUUUAUUUUUAAUUGUUUCCUUGCUUUAAUUGAGUUAGGCCUUUAAUUAUUGUUAUUCUAAGUUUAGUGAAUUGUGGUUUAAUUCCUAAUUAGUUAUUUAUUUUUACUUUCUUAUUUGAAUUUAUUUGCUUGUUAUCAUUCCUACGAAAUCACCCCCCUGUGUUACUUUGGAUUUCUUAAGAAACAAAUAUACCCAAUCCCUGUGGAUACGACCCUACUUGCUCUGUUCACGAAUUCAUAAUUAUUUGUGAAAAGAAAUAACCAUUCCACUCGGGUAUAUCGGAUCAAGCAAAUUCUUCGGGAACAGGGUGAAUCAAGUAACCCAAUGCACACCUAGAGUCCCUGCUCCAGUACUUGGAAUUGGGUUUUGGUCAUUUUAACUGGCAAUUAGGUUUAAUUUUAUUAUUGCACAGGCUGACGACCCUGUCAAUUUUUGGCGCCGUUGCCGGGGACUGGCGUUAUUAUUUGUUUCUUUUUAAAUUCAUUCUUUGUCCUAAUUUUCUGGUUUUCUUCUAGUGUAUGCCUCGAUCUUCUCGUACAGGUAAUUUGAUUUUUGACCCUGAGGUAGAGAAGACCGCAUGUAGAACGAGAAAGGAAACCAGACAGCUCAGAGAAGAGCACUCCAGUGCUACAUCUCAGAGACCCGAGUCAGAAGUUGAACUAACAGAUUCGUUUGGUAACACUUCGAGUGACUCUGACCAGGAGGAAGACACCAUGGCUAAUGCACGAACAUUAAGGGAGUUGGCUGCUCCUGAUUUAACUCAGCAGCCUUUAUGCAUUACUUUCCCCACUUUAAAUGAUAACAUUCCAUUUGAACUAAAAUCUGGUCUGAUUCAGCUUUUACCCUCUUUUCAUGGUUUACCAGGUGAAGAGCCGUAUAAGCAUCUGCAGGAGUUUGAUGUCGUGUGUAAUAGUAUGAAACCCUCGGGAAUCACAGAAGAGCAGAUAAAAAUGAGGGCAUUCCUCUUCUCCUUGAAAGAUUCUGCGAAGGACUGGCUGUACUACCUGUCACCAGGUAGCAUCACCACGUGGGACCAAUUGAAGAAAAAAUUUUUGGAUAAAUAUUUUCCUGCGUCCAGGGCUGCAAGUCUAAGGAAAGAAAUUUGUGGGAUCAAGCAGCAUCCAGGGAAGUCACUUUAUGAGUAUUGGGAACGGUAUAAGAACUUGUUGCGCAGGUGCCCCCAACACCAAAUAAGUGAGCAAUUGAUCAUACAGUAUUUUUAUGAGGGGCUCCUUUUUAGAGACAGGAGCAUCAUUGAUGCCAGGGGGGAGGGUUGGGAUGGGUGGUACGGGGGGAGGGAGUGUAAGCAAGAGGUCUCGGGUUCGAGUCCUCCCGCUUACACACAAAAAAAAAGAUGCUGCAAGUGGAGGGGCACUGGUAAACAAAACCCCUCAGGAAGCACGGGAGUUAAUAGAGGGGAUGGCAGAGAAUUCACAACAAUUCAGUACAAGAGAGGAUGUCCCAAUACGUAAGGUGAAUGAGGUAGAGACACCCUCUAUGCAGCAGCAGCUAACUGAGUUGACCGCGUUUGUUAGGCAACUGGCUGUGAGAAAUGCAUCACAAGCCAGGGUGUGCGGGAUUUGCACUGGUAUGGGUCAUUCUGCAGACAUGUGCCCAAUGAUUCAGGAAGAAACUGCAGAACAGGUGAACAUGGCUGACCACGCGCCCGCGCCAAGGAAGCAGUACGACCCUUACUCAAGCACCUACAACCCCGGGUGGAGAGAUCAUCCCAACCUCAGUUAUGGAGAAAAUAGGCAGCCCAACAUUACACCGAACAGGCAGUCUAACUUUGUGCCAAAUAGGCCACCAGGGUACCAGCAGCAAUAUCAACCCCGACCACCUCCGUCCCCAAGCUCUGGCCCAUCUUUGGAGGAGAUGAUGAAACAAAUGAUGACAACUAUGGCUCAAAAUCAGCAAAUGACGGAGGCAACCAUUAUGCAAAAUCAGCAAAGGACGGACUCCGAAAUGAAGGAUAUAAGGAAUCAGAUAAGUCAAAUGGUCACAACAAUCAACCGUUUGGAUUCCCAGAACCAAGGUAAAUUGCCAUUUCAGCCCGAAUUAAAUUCGAAGAACGUGAGCGCAAUGACCCUAAGGAGCGGGAAAGAAAUUCAGGGGUCUGAACCUGUGAUCCCUAAGGAUAAGGAUGAGGAAAAGAUCGAAAAUGAGCUUGAAAGGGAGGACAGCAAUGGUGCAGAUCUAAAGGUACUUCCUGACCCAAUAAUUACAGCUAAAACUAACCCGCCUCCUUUUCCUAGCAGGUUGGAAAAAUCGAAAAAAGAGGAUAAGGAGAAGGAGAUCUUGGAGGUUUUUCGCAAGGUUGAGAUAAAUAUCCCCCUCUUAGACGCAAUCAGACAAGUACCAAAAUAUGCCAAGUUCCUAAGGGACUUGUGUGUCAACCGAAGGCAGUUGAGGGAAGAUGAACGGGUUAUUGUUGGGGAGAAUGUGUCAGCAGUCCUGCAGAGAAAGCUCCCACCAAAGUGCGGGGACCCAGGUAUGUUUACUAUUCCCUGUAGGAUAGGUAAUACUGUGAUAGAAGGGCCAUGUUGGAUCUGGGAGCAUCAAUUAAUCUCAUACCUAAAUCUAUCUAUGCUUCUCUAAAAUUAGGUCCAUUAAAAGAAACUGGAAUAAUCAUUCAAUUAGUUGACCGAACUAAUGCAUAUCCUGAUGGGUUGGUUGAAGAUGUGUUGGUAAAAGUUAAUGAUUUGAUGUUUCCAGCUGAUUUUUAUGUACUUGAUAUGGAUGAUGAUCACUCCCCUGAUCCCUCACCUCUGUUAUUGGGUAGACCCUUUAUGAGCACAGCACAGACGAAAAUUGAUGUUAAUAAGGGUAUCUUGUUCAUGGAGUUUGAUGGGAAAAUUGUGCAUUUCAAUAUCUUUGAUACUAUGAAAUAUCCCUCAAACUCCAACUUUAGCACAGUUUUCUCUGUGAGUGCUAUUGACCCUGUAGUGCAGGAAGUGUUUGAAACUGAUGGCAGGGAUGAGUUGGAGGUGGCUUUGACCAAGCACCUCGAGUUGGAGACAACUCCUGAGGUGGAAUGGAGCGAGGACCUAAAAUGCACAAUAGGUGCAUUACACUCAUUGCAGUCCACCACGAAAAGGUAUGAAGUCUUACCUAUUUUUACUCCCGAACCUCACCAGAGGGUGUUGCCAUCUGUGGUGCAGGCACCUGUACUAGAAUUUAAACCUCUAUCAGAGCACCUGAAAUAUGCAUAUCUGGGUGAUAAUGAGACACUCCCGGUGAUUAUCUCAUCGACACUGUCAAAAAUCCAGGAGGAGAAACUGAUCCGGGUCCUUAGAGAGCAUAAAGAGGCGAUAGGUUGGACAAUCGCAGAUAUUAAGGGGAUCAGCUCGGCCAUCUGUAUGCACCGGAUUAGACUAGAAGAGGAUGCCAAACCUGUUAGGCAGGCUCAAAGGAGGCUCAACCCCCUAAUGAUGGAAGUUGUAAAGAAAGAAAUUUUAAAAUUGCUAGAUGUGGGGAUUAUUUUUGCAAUAUCAGAUAGCCCUUGGGUAAGCCCGAUCCAGGUAGUCCCAAAGAAGGCAGGGGUGACGGUGGAGGCAAACCAAACGGGUGAGCUCGUGCCAGUGCGCAAACCCACUGGAUGGAGGCAGUGUAUAGACUACCGUAGGCUAAACGCCGUCACCAAAAAGGACCAUUUCCCUCUCCCUUUCAUUGACCAAAUGGUUGAACGUUUAGCUUGUAGAGCUUAUUAUUGCUUUUUGGAUGGAUUUUCAGGAUACUUUCAGAUAGCAAUUGCUCCAGAGGAUCAAGAGAAGACAACCUUCACGUGCCCGUUCGGGACCUUUGCUUAUAGACGAAUGCCAUUUGCGUUGUGCAAUGCACCUGCAACAUUCCAGAGGUGUAUGGUAAGUAUUUUUUCUGAAUAUGUGGAGAAAAUUAUUGAAGUUUUCAUGGACGAUUUCAGUGUGUAUGGUGAUAGUUUUGAUACGUGUUUAGAUAAUCUGAAAUUGAUCCUGAUAAGGUGUAUAGAGACUAAUCUUGUGCUUAAUUGGGAAAAAUGUCAUUUUAUGGUUGAGCACGGGAUAGUCCUGGGUCAUAUUGUAUCGUCUAAGGGCAUAGAAGUUGACAAGGCUAAAAUAGAUAUUAUUUUUGCAUUACCUUACCUCGCGAGUGUGCGGAAGGUGCGUUCUUUUCUUGGACAUGCAGGUUUUUAUCGAAUGUUCAUCAAGGAUUUUUCAAAAAUUGGAGCCCCGUUAUUCCAACUCCUACAAAAGGAUGUGACCUUCGAAUUCGAUGAUAAGUGUGAGGAAGCCUUCAACAAGUUGAAAGAAUUGUUGACCUCACCCCCAAUUAUCCAGCCCCCUGAUUGGAGUCUACCAUUUGAGAUCAUGUGCGAUGCCAGUGAUCAUGCCGUAGGGGCUGUAUUGGGGCAAAGAGUAGGGAAGGCAGCUCACGUCAUCUACUAUGCAUCCCGAGCAUUGAAUGGAGCCCAAUUGAAUUACUCCACUACUGAAAAGAAGCUUCUUGCAGUUAUUUUUGCUUUAGAAAAAUUCAGGUCAUAUUUGCUAGGUGCUAAAGUAAUUGUAUUUUCUGACCAUGCAGCAUUAAGGUACCUAAUGACCAAGAAAGAUGCCAAACUGAGGCUCAUUAGGUGGAUAUUGCUACUGCAGGAAUUUGACCUGGAGAUACGGGAUAAAAGGGGCUCAGAGAAUUUAGUAGCUGACCAUCUGAGUCGUAUACCCGUUGGAGAGGAUAAUGAACCAUUGAGGGAUGCGUUCCCUGAAGAGCACUUAUUUUCUUUAAAUUCUCAGUUGCCUUUGUAUGCCGAUCUGGUCAAUUAUUUGGUAACUGGUAAUUUUCCUGCAGGUUGACCAAAAUCGAAGAGGGAUAAAUUGAAGAGCGACGCCAAGUAUUUUAUUUGGGACGACCCGUACCUAUGGAAGAGGUGUGCAGAUCAAGUGAUGCGGAGAUGUGUAAGUGAAAUGGAAUUUCAAUCGAUUUUAGCUUUUUGUCAUACUUUUGCCUGUGGAGGUCAUUUGGACCCAAGAGAACUGCUCAUAAGGUUUUAGAAAGUGGAUUUUAUUGGCCUUCAUUGUUUAAGGAUGCCUAUGUGUUUUGUAAGUCAUGUGAUCGCUGUCAAAGGGUAGGUAAUAUACCCCGUAGAGAUCAAAUGCCCCAAGUCCCGUUGAUUUUUAUUGAAAUUUUUGAUGUCUGGGGUAUAGAUUUCAUGGGGUCUUUUCCUACUUCAUUUGGUUUUUUAUAUAUUUUGCUGGCAGUUGAUUAUGUGUCUAAAUGGGUGGAGGCUAAGGCCACUCGAACUAAUGACUCGAAAGUAGUUGCAAAUUUUGUCAGGUCUAAUAUUUUUGUGCGAUUUGGAAUGCCUAGUGCUAUUGUCAGUGAUAGGGGAACGCACUUUUGCAACAAAAUCAUAGCUGCGUUGUUUCGCAAGUAUGGUGUACUCCAAUGGGUCUCAACGUCGUACCACCCUCAGACCAAUGGUCAAGCGGAGGUGUCGAAUCGAGAGAUCAAGUCUAUCUUGGAGAAAAUGGUGCGCCCCGAUAGGAAAGACUCGAGUCAAAGGCUGGAGGACGCACUUUGGGCCUAUCGGACGGCGUACAAGACUCCUAUAGGGAUGUCACCGUACAGGUUGGUAUUUGGGAAGCCGUGUCACCUUCCAGUGGAGUUUGAGCACAAAGCUUUUUGGGCGAUAAAGUAAUGCAACAUGAAUUUAGAGGAAGCCGGUGCCCAACGAAAGUUGGAUUUGCAAGAAUUAGAAGAGAUCCGGAACGAGGCUUACGAAAAUGCACUAAUUUAUAAGGAGAGAAGCCGGAUAUUUCAUGAUCAACAAAUUUCAAGAAAAUCCUUUGAAGUUGGUCAGAAGGUCCUACUAUACCAAUCCAGGCUCAAGCUAUUCCCAGGUAAACUACGUUCCCGUUGGAUUGGACCUUUUCUUGUUACUCAUGUUUUUCCAUAUGGUGCAGUUGAAAUCCGGAGCGCUAAAACAGACAACAAAUUUGUGGUGAAUGGACACCGUCUCAAGCAUUACUACGAAGGAUUUUCAGGUGAAAAGGUGGAGACAAUAAGUCUAGACGCGCCACCGUGUCCUAAUCAGUGACAUUUUACUAUGUCUAGCCAAAGACAUUAAAGACAGGCGCUCAUUGGGAGGCAACCCAAUUGUCCCUUUUAAUUAUUUGUUUGAUUUCGUGUGAUAGUUUAAAUAUGUUUUCCUUGAAUUCGACUGAUUUUGGGUUUCAGUUUUCGUUUUUGCUGAAUUGUAGGUGACCUUCAGUCUUGACGCGCCCGCGUGAUGACAUGCAGGAAGCUCACGAUCAGAAUCGUCUGAAAGCUCUCUUGCCCUUUUGACGCACCCGCGUGAUGACGUGCAGGAAGCUCACGAUCAGAAUCGUCUGAAAGCUCUCUUGCCCUCUUGACGUGCCCGCGUCACGUUCGCAGGAAAGGUACGGGUUUCAAAAAUUUAAAGAAAAAAUAAUAAUAAUAAUAAUUUAAAAUUUUGAAAUUAACUUCCGUAAAAAAAAAAAAGAAGAAAAAAAAUUUCACCGUGGCUUAAAUAGAGCCUAAAGAAGAGAAAAAAGAAACAAUUUCUUUCUUUUUUUUUUCUUUUUCUUCUUUCUUCCUUCUUUCUUUCUUUCUUCUUUCUCUUUUCCCUCUCUCUUCUCCCCUGUUUCUUCUCCCCUGUCCGUCGCCCGUGCGCCCCAUCGCUGCUCCACCUCCACACGCACGCCGACGCUGCGAGCCACCUGCGACCCCAGCGCCAGAUCUGGACCAUCGCCGAAACCCGCAGCCUCCGCCACCUCCACCUGAGCUCUGCCUCGCGCGCAACCCAGCUGCUCUGCGCCCGAAGCUCCACCGCCGCCACAGCCUCCCCACGCAGCUCCCUGCUCACGCGGCCACAAGCCCAUUGGAAACGGGACAGAGACUGCCGCCGAGCCACUUGCCCGCGUGACCGCCGCUGUUUUCCACCACCUCCCUCACGCGAGCUCUUUCCCUCUCAGCAGCAAUCCACUUCACAGCGCACCCGCUGCGCGCCGUCGCAGCCCUCGCAGCUCCAGCCCGUCUGGUCUAGUCCGCCGCGCGCACCAACCACCCACGGACGCUACCCCCAUCGCUAACCCACGCGGCCUCCACUCCAGUCUGUCCGCCGCCGCUGCUCGUGUCUCCCUUGCGCACCUCACGCCACCCGCUACUGUCCCCUUCCGUUUGGUUAGCAUCCACGGUGGAGGUAAUUGGAGGUUAUUUUCUCAAUUGUGUGACUUCCGCCUGUGAUACUGGUUGCAUUAUUUUUGCUGGGAAUUGCUACUUCUUUUGGGUUGGGUUCAACUGUGCAAUUAAUUGGCCAACUGGAGCCAUUUGUUGGGAUUUUGGGUGAGCUGAAAUACUGCAUUUGUGUGUUACAUUGGGAGGUUUAUUGGGUACAUUCUAACCGCUGUUUUCCAUUGUUACUCUCGCUGGGGUGUCUAUUAAAUUGCGAUUGAAGUAUUUUGGAUAUUGCAUGUUGAGAUUGAGGUUUCAUUGAAUUUGGCCUACGUUCUGCCCCCAGUGGUACUGGUGGGAAUAUUUUCAAUUGAAUUUGUUACCUCUAGUUGGUUGGCUACAUUAUUAUGGUCGAAUUCCUAAGUUGUCGUCAUUGCAUUUGUUGAUCUUGAUUUGGGGCAUUAACCGGCCAACUGGAGCCAUCUGUGCGUUUUUAGGCGCUAUUAUUGGUUUCUUCUCCCUUAACUUUGUCAACUAUAUUUGGUUGGGUAUUUGGUUGACUGCCACGGACUUGUAACUGUGUUUUGCUUCUAAUUGACCAGUUGCACAGCAGUUUUUUUUUAAUUGAUAGGGUGGUUAUACCUCUGGAUAUUUGUAUCCACUGGUUUGAGGACAUGGUGAGACCAAAAUCCUCCUCUAGGUCUAGGACCCCUAGAACCUCGCAAUCCCAACCCCAAGCCUCUACUCUAGUCAAUACCCCUAUAAAUCAACCUACUGCUCCCGGUGUCCGAACCUGGUUAGGUAGGGGUAGAGGUGCCCACGUGGCUUCCGCCACUCACUUGGGAGGGCAUUUGGAAUUCACUAGAGCCGCCGAUCAGCGACGCUAUGCUCAAGCUUGUGAGCGGCGUAUCAUUCCGUGCAAAUGCGCGGACCACAUUACUAUGGUUUUUCUGGGGAUCCAAGGGGAGGUUGAGCGCAUGUACACCGCCAUUGGAUGGCGCCCCUAUCUGGAUAUUUUCCAGCCAGCCUUUGUCGAGUUGACUAGAGAGUUUUACACCACUUUUAAGUUUGAAUUACCGACUAGGUAUACUGUUGCGACUCCCGAUAUCAUUCACUUCCGUCUCAUGGGCCAGGAAUUCAAUUUCUCUAUCACCCAGUUCAAUCUGGCUUUCGGUUUCAUCACUCGGGAGUAUGCAGAGACUAGGGAAUACGGUGAGAGUGCCUGCGAUUUUGUGGAACCUUUCCUUACCGCCUACCGUGAGGUGUGGGAGGACAUGUCUGUGGACAUGCAGCGUUACGAUCCCUCUCGGUCUCGGAGCUCCUUUCUAGAGGACCCGAGUGCUCGGUAUGUUCAGCGGCUUUUAGCAUAUAGCUACUCGGGCAGAAAGAACAGCUUCGGUAUUAUCUCUCGGCCGGAGCUCUUCUUCCUUUGGUGUAUGAAGAAUGGGUUCAAGGUCAAUUUGGGUUGUUGGUUGGCGGCACAGUUCAAGACCGUCAUGGCAAAGAAGAACAAGCCGUUGAUUCUUGGGUCGUAUAUCACGUACUUGGCGGUCCAGCUAGGCGUUCUGAAUCUACAGGAUCACGAUUUGCACUUGGCCUGCGACAUGGAGUAUCUCACUGCUGACCGGCUAGAGAAGAUGGGGGUUCUGGAGCUUGUCGAUGGCCACUACCGAUUUGUGCCCCCGGGACCGCCCCGCGCCCCGCCUCGCUCUUCCUCCACCCAUUCGGCCCCAGUUGGCGGUGAUCCUGGCCCGUCGACAUCCGCUCAGCUCCCUCCACCAGCAGGGGCUGAAGAUUGGCACCAAAUCAGGACGCAGAUUCAGAAUUUGGACGCCCGGAUGAUUAGCAUCGAGAGCAACGUGGCGGCUAUAUCACAGAAUCUGGCGGCAUUCCUGCAGCACUCGGGUUUCCCGCCCCCAAUCCCACCUCACCCUCCACUAUGACCCGGUUUCAGGGAAGUUUGGUUACUUUCUCCCUCACUUUUGUUGUUUUUUGACACAUUGAGGACAAUGUGUCCUAUAGGUGUGGGGGGGUCUAUAGUCUUUCUAGUUUUUAGUAGUUGUUAGUUUUUAGUUUUUUAGUAGUUUUAGUUUUAUUUCUAGUUGCGUAUUUUCUUUCUUUUCUUAGUGCUUAUUCCCCAUGUGAAAAGAAAAAGAAAACAAAAAAAAAGAGAAAAAAAUGUUGGUUUAUUGACUCUAACUCUACUUUUGCCAAGUUUUUUUUAAAUAAAAAUGUAUCGGGUUAAUGUGGUUGGAUCCAGAAUAUCUCCCUGGUGAAUAUCGGAUUGCUUGGCUCUUUUGAUUUCUGUGUUAAUUUCUCUAGGCAUAGGGAAUGACUGUUGGCAUUUUAAUGUGAACUGGUCCAAUAUUGACUCCAGUUCUCUAUGUUUGGCAAUAAUGAGGCGAGCUGUUCCUAUUUUUGGUUCUUAGUGUUGUUAUUAUGUGUUUUUGGCUUUGUUUGGCUGUGAAUAAUCUGGACUGUACUCCGCUAUGAGUUACUACUGAGUAACCGAGGAUCGGCACCUAAAAGUGUCGAUUCUCGCGUCAAAAGGUGGUACUUUAUAUGAGUACGUGGUCGUAUAGCAGUAGGAGCUGAGUAACCGGGCUCCUUCAUCUAAAAAUGUUGGAGUUCGCGUCAAAAGGCCCCGACGGCUAACGACUAAGUCUUUUUGUGUUAAUUAUUAUUGCUUUGAAAAACAAAAAAAAAAAAGAACGAAAAAAGAGAGAAUAAAUAAUAGGAAGGCUUGCCGGUUUAUGGACUUAAUAUGGAGACUUGUGUGAAUAUUUGGACCAUUAGCUAAUAAAUGUUGUGCGCCAUUCCCUUUUCUUAGAGUAGUUAACCUGGAAAUUGAAGGAAUUUGCAGUUUAGGGGCUAACCGGGGGGGAGGCUUCUUGGAUUUUAAUCACCAAUGCUCGAUAUAUGUUUUUCUCUUGAAGAUCUUGGCAAUAUAGGAGAUUGGACAAUGGCCAUCAUCGAAUUUUGGUGUUCGUUUACUAUUCUUAUGCUUGAGGACAAGCAUGGUUUAGGUGUAGGGGGAAUUGAUAGGGUGUAAUUUUACUAUUUAUUUUAUUAUUAAUUUCUCCUAUCACCUGACCUGAUGUGGAUUAAUUGCUGGAUUCUGCUCACUUUUAGUACUUUGUAUUUAUUUCAGGGAGUAGAACGGAAAUUUGAUAACAGGUGCUAAUUUGGCAGAAAAAAGUCCAGAUGAUAGAGCUUGCCCCAAGGGCAUUUUUGGAAAGGAGAACUUGUGCCCAUCUUGGUAAUUUGGGAGAAAAGGGAAACAGACAAAAUGGGUCUAACAUGGAUUGGAAGCGGCCGCACAGUAGCAGGGAAGAGGGCAGACGUAAAAGCAAUUGCAGGGGGGAAAAGGAGUUUUUUUAGUUUUUAGCUUAGCAUCUGAUUUUCCCUGGGAGACUUUUGUUAAAGAUUUCCUUUUGGCUGAUAUUACGCAUGGCAGAUGGCUUUUAACUUAUUCCUCCAUCUUUGACUUUUCUUCUUUAGCUUGUAGUAGUGGAUUGCUACUUACGAAUGUCAGCACUUAGCCAUUCGUGGCUUUUGAUCUUUUCUUCCUUAGAAAUUCUGAGUAGCCUCUUUUCCUUUGUGCGCCAGACGAAGUGAAAACUAUAAACUUUUGUAGUGUUUCUAUUCAUUCAAUAUAUUGAGACGAGUUGGAUUCUACCAAAUUUCAAUGGACAUGGCCGCUGGUUUCUCUUCAAUUUUAUAUGGGCUUUGUUCAUCGAACAUGAACUAAUUUCACCACUCUAGUCAAGGAACAACGAAGACUCUGGUUCGCCUAAAAAUUGUGAGAUCGUUUUAAUUUAAUCUUUUCCUUUUAUUUAUUGGUAUCCGCACAUUUCUUGAUUGCUAUGCUUAUGGUUAUUUAAUUAAUUGAUUGUCUUGGAUCCAGAUAAUUAAUUGAUCUGAUAGCCUAUUGUCAAUUAGGGCAUUUAAAUCCGUAAUUGUUUAAUUGUCCUGAAAUAGUGACAACUGGCACGAUUAGAUUCGUGCCAGGGGGGAUAUGCGGGCUAAUCUAAAAUAACCCUGGUAGUGUGUUAUUUGGUUAGAAUAGGGCUCCUCUAAUAUGUAAGGCAAUUGGGGAAUUAAAUUCUACGGGCGUACCUAGAAUUAUUUCUUAAUUAGAGUAGUGAUUAACGGGCGUACCUUGAUCACCGACACAGUAAGGAGGGGUUGACUGCCAUCGCUUGUUUGGCAGUUAUAACAUAUUUAUCAGUAAAUAAUUGGGAUUGCCUUGCAUCAAUGAUCAAUUAGAUGAACUAUUGCUGAAGUUACUUCUUGGCUAGAUCUUUAGUUAAUAUUACCUUGAUUUUGGUGAAUUGCCAUUUGAUUUUUAGUUGCCUACUUUAUUUUAUUUUUAAUUGUUUCCUUGCUUUAAUUGAGUUAGGCCUUUAAUUAUUGUUAUUCUAAGUUUAGUGAAUUGUGGUUUAAUUCCUAAUUAGUUAUUUAUUUUUACUUUCUUAUUUGAAUUUAUUUGCUUGUUAUCAUUCCUACGAAAUCACCCCCCUGUGUUACUUUGGAUUUCUUAAGAAACAAAUAUACCCAGUCCCUGUGGAUACGACCCUACUUGCCCUGUCCACGAAUUCAUAAUUAUUUGUGAAAAGAAAUAACCAUUCCACUCGGGUAUAUCGGAUCAAGCAAACUCUUCGGGAACAGGGUGAAUCAAGUAACCCAUUGCACACCUAAAAUCCCUGCUCCAGUACUUGGAAUUGGGUUUUGGUCAUUUUAACUGGCAAUUAAGUUUAAUUUUAUUAUUGCACAGGCUGACGACCCUGUCAUUGUAUUUGUACCAAAAGUGAAAACUUAACUAUUUUAGUUGUAUUUAUUUCAUCAUGUUGGAUUGUAUUCAAAUAAUUUUUGUUUGAUUGUUUUUAUAAGUUUCAAUUGUAAAAUUAAAAUGAAUAAUAACUUGAUGAUGUGUUGAUAUUUUAGUACUUGAUUAUUUAUUAAAAUUUAAUUAUAAUAAAAUUUUAUUAACUCAACGAGAAAAAUUUUAUUAAUCCCGUGGGGGCACCCGCGGGGAAAGCGGGGCGGGGCGAGGGGAGUGGGAGGCGGAGGACGGGGCGGGGGCGGGGGAUGGGGGAGGGGUCCCCCGCCCCAACCCCGCCAUCCCCCGUCCCGUUGUCAUCCCUAGUAAUAGACUGGCAAGCAUUGUGGUGGUCAUUGAGCAACUUAUAGGAGAAAUAGUCCUAUAAGCUGUUCAAUGACCAAUCACAACUUGCUAAUUGGAUGACUAAUAUAGCUCUAGCUGUAAUGUUUUAAUUAAAUUACAUCACUAACGUUGGGAUGACUUUUUAACCAAAAAAAAAAAGCCUUAGUUCAAGCUUUUCCCUUUAUUGUGCAUUUUUUAAAGCAUUUGAAAGGCACUGCAAAUCUGUCAUUUUGGACAUUUUAUUAUUGACUAACAAUGAAAGCCGUGGACGUCUACCCAUAACCAACACAAGAUUAAAUUAAUAUUAGAAAAAAUAAUUGAGUAAUUGGAAAAAAAAAAAAAAGAAGAGUCUAAUUUUCAUUGAAACCCACCGACAAACUAUACGUGUCCAUGGCUUUUGAAUAGUGCAUUCAACGUUUAAUUGUAUGGUCCAGUUCAUUGCAGAUUACAUGGAGUAAAGAUUGCGCUCUUUCCUUUUCACCCCUUUUGGAAUCGAUACUGUGGAGAAUUGGGUUUUUCCCUCCUUUUUUUCUUUUCUUUCCUUCUGUGGUUUGCAAAACAUACGUAAAAAUAUGAAAUCCGAAGCAUUCUUUAAUUGGUAUUAAGUAUUGUUGUUGAAAUUAAAAAGAAAAAAGAAAGAACAACAAAAUUCCCAAUCUGGGUUGAUUGUUGAGCUCUAGAUUGGUUGCAUCGUGCUUCCAUAGAAGCAAGAUUUGUAAAAUCGGAAUCCUACAUAGGAUCGAUUUUAGUUUCACAGGAUCGGAUUGUAAAAUCGUAAGAUCCUACCAAAAGCUCUCAAUUGCAAUUAAAGGUUGCAAUUCUUUAAUAAAUUACAAAUAUACCACAAAUAUUUUCAUUUACUUGCAAAAUGGAGCUUCGUAUUUCACAAAUUUACAAAAAAAUUGUAGGAUCGUACGAUCCUACCGAUCCUACGAUCCUACACGAUCCUACCGAUCCUGCUACGAUUCUAUGCGAUCCUACAAAGAUUAAUAUGAUUUGCGACUCUGCAUACGAUCCGGAUCGAUUUUGGUUAUCCGGAUCGUAGGAUCGUAUGAUCCUACGAUCCGGAUCGCGAUUUUGACAACUAUGCAUAGAAGCUCUCUUAGUGUGAUACACUGCUUUCAAUCAGUUUAACACGGGAAAAAAAAAAAGAGAUGAAAAGCAAAUUUGGUGGAGAUAAUUUCAGAAACCUCCCCUGAAGAUUUUGACUAUUCUACUGGUUUCCCUUCAGAUUUUAAAAAUUACACUAAUCUUCCUUGAAGUUAAUUAUCUUGUAACAUUUAAAUUCAAUCAAUAAUUUAAAAAAUGAUAUUAUGAGAGAGAAAAUAAUAUGAUUUUAUCAUUGCCCCCCAUCUUACUACAUUAUUUAAUUAAUUUAAUAGCAACCCACACAUUAAAGAAAAAUAUUAAAAUUUGUUGUUUAUCAUUAAAGAUCAAAUCGCUUAUAACAUCAAAUAAUAGUAUAUUAUUUAUAUUUUUCACUUAAUAUAAUAUCCAAAUUACUCUUUUCAAUUACAUACCCAUUGUUAGAGAAUCAACAACAAAUAACCAAAAAAUUUGCAACCAAAAUAUUACAAAAAAAAUAAACUUUAACAUCAUAAAUAUUCUUAUCAACAUAUUAAAGUUAGUUACUGAAAUUUUUAUGCUGUUAAACUUCACUCUUUUUGAAUACAGAUUUUUUUGAUUAUUUGUUAUUAAUUAUGUUUGAUGAUGGGUUUAUAAUUGAAAAGAACAAUUUGAAACUUACAUUAAGUAAAAUAUAUAGAGUGAUAUACUAUUUUUUAUAACAUAUGUGAUUCAAUCCUUCUUGAUAGGAUUGGUAAUAGAGGUAGAGGGGGGAGUCGGCUGCAUCCGGUCUUCUUUUCAUAGAUAGUACAAUAUUGCGAAAUCAAUCGCAUUCACACAAUAAUAUUUCGAAGUCAAUGCAUGGCUAAGUUGCAUAAAAGUACGAACACUUGUUAUUAUAUAGCUUAAGAUUCAAAACUUUCGAGCAUAACCCUCCACCCAACACAAUUGAAUAAUGAAUAUUCACGAUUGUCAAAUCUGUCAAAGCACAGUUUGAGGACAACCCAUUCCAACCUGCAAAAGAUUUUUUACUUUUCUAAAGUUGUUGAGAGCUGUAAAAAGACUUACCAUGCUUGCAUCCUCCGAGCCUUGGGAGUUAAAAAUGAAGGCACUGAGUGCUAUAAAAAGGGGAAUAGAGGCUGCCUAGAAGCAUAUCAGCCUAAAACAAGAAUUUGUAGUUAAGAUGGGAAGCAAAGCAAAAGCAAUGGGGUCUGGGCUGACUCCUCUUCUUGCCACUGUUUUAGUGGUGUUUGUUGCUCUUGGCUUGCCCUCACAAACUGCAGCUGAUGAUCACUACAAGUAUUCAUCUCCUCCUCCUCCUUACCACUAUCCCUCACCACCACCACCAGUGCAUAUACCUCCACCUCAUCCUGUUUACAAGUACAAAUCUCCACCACCCCCACCACCACACCCAGUUUACAAGUAUAAGUCACCACCACCACCUCCUCAUCCGGUAUACAAGUAUAAGUCUCCUCCGCCACCACCACACCCAGUUUACAAGUACAAGUCACCACCACCACCUCCUCAUCCGGUACCACACCCAGUUUACAAGUAUAAGUCACCUCCACCACCUCCUCAUCCGGUACCCACAGUUUACAAGUAUAAGUCACCACCACCACCUCCUCAUCCGGUAUACAAGUAUAAGUCUCCUCCGCCACCACCACACCCAGUUUACAAGUAUAAGUCACCACCACCACCUCCUCAUCCGGUGCCACACCCAGUUUACCACUACAAGUCACCACCACCACCUCCUCAUCCGGUACCACACCCAGUUUACCACUACAAGUCACCACCACCUCCUCACCCAGUUUACAAAUACGAGUCUCCACCACCACCAGUUUAUAAGUACAAGUCACCACCACCUCCUCCACCAGUUUACAAGUAUAAAUCUCCUCCACCACCACCACCAGUUUACCACUACAAGUCUCCACCACCUCCUCCCCCAGUUUACAAAUACAAGUCUCCACCACCUCCUCACCACUACUAAGCAAUUGCUUCUGAGGUAAUAACACUUGUUCAAUAUACCCACUUCUGCAUGAUAAAGCAUAUCUCUAUCAACACAAACUGUCAUGUCUAUCAUGCUAAGUGCCUUCACUUCAUCCACCAAAAUGACUGCUAGAAAAUUUUUUUUAUGUUACCAAAGAAAGGCAUCAUUUUUUCCCUCUGUUAUCAAGAACUUGUACAGUAUAUAGAUUAAAGAGUAUUUUUUUAACUAGCUUAUCAACUGAGAAAUGCAUAUAGCUGAUAGCCAGCUGAAUAUUUGCAGGCAAAGGAGAAGGAAACCAUGUUUGAGACCUUCUUGAAGAUGUAGAAGCAUAAGAAUAAAAGCCCAAUGUGAAGAUGAUGAUUUCAAGUUUUUCUACGUUACCAUUUCUUUAUCUAAAUUGGUUGUAGCGCCCAAGUUCCUUUGUUUAUGGGAUUUGUAUCGUUUUACGUACCAUGCAGUACAUGUCAUGUUUGUAAGGUUUUCUAUCCUGCCGGCAAACCGCAGGUUCCAUGUGAUAAAUGAAUACUAUUUAUGUUACGACACUUUUCUCUGUUUCUCUUAUAUUUUGUCUUUAAUAUUCUUAAUCAUAUUUUUAACAAAAAUAUUCAAACACUUAGGCAAUCUGGUCUAAUGCUAAUUGUAUGUUUUACUUUUCUUUUUCACCUGCUCCCCUUUUCAACUCAAAAGGAUGCAAUAGUUUGUGAUCACUGUUUAAGACGGAAGCAUGAUACUAAUGAAUAUCUCAUUGAAACUCAAGGAAACUAACAUUGCGAAAAGUGUAAAUCUUGAUUUGAUGCAACUAUUUAUUCGUGGAAUCUAUAGUUACAAAACUCAAAUUCUGACUGCGCCAUUGAUAAAUUAUUAAUGACGCUAUCAUCAUUAUUUAUCCCUAACUAGUUUCGACUACAACUGAACCCAAUAUUUUCCCCAUGAUAAAAGUUUUUGACUAUUUUACUGGCCUCUCUUCAAAUUUUAAAAAUUACACUAAUCUUCAUUGAGAUUAAUUAUCUUGUAACAUUUAAGUCCAAUUAAUAAUUAAAAAAUGAUAUUAUGAGAGAGAAAAUAAUAUAAUUUUAUCAUUGCCCCCCAUCUUGCUAUAUUAUUUAAUUAAUUUAAUAGCAACCCACACAUUAAAGAAAAAUACUAAAAUUUGCUGCUUUUCAUUAAAGAUCAAAUUGCAUAUGCCAUAAAACAUAGUAUAUCAUUCUAUAUGUUUCACUUAAUGUAAGAUCCCAAUUGUUCUUUUCAAUUACAAACCCAUUGUCAAACAUGAUCAAUAACAAAUAAUCAAAAAAUUUGCAACCAAAAUAUUACAAAAAAAAACUUUAACAUCAUAAAUAUUCUUACCACCUCUAGUGCAUUCACCCUCAUAAAAUAAUUCAAGACCCUACUGUCAUAAAAUGACUGAUCAACUCCUGUAAACCUAAUUUGACAACAUUUAAAUGGAGAACUUUAGCUAAAAGAAUUAUGGUCAAGCUAAAGAAAAAACCAGUUAUUUUCCAACAUAUGCAACCAUUGAUCAGGGGAAAAAAAAAAGCAAAAAGACAUCUUCAAUCAUUUAAUAGCUUACAGGGCAAAUUAACCCUUGAGUGAAAACUGGUUGCUCUAGAAUUAAAAUUUUACCUUAGUUACCCAGGCAACUUUUUUGUUGCCUUUUCUUUUUCUUUUUUGGGUAUAUAGCUCCAGUUUUGCCCCCUCUGUCAAGCUUAUAUAAUUAUUAAGAUAAUAAAAGUGCCUUUAAUAGUAUUAAUAUAUCCAUUGACUUGAGCUGUCAUCGAUCGGUUUGGGCUACUUCGAUUCCAUGAGAACAAAUGGUAAUAAAAGUACUCAGAAAAUGGGGAGUCAUGAAACCCUUUUGUUCUAUUCAUUGCUAAGAUGCUUUUCUCUAUAAAGAGACUUCCUAACGAAAAUACUUUGUAGAUUUCUUUACUCCAAGUGGUGCAUGGAAAAUUAAUAUUUUCAAUUAUCAAAUAAAAUUCCCUUUUUUCGGCGUAGAUUUCAUCCAUCCAGCUGUUAACACAUUCUAUAAAUCCGAAUUGACUAAUCUUUUCGUUUCCAUUUUCCAACUUGCGAAUACGGCAUAUAGUGUCUGCUAAACACUAUAUAUUCUCUGCCAAAUAUGAAUACAUAUCACUUUUCUGAGCAAGUGCAGAGUCAUUAUCAUUUUUAUUCCCACCUAACAAAUUAGGGAUAAAAAAGUUAAUAAUCUUUACAUGCUAUCAGGUCACAAGUUAAUAAUCUUUUAAAGAACAUGUUAAAUUAAUUUAUUGGUAUGAAUAGUAGUCAAAGAAGUAUGUUAAAGUUAGUAAUCUUUAAAAUAAUAUGUUAAAAUCAUUCGUACAAAUUAGUCAGAGAAGUAGCAUAAACACCGCGAUGCAAUUAAUACUUUCAAUCUCAAGGUCUCUAUUAUGGAAAUUUGCAUCGGUCAAUAUACACUUGGCAUAAUAUAAUCUCCCAACUCAUUUCUUUACAAAUGCACCUUUAAUCACCACCAAAAGGUGUGGACAUGAUCUUUACCCUAGAAAACUAUUCACCGACAGGCAAAUUGACGUCAGAAAUACUGAGGAAUUCUAGUUUCCUUCGGGUUCAUGCCAUGUUGUAUCCUUCAACUGUAACUCGAUUUCUAAGCUGUAAUUUGUGACAUAAUAGUCCUUAAACUAUGAAACCCUUCUUACUUAAUUACAAUGGUUAAUACAAUGCCCGUGACUAGACAAGUAUGAAGCAACCAUAACAGAAAAAAAAUCCAAAAUUAGAGAAAAGAAAGAAGUUUCGCGACCACCACCAGUUUACAAGUCACCUCCACCACCUCCUCCAGUUUACAAGUCACCUCCACCACCUUACCAUUAUUCCUCACCACCACCUCCAGUGCAUUCACCCCCACCACCACCAGUUUACAAGUCUCCGCCACCACCUUACCAUUAUUCCUCACCACCACCUCCUGUGCAUGCACCUCCACCACCAAUUUACAAGUCACCUCCUCCAGUUUACAAGUCUCCACCACCACCUUACGAUUAUUCCUCACCACCACCUCCAGUGCAUUCACCCCCACCACCACCAAUUUAUAAGUCUCCCCCACCGCCUCCCCCAGUAUAUAAGUCACCACCACCACCUCCUCCAGUAUACAAAUCACCUCCACCACCUCCUCCAGUUGACAAAUCUCCACCACCACCAAUUUAUAAAUACAAGUCUCCUCCACUACCUCCUCCAGUGUACAAGUCAUCACCACCACCUGCUUACAAGUCUCCACCUCCUCCAGUUUACAGUUCCCCACCACCACCAAUCUACAAGUCUCCACCUCCACCCUACCAUUACUACUACAAUUCUCCUCCUCCUCCUCGUCACUACUAAGCAAUUGUAUCCAAGUUUUUGAGGUAAUAACGCUUAACCAAUAAAUUAACUUUCGCAUGAUAAACCUUAUCUCUAUCAAGACAAACUGCCAUGUGUAUCAUGCCAAAUACGUACACCUAGAUCCAUGAAAAUGAAUGGUAGAAAGUUUUCUUAAGAACCAAGAACAGCAUUAGUAUUCCCUCUGCUUCCAAAAACUUGUGUAUUAAAUAGAUUAAUGAAUUGUUUAACAUGCUCAUCUACUUGAAAAUGCACAAUACCCAUAACCCACUGAAAUUUUUGCAGGAAAAGGGAAAGAGAAUCUGUGUUUGAGAGCUUCAUGAAGAUGUUGAAGAAUAAGAAUAAAAGCCCAAUGCAAGGAUGUUUUCAAGUUUUUCUAUGUUUCCACUUUAAUUUGUAAAUUGAAUUUUGCGACUCAAUUAAUUCCCUGUUUGUGAGGUACGUAUUGUUUUACGUACCAUGCCGUACAUUUUUUUUUUCCAACAAACGGUAUCAUGUUAUAGAUAUUAACACUUGACCUUACAAGGAUUAGUUACAAAAAGGGGAUACUACCCUCAACUCUGUCCUAGCUAAAUCAGUCAGCCAUAUUGGGAAAUUAGUUUCCCAUUCAAUAUCAUGUACAAGCUUCACAGCAUAUUGUGCUAAUUGAUGGCUGAUGUGAUUUUCAGUUCUAGGUAUAAACACAAAAGAACAUUUUUCAAAAGCUAGACUAAGUUCCUGCACAUCUUCUAAGAUAGUUGCAGUCGUGUAGUCAUACUCCUUGCGUUUAGUAAUCUGCUCUACCACUGAUUUGCAGUCUGUAUGGACUAUAAUUUGUGUCCAACCUGCUUGGGUAGCCAUCAGCAGAGCAUUUCUCACAGCCCGAGCUUCCACUUCACUUGCCGAUCCCUUUCCCUGUGUGACAAUUCCUUUUGCUUUCAAAAGCUGUCCUUUCCAAUUUCUUGCUAUAAUCCCUUGUCCGGUCCUGACUCGUUUAGCUGAUAUCGCUGCAUCGGUAUACAGCCUUAUCUCUUCCUUCCUUGGCCGCACUCUCCUGGUAGGUAAGGCAUCAUUCAGCUUCCCUGCGAUCUCCUUCUGGUCUGUACUCCCUACCUGUUCAAACUCAAGCCAUUCCUCCUGUGCUUUCCUUACUAUUUUUACUGGAUCCUGGUUGGCUUGUUCAAAAAAUUUUUUGUUCCUGGCUUUCCAAAUUUGCCAAAGGAUAUUGAUAGUAAGACUAACUCUCUCCUGACCUUGGUUCAGUGCCAGCGAUUGUGUGACUUGUUCCCACCAUAACCAAAAGUUAUAUUGCAUACCCAGUAAUCCAUCCCACCUGACCGGUGCUAGCUUCCACGUUUCCACAGCCUUUUCACAGAAGAAAAACAAAUGCUCAAUAGUUUCCAUAUCUUCACCACAGCAACCACAUCUGCCUUCCCCUCUAUGUAGCCUUUUCGACAUCUGUUCAUUGACUGGCAGACAAUUUUGUAAGCACUUCCACAUGAAGUGUUUUAGUUUGGCCUUCACCUUCAAAUGCCAUAGCUGCUUCCACACAUUUCGUUUUCGUAUCUCCCAACUUGUUUCUGCCUCUUGGCCUGUCCUUGUACCUGCUUUUCCUUCCCGUUGCCUUGCUAAAGCAUAACCAGAUUUCACGCUAUAAAUUCCAGCUUUGGAAUGCCCCCAUACCAACCUAUCCUUUCUUCUUCCUAUACUUGUUGGAAUUCCCUUUAUGUGCUCUGCAUCUUUUGCACAAAACCACUUGAGAAGCAAAUCAUUUUUCCAUUUCCCUUCCUCUAUCAGCUCACUUACCCAUUCCAACUUGCAUCCCACAGGUUGUGUGGUUGAUGCAAAGCCGGUAUCUGAACCAACUAUCCAUCUGUCCCGCCACAUGUUGACUGACUUGCCAUCUCCAAUUCUUUUCCAAAGACCAUCAUACAGAAAGGAGGCUGCACUAUGAAUACUCUUCCAACACCAUGAGGCUGAAGAGACUGGCUUCUUGUCCAUCCAUUUUUCAUCACUCAUAUACUUCGCCUUCAUUACCUUACUUACUAACAAAUUUGGAGCCAUUAAGAAUCUCCAAAUUUGUUUUGCCAGUAAUGCUGUGUUGAAGGCCUCCAAAUCUCUAAAGCCUAAACCUCCUCUUCCCUUAACUUCUAAGAGCUUCUUCCAGCUUGCCCAAUGUACACAGGUACCCUUUUCUCCCUUCCCCCACCAGAAACUCGCUAUUUUACCUGUGAUUUGUCUACACAAACCCCUUGGAAGUCUAAAGCAAGCCAUCACAUAUGUUGGCAUAGCCAUAAUCACUGAUUUGACCAGAAUUUCUUUCCCUCCUUGGCUCAACAGUUUUUGUUUCCAACCUUGCAACUUGUUACUAAUUUUGUUCUGGACAAAUGCAAAGACCUGUGUCUUUGAUCUUCCAAUUGCCAUUGGGAGUCCUAGGUAGGUUCCAUUCCUUGCCUCUUUAAUGUUAUCUAAUACCUCCCUCACUCCAUUCUUCCUUUGAUCAGUGGUAUUUUUGCUAUAGAAGAUAGCUGACUUUUCAAAAUUCACCACCUGUCCGGAUGCUUGACCAUAUCUUUCCAAUAUGCUUUUGACCUUCCUCGCCUCCUGCUUGGUUGCUUGGCAGCAUAGUAGAGAAUCAUCUGCAAAAAAUAGGUGAGAAACCAUCGGACUGUCCUUGCAUAUUUUGAUCCCUGUAAUUUCCUUGUUCAUCAUAGCUUUAUGGAUCAAACAUGAAAGACCUUCAGCGCAUAUAAUAAACAAGUACGGGGAUAGGGGGUCUCCUUGUCUAAGCCCUCUACUCGGUUGAACACAGCCUACCUUUUGCCCAUUUAAGUUGAAGGAGUAAGUCACAGUAGAUAGGCAAGACAUGAUCCAUUUAACAAAAAUUGGACAAAACCCCAUUUUCAUCAUAACUCUCCCCACAUAUUUCCAUUCGACUCUAUCGUAAGCUUUGGACAUGUCCAGUUUAAGAGCCAUAAAUCCUACCCUUCCCUUUCUCCUAUUUUUCAAAAAAUGCAGGAUUUCAUGUGCAACUACUACAUUAUCAAGAAUUUGACGGCCUGGGAUAAAAGCGGAUUGAGAGGGACUAAUACAAUGAUGCAAGACACCUUUCAAUCUAUUAGCUAUGAUUUUAGAAAUGAUUUUAUACAGGACAUUGCACAAGCUAAUAGGUCUAAAAUGCACCACAGAUUCAGGAGUAUCAACUUUAGGAAUCAACGAAAUAAUAGUAUCAUUCACAGCUUUGAGCAAAUGCCCAGUAUGAAAGAAACUCUUAAUAGCUGCUACCACAUCAUCCUUGAUAAUAUCCCAAUAGUGUUGAAAAAAUAGAGGAGACAUACCAUCCGUUCCUGGUGCUUUAUUAGGGUGCAUCGAGAACAAAGCUUUCCUGAUCUCACUUUCCUCCACUUGUCGUAUCAGUUGUCCAUUCAUAUGACUCGAAAUAGUGCUUGGAAUUUCAGCUAGAAUGUCCUCAAAGCAGUCCGGGUUAGUAGUGGUAAAAAGGUCUUUAUAGUACUCACAAAGUUCCUCCUCAAUCUCAUGUUCCUCCUUGCACCAUGUCCCAUCUUUUUUCUGCAAUAUAGUGAUCUUAUUUCUCCUCCUCUUUGCCAUGACCGAAGAAUGGAAAAAAGCUGUAUUCUUGUCCCCUUCUUUGAGCCACUUGUUCCUGGAUUUUUGACUCCAAAACAUCUCUUCCUCUGCAUAAGCUUUAUUCAAUUGUGCUUUUAGUUCAGCCACUUGUACUCUUUUCCCUUCAUCCUUUCUUGCUUUCACUUCAGCCAAUUUCUCCUUUAACACUUUAAUUCUAACCUUUGAGUUUCCCUGCACCUUUUUCCUCCAAUCCAGAAUAGCCAUGCGACAUUCCUUUAUUUUUGUAGCCACUCUAAACAUCCUGGACCCUGACUUCACCUUUGUCCAUGCUCCUUGAAUCACCCUUUUUGCUUCUGGAUUUAGCGUCCAUCGUUGAUCAAAGUAAAAUCUCCGUUUUCUCCUUGUGUUUUCCGGGUUUGUAUCCACAAGAAGCAUUAGAUGAUCAGAGGCUUCAGUAUCUAAAUGAGUACACUGUGCCUUUUCAAAUCUUUGCAGCCAUUCGGUGCUGCAUAAACAUCUAUCCAACCUCUCUUUCACUUCCCCAUCCCCCUCCCAACUAUUGCACCAAAUCCACGGGACCCCUUGAUAACCUAAGUCAACCAGGUUAUUGUCUUUGAUAAACCUGUUGAACUCCCUAAAACAUCUUUCAGCUCUAUCCCUUCCUCCCCACUUCUCCUCACUAGACCUCAAAUCAUUAAAAUCUCCUACAAUGAUCCAGCCAUCCCCCCAGUCCCUCAUCCUGUCCUCUAAAUAUUUCCAUUGUGCUUUUCUAAUGUUACUAUCUGUGCUUGCAUAAACACACACUAGCCCCCAGUAUCCUUUAGUAUCCUUGUCCUCAACUCUAGCACUAAUACACCAAUCAGUACUUACAAUCUGGUCUAAAAUCACCUCAUUGUUCCAGAAUAAUGCUAGACCGCCUGCUUUACCUAUUGAAUUCACAAAAAAGCUAUUGUCAUACUGAAUCUUCCUUUGAACCUUGCCCAUAAACCCUUCCUGAUUCUUAGUUUCACAAAGGAACACCACCUUAGGAGAGUGGAAGUUAGUCACUUCCUUUAGUUGGGGACUUGUCAAGGGGCCUCCUACACCUCGACAAUUCCACACCACAACCUUCAUUUACACUUUGGAGGCUUUCCGGGGCUAGCCUCCAUUUCCCCUAUUGUACUAACAUUUAUUAGAUCCAGUUUCAUAACCUUUACCUUCGGUACAUUAUCAUCAUCCUCCUCUAUCGGUUGUGUUCCCUGAAACAUACCAUCAGCCUUCCUUUUAGCACACGAAACCUGCGUUACUUGUCCAUUUGUAUCUGCCUUUAAGGAUGUUUUAGCCGGCCUCCCUCUUCUUUUAAAACUGCUUCUUUUUUCAGCUUUGUUAUCUUCUUCCCCUGGAGUAGCCUCCUUUCUUGGCAUUCUUGCAUUUGUCUCCUCCUGCUUUAUUGACCCUACCCGCAAACUUUCACAUUCCUGUUUUGAGCUGUCCGUUUCCAUAUCCUCAUAAUCUACUGGUGGGAUUACGCUGCUCCCUCCUUUACUCCCUUCCUGUACCCUACCCUCCUUUUCACCAUUUCCCUCCAUUAAGACCACAGCCAAACUUUCCACCCGUUGGUUUGCCUUUCCAUACUGCCUGCUGUCUUUUAGAAUCUCAUCCCACCUCUCUUCAUAUUGUCUCGUCAUCAUUUUCUCCUUAUCCCCCCUUUCCUUUCCCCCCAAGACUCUACCAUUUUUUCCCCCAAGAGUUAAUGUAUCUCCAGCCAUUUGUACUCCAGUUUGAACUUCACUACUAGGAGACCCUGCCCCCACCCUCCUUGCAUCAAUUUCACUUACUCCUUCCAGCCGUCCCUUUAAGGGAGAUACCAUUAUAUUUCCAGCUCUCAUCCAGGCACCAUAUUGUUCCUCUCGCUUCUCCCCCCCACCCUUCCUACCACAGUACAAGUCCUAUCACUAUGCCCAAUGAUACCACACCUAUAACAGAAAUCAGGGCAGCGUUCAUACCUGAACUCAACCCACACUGCCUGGUUCUUACAGUUGAUCUUUGUCCCUCUAACCAGUGGUUUCGUUAUAUCUACCUCAGCCAUAAUCUUCAUGUGGCGACCCUCUUUCCCACCACUUCCUGGGAGAAUCACUCCCCUCACUGAUUUAAAGAUCCCUCCUAUUUUCAAACCCACUGCUCUGCUCAACCAGUGCACCGGUAGGUUCCAUAGUUGAAUCCAAAGAAAGGAAUGCUGGAAAAAGCUGCUGUUUGUAUCAUACCCCUCUACCCACUCCUUCACUAUCAGCAACUGGUUGUCCAUGACCCAAGGCCCUCCAGAUAAGAUCUUUUUCUUUUCCCCUUCAUCUCCCAGAUGGAAAUGGAAUAAGUUAGGACCUAACUCAGUCACUUUCAUCUUUGAGGGGUAUCCCCAUGCAUGAUUUGUAAAGUUCUUUAACCCCGUAAAGUUGGCAAUUUUUUCACCAAUCAGCUUUCCUACCAGGCUUCCUUGACACUCAGAGACGCCUUCUUCCAGGUCCUCACCACUCAGAUCGACACCUCCUAACUCUGUUUCAGACAAGUCAAAAUUUUGAAAGGCUCUUUCUAAAGCAUCCGCCAUUGCUGUGACGAGAGCUCCUUGAGAAACCAAGCACUAUUUCUGAGCUAUGAGUGACCCACUGACAGACCUGUGAAGAAUUGCAAAGACAGACAAAGCUGUGUUAUCCGUACACACUAAAAACCAACCAGAAAAACAGAGAGGAACUCGACAGAAAAAGCACAGGCACAAGAAGAAACGAAAGAAAAAAGAAAAACCAACAAACCACUAUCCCACUCCCGACCACAUAACAGCAUUAAAGAAAGGGACACAAAUACGACACUCCAACUUCCGAUCACAUGCUCUGACUCAAUGGAUCAUAUCUUGCCCAAAGCGUUUACUCCUCCAACCGAUUCCAAACCACUACAGACAUUGUCUCCCAUUUUGAAGCCGGAAGAAAGGUGGCUUCUGGACAGGGAACAUGAAAGCAAAGGUUGAACUAAAGAUUUGAUUUUAGAUCUGAAAAUUACGCUGUAGGAAAAAGUGCUAUGUGUUUGUACCUCACCCACUCUCCCACACCGAGGAGGGGAACCUCUAAAGUUAGAGAGAGAAGCUCUCAAGUUAGAGAGAAGCUUUGGAAGUUAAUUACCAACGUACCAUGCCGUACAUGUUUGUAAGGAUUUCUAUCCUAUUGGCAAAAGUCGGUUCCAUACAAUUAAUCAAUUCAUUUCACUUCUAUUGGCUCUACUAUUUAUGCAUGUUACGACACUCUUUCCCUUAUAUUUUGCCUUUAAUAUUAUGAGUCAAUAGUAAUAAUGGGCCUUUUUCUUAAAAUUAUACUAUUAUACAUAGGUAGUUUGGUCUAACGCUAAAUUCAUGUUUGUCUUUCUUUUAUUCCCUUUACAUCUCAAAGUAUACUAUAGUUUGUAAUCAUUGUGGUGAUGAUAUUACCAGCUGGUACUUAUAGUUUAAGGCAGAGACAUGAUAUUAACAACUAUCUCAUUGAAACAUAAGUCAAAAUCAUGACAAGUGUGAGUCUUGGUUAAUGCACAAUUUGUUAGUGGAAUUUAUAUUUAUAAAACUCAAAAAAAAUUUUUGACAAUGCUAUUACUAAUUAAUUAAGGACUUCAUUGCUAUAAUUUAUCGCUUACUAAUUUAAACUAUAAAUGAUCUCAAUACUUUUCUCCAUGAUGUCGAUUUCUUUAGACUACGAAAGGGAAAAAUUAGUGACAUAUCCCUUACUGAUUACAACAUCAGCAAAAAUUAGUUAUAAACUUUUCCGGUGGUUUUAAAUCCCUCGGGCACUAAGGUUUUUUGCACAUCGAGUGAAUUAAGGAACAUAGGCAAUUCGUUCUGCAUACCAAGUCCUUGUUUAAGAUGCACGUACUAAAAUGCAUCCACUUCAUUAAUUUGGAAAAUUGCCAUAGUUUUUUUUAAGCAUUUUGAUUUUUUACAUGAUUCAAAAUUUUCUUAUUGGAUACAAUCACUUUGUGUCAAGAACACAUUUUCAAUCAUCUUUUUUAUCUUCUCAAUAAGAAAAUAAAAAUUUAUUCAUGCUUUUCUAACAUAUCCAAUCAUUGAUCUGAAAAAUAAAGAAUUAAAAAAAAAAGACAUUUUCAAUCAUUGCUUACGGGGCAACUUCCCCAUGUGAACCUCAUCAAACAAAGCCAAUAAUAUGAAGGAACAUCUAAAUACACUUUUGCCCUAAAGGCUGGUUGCCUUGGGGUCAAAAUUUAACCUUCGGGAGUAUAAUUACCCGCCAAAUUUAUUAUUUUUUUUAUGGGUAUAUAGUUCCAAUUUUGCCUCCUGUUAAGCUUAUAAAUAUAUUACGACCCAGAAAAUAAAGGAAUCUUGAAUAGUAACAUGUCCAUUGACUUGAGUUGUUAUCAAUUUGGCUACUUCGAUUCCAUGAGGCCAAUCCAAUUCACACUAGCUAGAGAAAAUGGUGAUAAAGGCACUUAGAAAUUUAUAUGUAAUAUUGAUUGGUAGUAACUGAUAAGUAUAUAUUUUACGUGUUUUAAAUAUGUUUUAUUAGUUAGUUUUGGUGUGUUUUAACUACUUUUAUAACUAAUUAACUAGGAAUCUAGUGAAAAUAUGCAUUUUGUGGUUUGAAGUGUAAAAAUUGUAUUUCUAUGGAUUUUAAUGGUGAAAACUUCAUGUUUUUGUAGGUUUAAUGAUUCAAUCAUCAAAUGACAUGAUUUGAGAAGAUAAUUAGAUGAUUGAUGAUGUUUUGAAGUGAUAAAAAGAGAAUACAAAGUGCAAGAGAGGAAAUGCAAUCAAGAAUAAAAGAAGAAAAUUUUUGUAGCUUUGACAUAUUGUCGUAUUUCGGCAAUAUAUUGAGCUACAAUGAUCGGAUUAAGGUGAUUCUUAAACCAUUUGAAGCUAAAAUAUAGAUCUACAUUUGGCAUGAAGGCAUCGAAACCCAUGUCAGUCAUUUUCCUUGUCAAAAUGUUGAAAUACAGAAGUGCAACUCUGUUCUCGAAAGCUAAAACAGAGCUCUGGCUAGUCGAGGGUAUUUUCAUCAUUUCUUAGUCCACAGAGCUCCAAAUGAGAUGAUUCUUAAGGCAUUAGAACCCUAACUCAAAGAGCUACAACUUUCAUAUUUUGUACAAGAGUUAGUUCGGCCUCUAUCAUUAAGAAAAUAGUAGUUGAAGUGGUGCCAAAUGCAUAGAAGUGAAAACGCGAGCUAUCAAUACUCGACCUGAAGUCGCGUAUUCCUGAGGUCAUGCAUUCUCUUCUAUUUUCUGCAACUUGCCCUGCUUUCACAUAACUUUUUCAUCUCAAUUCCAACUAUCAAUUUCGGCUAUAUCUGAUCAAGAAAAGUGUGGAAAGUUUGAAAGACAACUCAUAGGAGUUUCAAGAGUCAAAAAUUACAAUUAGAAACAACUCAUUUGGCUCUUGAAUCCUCUAUAAAUAGAGGCCUUUGAAGAACAUUUUCACAACUUUGGAAGGUUAGAGAAACUCCACAAAAACAUAGUCUUCACUAGAAUUUCCUUAGUUCAUUAGUUAGGGUAGUAUAGUAUAGUUAGUGUAGCUUUUCCUUCUUGUAUUUAUAGUUAGGUUUGAAUGAAGAUUCAGGAGCAAAGAUAGAGAGGUUGAUCUCAUGUGACAAGGGUGAUAUCUCUUCUACUACUUUCUCUUUUGUAUUUGAUUUCAUAUUUAACUAUACUACAAAUUUGGCUUUGUUUUUUUUUUUUUAUCAUGUUUAGUUAAAGUUUAUGCCUAGAGUAUGGAUGACCUUUUUAUAUCUUGUUUGUGAUAUUUAACUGGUUAUUUGAUGAUGUUAUUUUUGAGCAAGUUAUUUAUCACUUUUGCUUUUCUAAUCAUGAUUAACUGGCCAUUAGUUGUGAUUAUCUAAAAGUGUUAAGUUUGUAAUGAGAAUUGGAGUUUAACACUAGUUCAAGGAAGUGAUAAAUUUAGGGAGUUCACUCAUGAGAGUAGAGGAACACCUUUGUGACCUAAGUGACUUGUUUCAUAUAAUUUCAUAGAAAAAAUGAACUUGUAAUUAAUUUCAUAACCACGAGAGUAAGUAUGGUUUAGCUAUAUGUAUAGUUGAUUCACUACGAGAGUAGGUUUCACAUACAUUAGAAAAUUACAUCAUAACUAGUCAAGAUAAUAUCAUUCAUUUAAUCAGUAAUCUCAUUUGCAUGAGUAGUAAGGCAUUCCAUAUCUCUAGGAGGUUUUUAGUAUUAUUUUCAUUACUUUUAUGUUUAUGGUAGUCUAGAUAAUAAUGGAGUUCGAAAACUACUAGUAAUUGAAAAUUUUCCCUGUGGGAUCGACCUUUAAUACCCUAUACUCGCUCUCGACUCGUAUACUUGAGAAAAAUCACGUGUGCGGUAUUUAGAAUUUAUAAAUGUAAAACUUGACUGUAGAUGAACUAAUUGAUAUAUGUAUACCCCGCACUCGUCAGUAACCAGCUUGUAUUGAUCCCACUAUUGUGGAUAAUUGUGCUCUUAUGAAAAAAAAUUAUAAAAAAAUUAGCAAAAUUUAUGAUAACAAAUUAAAUUUAUUCAUACAAAUCAGUGAAAGAAGUAGAAUUUUAAAGUCCAUGAUGAAAUUAAUACUUUCAAGGGCUCUAUUAGGAAGACUUCACUUGUUGGUGAAACUACACUAGCACAGUUAUAUGCACAUUUACUGUUUUGGUAUCUAAUUUCCUUGCCUUAAGUUGGGUGCAGAUGUUUAUAUUACAAAUAGAUGGUAUCAUAAAAUUGUUGUAUUCACGUUUGUUCUUUUUUUUCUUCCUUAAGUUUUUUUCUUUAUUCUCGUGACUUCAAAAAUACGAACUCAAGAAAUUGGCUGCUUAAUCAAUAUGUCAUACAGGCUUCGCUAGUGAGGUAUAACUUCACAACUAGAGUCAAUAGAAAUUAUCAAAUGAUUUUUUAACAUCCAAAUUAAGCAAUAAAUUUUGUUUUCAUUUUAUGACAUAUAAUAGUACUACUUCAUGAGAGAUUUUAUAGUUUCUUUUAGGUAUCAUACCUACAAGUGAUAUUUGUCAUUGGAUAGUGACAGAAGUGUUAAUGAUUGUAAGAUUAAAUAUUGUUAAAUAUUGAAAUUUAAACUAUUUAUCUUUAUUGAAAGAUACAAGUUAAAGAAUCGUUCAAGGGGGCAAUUUUCCAUCUUGUCUUUUUGAAAAAACGCUAUCACAUUGUAUAGGCAUGAUAGGUUCAAAUUUGUCAUUAAAUUUAUGAUUGAUUUUCCUUUUAUUCAAGCCAAAUAUUGUUUUAAUUAUCAAAUUCUACUUAUAUUUGGUUAAUUGUACUAAUUGUAGGGCGGUAGAGCAAAAGUUGCUAAAAAUAGGCGAUUUUCUGCAAAUUGGUUGUCAAGGCUGAAGGAUUUGGGAUUCGCAUGUUCAAGGCCUGUUUCCAAGUUUGAUUCAAACUCUGGACAGUUUUAGAGGAAGAUUUGGAAGAUUUGAAAUUUCAUUAUUAGUUUUAUGGUUGAAUUAGGAAUCUUGGAAUAAUUUCUUUUGUGAUUUAUUUUUCUAUUUAGGAGACUAGUUGUUAUUUAGUAGUAGACUUCAAUUAGAAAACAAAGAGAAAAAGAAGGCCGGAAUCCCGCUUGAUUAAUACCUUGGCCAGGGAACAAUCUCGGUGGGGAGGACGGCCACUUAGCCUCUCAAUUCAUCUUGCUUUUCGUUAGUUUGAGAGGAAAACCAAUUGCAACUAGAUUCAAUGGAGUCUGGCAGAAUUUCUUCUAGGAUGCGUAGCUAAAUCCUCAAUUUUUAGUCGAAGGUCAAUUUGAAAAUUCGGUUCCAAAUAUCUGUGAAAUCGAAUUAUUUUACUUAUUUCUUUUAUUUAUUGGUAUUCGCACGUUUUCUGAUUUAACUUUUUAUGAUUGUUUUGUUAUUUGAAUGUCAAGGGUCCGAUAUUCGAAUUAACUUAAUAAUCUACUGCCAAAUUAACCGGUUAAAUCCGUAAUUGUUUGAUUGAUUAAUAUCAGUGGCGACUAGCGUGAUUGGUCCCAUGUUAGGAAAACGUCUGAUCUAAUUUAAACAAACCGUCGUAGCGUGUUUGUUGAUUAGGGUUGGGCUUUUCUAAUUCUUAAUUCAAUUGAGAAAUUAAAUCCCCCGGUCGUACCUAGGAUUAUUUUUUUGUUAGCGAAAUAGUUAAUGGUCGUACCUUGACUAUCGAAAAAGUAAGGAAGAGUUGAUUGUUUAUCGCGUGUACGACAACUAUAAUCAAUCUAUUAAUGAGUAAUUGAAUUAUCUUUGCAUCAGUAAUCAGUUGAAUGGACCGUGUCUGAAAAGUUGUACCUUUGGCUAGAGUCUUAUCUGUUGUUGAUUCAUUCAUAUCUAUCUUCAUGCGUUGUUUUAAUUUAGUUAAUUAGUUAUUUUUAUAAAAACCCCUCAUCUCUGGACUCUAAAAGAAAUAAAUUAUUUCUAGUUCCUGUGGAUUCGAUCCUACUCACCAUACAAUCCAACCUGCAAUUGUAUGAACCCCAAUCUCGCUUCCUAGUCCACCAUUUUUCUCUAGGUAAUAAUCUCCCUUCUAAUUUCUUCACAAAAUGCACCUUUCAUCACCUCCAAUAGCGUCGACAUGAUCUUUACCCCAGAAGACUAUUCACCGACUCUCAAUUGACGUUAGAAAAUCUAAGAGUAAUUCUACUUUACCCUAAGAUUGAUAUCAACAAGACAAGGACAAUUUAGAAUUAUUACACGCCUCUUCUUAAUAGGAAAAAGAAAUAGAGAAGAAAGUCAGGCCAGGUCUAAUUUCUUUUCAAAGGCAAUACAACAUUACGAAAUCAAGCAUUCAUUCAUACAAAUAUUUCAUAGUCACCGGUUUGCUGAGUAGAAAAAUUUAGACAAAAACUUAAUAUUAUAUUGUUUAAGAGUUAACAAUUUAGAGCUUAAUCUCCUUGUACUUUGGAGUUAACAAUUUAGAGCUUAAUCUCCUUGUACUUUGGACUAAACUUGAACGUGAAAGGAAAUCCCAAAACCAUAUUGGGCAUGAAUUCACACUUAAUAUACCCAAUAAAAGAUGGCGACUGGUGAAAGGCAGUGGAGACUGGUGGAGAGAUUUGAGGAAUAGAAGCAGACGGAAAAGCAACAAAUUUUUGCCGAAAAACGGUCACUUUCAUGGUUAAUUUUGCUACUCUCCAAUUGUACUUGACCAAUUACAACAAUUUCAUGGAGUUUGAUACGUGAAAAGAAUUUUUUAUAAAUUUUAUUUUGAUCCAUAAUGUUAUCUUUACAUAUAUAAAACAUUUUACAAUUUUGAUUUUGGCGCAGUUAACUUUUGGUAAACAAAAAUGCUCAUGUUUAAAAAACCGGAAAUAAAACAAAACAAGAAACAAAAGAAAUAAGAGGGUAGCAUAGACAUUUUGGAUUUUUCCGUUAAUUUGGAUGAUUUCCACCCACGUUCUAAUUUAAUCCAAAACACAAAGGAAUUACGUAGAGGUUUUAAAUAAUGAGGGAGCUUCAUGAUCGAACCCCAAACCACAAGGCGAUUUACUAUAUUUUACUCUUAAAUUUUGGUUUCAUCUCAUAGCAUACAAGAGUUCUAUUUCACUAUCUGUAGACAAAGACUUUCUAUGGUUGAUGUACCAUAGGAAAAAAUCUGCCUAUACAACGUGAUAGCAUUUUUUCAAAAACACAAGAUGGAAAAUUGCCCCCUUAAACGGGGAAAUUCAUGAUCUUUCCUCGAACAAAGAAUACUCACGCCUAUUCAAGAUGGAAAAUUGCCCCCUUAAACGUCUAUUUGUCAAUUCUUGAAAAAAGAAUACUCACGCCUAAAACACGGCCUCUUCAUCUGCAGAAUUCUAAAAAGUUAGGUAAACUCUAUAAACAAGUUGAUAGGUACAAUCGUACCCAAGAUCAAGUACAGAUAGUUGUACAUUCACUGCUGCAAUAACUAAUCUGAUGACUUACAAACAUAUCAUGGUCAAUCGUUGAAUGGUAAUGAGUCUUUUGUUAUGCAUUAGUAUUAGUGUGUACACUCUAAUAGAUUGAUACUUAUACUCUUUAAAUUAUCAUAAUAAUACCCUUAAUUAACUUUAACUCUUAAAAAGAAUACGUGUUAAUACACGAGAGUGUGUAACCUGAAUUGUUACUUAUACAUUAGUGUGUAAUAGAUAGGGAUGGCAAUGGGGGCGGGUGCCCGCAGGCAACCGCCCCGCGGGGGGCUCUCGGGGCGGGGAGGGGGGAAUUUUUUCCCCCCGUUUAGAAACGGGGCAGGGGACGGGGGAGUAUACCCCCGCCCCAUCCCCCGCAAAAAAAAUUAUAUAUAUAUAAUUAUAUAUAAUAUGUAAUUUAAUUAGUUAUAAACUUAUGAUAAUGAUAUUAUUAGUUAGAUGUAUUAUAUAAUGUAUAUUAGUGUAUGUAAUAUAAUUAAUAUUAUCAAUUAUACGAAUAAUUAGACAUGUCUACUAAUAGAAUUUAUUAAUUAGUUAUACUAAAUUUACUAAUACAUUUAUACUAAAUUUCUAAUUACAUUUAAUAGAAUAACACUUUUUUCUAAAAAAAAAAGCACAAACACAAUAAUGAAUUAGUGAUUGUAUUUUUACCAAAAAUGAAAACUUAACUAUUUUAGUUGCAUUUAUUUCAUCAUGUUGGAUUGUAUUCAAAUAAUUUUUGUUUGAUUGUUUUUAUGAGUUUCAAUUGUAAAAUUAAAAUGAAUAAUAACUUGAUGAAUAAUAAUGUCAAUCGUUGAAUGGUGUGUACACUCUAAUAUUAUGCAUUAGUAUUAGUGUGUACACUCUAAUAGAUUGAUACUUAUACUCUUUAAAUUAUCAUAAUAAUACCCUUAAUUAACUUUAACUCUUAAAAAGAAUACGUGUUAAUAACUCUUAACCUGAAUUGUUACUUAUACAUUAGUGUGAAAUAGAACGGCAAGCAUUGAGCAACUUAUAGGAGAAAUAGUCCUAUAAGCUGUUGGAUGACUAAUAUAGCUCUAGCUGUAAUGUUUUAAUUAAAUUACAUCACUAACGUUGGGAUGACUAAUGGUUUAAAAAUAAUUGAGUAAUUGGAAAAAAAAAAAGAGACUAAUUUUCAUUGAAACCCACCGACAAACUAAACGUGUCCAUGGCUUUUGAAUAGUGCAUUCAACGUUUAAUUGUAUAGUCCAGUUCAUUGCAGAUUACAUGGAGUAAAGAUUGUGCUCUUUCCUUUUUCACCCCUUUUGGAAUCGAUACUGUGGAGAAUUGGGUUUUUCCCUUCUUUUUUUCUUUUCUUUCUUUCUGUGCUUUGCAAAACAUAGGUAAAAUUAUGAAAUCCGAAGCAUUCUUUAAUUGGGAUUAAGUAUUGUUCUUGAAAUUAAAAAGAAGAAAGAAAGAACAACAAAAUUCCCUGAUUGGUUGCAUCGUGCUUCCAUAGAAGCUCUCUUAGUGUGAUACACUGCUUUCAAUCAGUUUAACAUGGAAAAAAGAAAGAGAUGAAAAGCAAAUUUGGUGGGGAUAAUUUCAGAAACCUCCCCUGAAGAUUUUGACUAUUCUACUGGUCUCCCUUCAGAUUUUAAAAAUUACACUAAUCUUCCUUGAAGUUAUAACAUUUAAAUUCAAUCAAUAAUUUAAAAAAUGAUAUUAUGAAAGAGAAAAUAAUAUGAUUUUAUCAUUGCCCCCCAUCUUACUACAUUAUUUAAUUAAUUUAAUAGCAACCCACACAUUAAAGAAAAAUAUAAAAUUUGUUAUUUAUCAUUAAAGAUCAAAUCGCUUAUAACAUCAAAUAAUAGUAUAUUAUUUAUAUUUUUCACUUAACAUAAUAUCCAAAUUACUCUUUUCAAUUACAUACUCAUUGUUAGACAAUCAACAACAAAUAACCAAAAAAUUUGCAACCAAAAUAUUACAAAAAAAAAUAAACUUUAACAUCAUAAAUAUUCUUAUCAACAUAUUAAAGUUAGUUACUGAAAUUUUUAUGGUGUUAAACUUCACUCUUUGUAAUAUUUUGGUUACAGAUUUUUUUUGAUUAUUUUUUAUUAAUUAUGUUUGAUGAUGGGUUUGUAAUUGAAAAGAAUAAUUUAAAACUUACAUUAAGUGAAAUAUAUAGAGUGAUAUACUAUUUUUUAUAACAUAUGUGAUUCAAUCCUUCUUGAUAGGAUUGGUAAUAGAGGUAGAGGGGGGAGUCGGCUGCAUCCGGUCUUCUUUUCAUAGAUAGUACAAUAUUGCGAAAUCAAUCGCAUUCACACAAUAAUAUUUCGAAGUCAAUGCAUGGCUAAGUUGCAUAAAAGUACGAACACUUGUUAUUAUAUAGCUUAAGAUUCAAAACUUUAGAGCAUAACCCUCCACCUAACACAAUUGAAUAAUGAAUAUUCACGUUUGUCAAAUCUGUCAAAGCACAGUUUGAGGACAACCCAUUCCAACCUGCAAAAGAUUUUUUACUUUUCUAAAGUUGUUGAGAGCUGUAAAAAGACCUACCAUGCUUACAUCCUCCGAGCCUUGGGAGUUAAAAAUGAAGGCACUGAGUGCUAUAAAAAGGGGGCUAGAGGCUGCCUAGAAGCAUAUCAGCCUAAAACAAGAAUUUGUUGUUAUGAUGGGAAGCAAAGCAAAAGCAAUGGGGUCUGGGCUGACUCCUCUUCUUGCCACUGUUUUAGUGGUAUUUGUUGCUCUUGGCUUGCCCUCAGAAACAGCAGCUGAUGAUCACUACAAGUAUUCAUCUCCUCCUCCUCCUUACCACUAUCCCUCACCACCGCCUCCAGUGCAUUUACCUCCACCAGUGUACAAAUACAAGUCCCCACCACCACCUCAUCAUGUUUACAAGUACAAAUCUCCACCACCCCCACCACCACACCCAGUUUACAAGUAUAAGUCACCACCACCACCUCCUCAUCCGGUACCACACCCAGUUUACAAGUAUAAGUCACCACCACCACCUCCUCAUCCGGUAUACAAGUAUAAGUCUCCUCCGCCACCACCACACCCAGUUUACAAGUAUAAGUCACCACCACCACCUCCUCAUCCGGUACCACACCCAGUUUACAAGUAUAAGUCUCCUCCGCCACCAGUUUACAAAUAUAAGUCUCCUCCACCACCACCUCCAGUGUACAAGUACAAGUCUCCACCACCACCAGUUUACAAGUACAAAUCACCACCACCUCCUCCCCCAGUUUACAAAUACAAGUCUCCACCACCACCAGUUUACCACUACAAGUCACCACCACCUCCUCACCCAGUUUACAAGUACAAAUCUCCUCCACCACCAAUUUACCACUACAAGUCACCACCACCUCCUCCCCCAGUUUACAAAUACAAGUCUCCACCUCCUCCUCACCACUACUAAGCAAUUGCUUCUGAGGUAAUAACACUUGUUCAAUAACACUUGAUAGCCAGCUGAAUAUUUGCAGGCAAAGGAGAAGGAAACCAGUGUUUGAGACCUUCUUGAAGAUGUAGAAGCAUAAGAAUUAAAGCCCAAUGUGAAGAUGAUGAUUUCAAGUUUUUCUACGUUACCAUUUCAAUAUCUAAAUUGGUUGUAGCGCCUUAGUUCCUUUGUUUAUGGGAUUUGUAUCGUUUUACGUACCAUGCAGUACAUGUCAUGUUUGUAAGGUUUUCUAUCCUGCCGGCAAACCGCAGGUUCCAUGUAAUAAAUCAAUACUAUUUAUAUUACGACACUUUUCUCUGUUUCUCUUAUAUUUUGUCUUUAAUAUUCUUAAUCAUAUUUUUAACAAAAAUAUUCAAACACUUCAGCAAUGGUUCACCUAGUUGAUCAUCGAAGCAGAGGCAAUUCCAAUUAUUUAUCAAUAAAUAGGAUAUAACUACCAAACAAGCGAUGGCAGUUAACCCCUCCUUACUGUGUCGGUGAUCAAGGUACGCCCGUUAAUCACUGCUCUAAUUGAGAAAUAAUCCUAAGUACGCCCGUAGAAUUUAAUUCCCCAAUUGCCUUACAUAUUAGAGGAGCCCUAUUCUAACCAAAUAACGCACUAUCAGGGUUAUUUUAGAUUAGCCCGCGUAUUCCCCUGACAUAAAUCUAAUCAUGCCAGUUGUCAUUAUUUUGAGGUAAUUAAACAAUUACGGAUUUAACACCUCAAUUGACAAUAGAUUAUUAAAUUAAUUAAUUAUUCGGAUCCAAGACAAUCAAUUAAUUAAACAACCAUAAGCACUACAAUCAGAGAAUAUGCAAAUACCAAUAAAUAAAUAAAAAAUAAAAUUAAAUCGAUCUCACAAUUUUUAGGCGAAUCAGAGCAUCCGUUGUCCCUUGACUAGAGCAAGGAAAUUAGUUCAUAUUUGAUGAACUAAACCCAUACAAAAGGGAAGCGAGAAAUGCAGCCAUUAUCCUUUGAAAUCUGGAAAAUUCAACUUGUCCGAAUAUCGAAUAGAUAGUAAUACUACAAAAGGUAAUUCAUAGCUUCCCUUUCGUCUGACACACAAGAAGAAAAAAAAGGGCUGCUAAUAACUAAAGGAGGAAAAGUCAAAGUCCUAAGCUAUGCUACAAGACGAAAAACUAAAGAAGACAAAAAGGCAGUGCUCAUUCCCUGCAAUCUCAAUUCCUAUUCUAUCUAAGUGCUCUCCAAUGUGCGGCGGCUCCCCUUCCGGAGAGGACGAAGUGGCACCCUUUUUUCCUGCGCAAUUUUCCUAUAUAAAGUAGUGCUCCUUGCAGCGGCUCCUGUGCGAAAAAAUGAAGACUUCGGCCCAAUUUGCCUAACAAGGGCUCACGUUUUGUUGUUCUAAAAAUGUCCCUAGGACAAACUCUAUCAUCUGAACUCUUUUCUUGCCAAAUUAGUACCUGUUAUUAUAUUUUCGUUCUACUCCCUGAAAUAAAUGCAAAAUAUCAAAAGUGAGUAGAAUCUAGCAAUUAAUCCACAUUAGGUCAGGUAAUAGGGAAAAUUAAUAAUAAAAUAAAUGAUAAAAUUGCAAUCUAUCACGGGACCACUGUGGUAAGGUGUGUUUCGCCUAUUAUAAGGAGUUCGGAGAGUUAGACGUGUUGGAGGCGGAGGCGCGGUCACUCCUGCACGCCCUCCAGCUGUGUGCAGAUCGCGAGGUACGGGCGUUGACUGUAGAAUCUGAUUCAAAGGUGCUUGUUCAACUAGUUUGCUCGGAUAUGAGGUCGAAGUGGCCGGUGUGUAUCGUAUUGCGGGAAAUAAGACAUUUGAUCCGGCGGAUGGGUGCAUCCCUUCAUCAUAUAUUCCGUGAGGCCAAUUCGGUGGCGGACGCAUUGGCUUCUCUGCAAUUGGGAGGGCAGCAGUACUACACCUCAGGCGUGGCGCUGCCUUUCAGGCCCAGAGGAGAGGCUCUGCUGGAUCGUCAAGGAGUACCUCGCAUCCGUGAGGCGCUCACUAAGGUUUGAUAGGCUAUGUCCUCCUUUCAAAAAACUUAUUUCAUCUACUCCUUGUAAUCAUUUUUCUUAUCAAUAAAUUGAGGCUUUUUAUUUAAAAAAAAACAUAUAAUUUAAGGCAAAAAUAUGAUCCUAGCGAGUAUCGCACUGAGACAUUAGGAAACAUCAUUAAAAGAGUAUUUCUUGAGUUAGUGCAACUAUUUCUUAGGGGAAUUUAUAGUUACAAAAUUCAAAAAUUUGAGAUUCUAUUACUGAUUAAUUAAGGGCGUUAUCACUAUUUUUCUUAUUAUCACCAUUAUUUACCCCACAUACUAUAAGUUUUUUUAGGGCACAGGAAAAGAGGUGGGCCGAUGUUUAGUUAUGUACAAAAGUUCAAAAUUUGUAGAUAACUUAUCAUGUGCCCUUAGAGCGUAGAAUACAGAAAAAAUAUCUUAAACUAUAACUAAUCCUAAUAUUUUUCUCUAUGAUAAACUAGCUCUUAUCCAUUUCUUUAGAUGAUGAAAGGAAAUAGUUAGUCACCUGUCCUCUAGUGAUUACAACAGCAUCAAAACAAAUUAGCACUCUUUUCCCGUAGUUUAAAAAUCCCUCAGCCACUAAGAUUUUGCAUGUCGAACGAAUUAAGGAACAUAGAAGGUUCGUGCUGCACCACAGUGUCCUUGUUGACGAUGCAAAGACAGAAAUGCAUCCGCGUAUACUUCCUUAAGCAUUUUGAUUACUUUAUGAUUCGAACUUUUCUUGUCUGACAGCUGGACUUAAUUGAAAAACACAAGUAACAAUAUUUCAAAGUUGAUUCGUCAAAGUUUACCCAAUUGGUGAAACUUUCUUCAUAGAGCUGACUUUGUAUUAGGUGACAAUGAUAUGGAAUUGAUGUCCUUCCCUUUUUCCUUUUUUUGUGUUGAAGACGCACAACGUUUUCAAUGGCAAAUUUAUAUGGGCUUUUCACGACAAAAUGUGUUCUGAAAAGUUCAUUCCAGAGGUUAAAAUUUUGUGUGUUAAAAAUUUGCUUCUCAGGACUUUGAUGGGAAAGUCUUGGUGUUUCCAAAAAGUUUAAGCAGGAUGCUUCUGGCUUUCUCUCCAUGUAUUUGUGAGUUAGAUCUAAAAUUAUCAGGGCUCCAGAGAUCUCUUGAAAUCGCAGCAUAUAUUGAAGUCUUUCCAGAAGGAGUCUUUUUUUUUUUUUUUAUGAAUUAUGAUAGAUAAUUAAUCUGACGGUGCAUAUAUAUAUAUAUGUGAUUUGCAGUAGGGUGUUUGACGAAAUGGUUAGGCUUCCUAAGUAAUGAUAGGAAUGCCAUUUGCAAAGAAGGACAGGGGGCUGGUGCUGUCAUAUUUUAUGCGAUUUGAUCCGUUGUUGUAUAAGUUUAAACUUUUGACGUGCAAUUGUGCUAUAAUAUUAUACUAAAUAUAUGUGUGAAAUAUUUUGUCUAUAUACAUCACUUUUAUCAUGAAUACAACAGCUGAGUAUAAUAAUAUAGUAUAAUGUAAUUGUACACCAAAUAAUGUAGCAAAUAUAACAAUUGAUCCGAAUUACACGGAACCAUAACAACAAGAUCACCGCCUCCCAAAUUUUACAAAAUUAGGUUUUUUUUUUUUCUCUUAGAUUAUUGAAAAUUUUCAAAAAUAAUCUACAUAAUUUAAGCUUUUGUCCUACAAAAAUUUGAAGAGAUUUUACAUUACAAGCUUAAGCUUAGAUAUAUUAAACUUUGCCCCCAAGAUUAAUUUUCCGUUUUUAUCUAUGAACCGAUCCAUAUAGCUAGUUAGACUGUAGUCCUCACAUUUGUGGGAUUUAACACCCAAGAUUCUCCUUCUUGGAAUGUAAAAUGUAGAUCUUCUAUGUUAAUAAUUCAAGACCCUACUGUCAUAAACGAAAUGACUGAUCAACUCCUGUAAACCUAAUUUGACAACAUUUAAAUGGAGAACUUUAGCUAAAAGAAUUAUGGUCAAGCUAAAGAAAAAGCCAGUUAUUUUCCAACAUAUGCAAUCAUUGAUCAGGAAAAAAAAAAAAAAGCAAAAAGACAUCUUCAAUCAUUUAAUAGCUCACAGUGCAAAUUAACCCCUAAGCGAAAACUGGUUGCUCUAGAAUCAAAAUUUUACCUUAGUUACCCAGGCAACUUUUUUGUUGCUUUUUUUUUUUUCUUUUCCUUUUUGGGUAUAUAUAUAGCUCCAGUUUUGCCCCCUCUGUCAAGCUUAUAUAAUUAUUAAGAUAAUAAAAGUGCCUUGAAUAGUAUUAAUAUAUCCAUUGACUUGAGCUGUCAUCGAUCGGUUUGGGCUACUUCGAUUCCAUGAGAACAAAUGGUAAUAAAAGUACUCAGAAAAUAGGGAGCCAUGAAACCCUUUUGUUCUAUUCAUUGCUAAGAUGCUUUUCUCUAUAAAGAGACUUCCUAACGAAAGUACUUUGUAGAUUUCUUUACUCCAAGUGGUGCAUGGAAAAUUAAAAUAUUCAAUUAUCAAAUAAAAUUCCCUUUUUUCGGUGUAGAUUUCAUCCAUCCAGCUGUUAACACAUUUUAUGUAUCCGAAUUAUAUAUUCUCUACCAAAUAUUGUAACUUUUCUGAGCAUCUUUACAUUUUUAUUCCCACCUAACAAAUUAGUUGUUGAGCAUCUUUACAUGCUAUCGGAUCACAAGUUAAUAAUCUUUUAAAGAACAUGUUAAAUUAAUUUAUUGGUAUGAAUAGUCAAAGAAGUAUAUUAAAGUUAGUAAUCUUUAAACACCACGAUGCAAUUAAUACUUUCAAGCUCAAGGUCUUUUUUUUUUUUUUUUUUGGUACUGUACUUCCUUGCUUUAUAGUAUGCACGUUUAUUUCUGUGGAUUGCUUAAGCUUAUAUUGUUAAUAAUUGGGCAUUUAACCAUAAAUUAUAAUGAUUAUGAAGUCAUAUAUAUAUAUAUAUAUAUAAGAAAAUUACCACAAUUAUUCAAUUUUUUUUGCAAAUUCAAAUUUUAUUAAUAAGAAAUAGGCAGUAAGCUUUUACAAACGGAAAAAAAAAAUCCUACAACAACUCUAGGACCUUUGAAAGAAAGAAAAAAAAAAGAAAAGAAAAGCUUAAGGACUCUACCUCAUAGAAGCUAAACAAUCCUACAAAUAAACUGCAAAAUAAAUCACAAUAACGCAAAAUUUUUGUCUUUCUUCCGUAUGAAAUGAAACUACGAAGUCAAGAAUUGACUCCUUUAACCGCUAUUGCCAGCGGGCUCCGUCAGCAAGAUACAACUUUGCAAUUUGAUUCAAUAGAAAUCCUCAAAUAGCUAUUUUGACAGGCAAAUUAAGCAUUAAUUUUGGUAUCCCUUCAUAAAAUACAAGAGUACUUUUGAUUAUAUCUAUAGAUCAACUUUCUAGGCUAUUUUGAUGUAUUAUAAGAAAAUCUGCCUCAACAAUUUUGAUAGCAUUUUUCCAAAAGCAGAAGAUGGAAAAUUGCCCAUUUGUACUGGGGAGUUCGUGAUCUUUUCCUCCUUCUAGUCUACUUACAAUUCUUGGAAAAAGGAAUACUCACAUCUCAAACAACUGCCUGUUCAUCUGCAAUGUCCUGCCGAAUUCUAGAAAGUUAGGUGGCAAUGCUAAUUACAUUUCAAAAUUGACUGCUGCGAUGACUAAUUCGAUGGCUUACUACAUGGUCAACGUUUGGAUCCCUUCCUGUCCUUUUUGGAUGCACAUUUUUUUUCUCUAGGCAAUAUAUAAUCUCCCAACUCAUUUCUUUACAAAUGCACCUUUAAUCACCACCAAAAGGUGUGGACAUGAUCUUUACCCUAGAAAACUAAUCACCGACAGGCAAAUUGACGUCAGAAAUACUAAGAGGAAUUCUAGUUUCCUUCGGGUUAAUGCCAUUUUGUACCCUUCAACUGUAACUCGAUUUCUAAACUAUAAUUUGUGACAUUAUAGUCCUUAAACUAUGAAACCCCUCUUACUUAAGUACAAUGGUUAAUACAAUACCCGUGACUAGACAAGCAACCAUAACAAAAAAAAAUCCAAAAUUAGAGAAAAGAAAGAAGUUUCGCGACCAAAGUAUGUAUCAAGGCAUAGUAUAGAAAUAAAAGUGUCCAAAUUAAGAGUUUAGGGAUAAAAGAGAUCAAGAUAUAGUUUAGGGAUUGAUUUGUCUCAAUUAGAGUUUUGAUGUCAACUAAGAAGAGAGAUAUAGUUGAAGGGUAGAAUAUAGAUAUAACAGUUCAAUGAUUGAUAUCAACGAGACAAUGACAACUUUGGAUUAUUACCAACCUCUUCUUGAUGGGAAAAGGAAAUAGAGAAGAAAGUCGGGCCUGGUCUAAGCCUGCUUCGGAGGCAAAACAACAUUAUGAAAUCACCGGCAUUCACACAAAUAUGUCAAAGUCACCGGCAUGCUAAGUUGCAUAAUUUAUACAAACACUGAAUAAUAUAUUGUUCUUAAAAUUUUUGUUUAAGAUUUAACAAUUAGAGCACGGUACACGAAUUAGCAAUAUUAAAUAAUGAAUGUUCACGAUUGAUAAAGUUAUCAAAGUACAGUUUGAGGACAACCCAUUCCAACGUGUACAAGAUGUUUAGCCUUUGAAAAGUUAAUUAGAGAAGGUGACGAGAUUUUACUAGGCUUAAAUCUUCUAGGCCUCGGAAGUAAAAAAUGAAGGCCUUUGAGUGCUAUAAAAAGGGGGCUAGAUGUUGCCUAGAAGCAUAUCAGCCUCAGACCACAUUUUGUAGCAAUGGGGAGCAAAGCAAAAGCAAUGGGGUCUAGGCUGACUCCUCUUCUUACCACCGUUUUAGUGGUAUUUGUUGCUCUUGGCUUGCCUUCAGAAACUGUGGCUGAUUACUACAAGUAUUCAUCUCCUCCUCCUCCUUACCAUUAUUCCUCACCACCACCUCCUGUGCAUUCACCUCCACCACCGCCAAUUUAUAAGUCACCCCCACCACCUUACCACUACUCCUCACCGCCACCUCCAGUGUAUUCAUCUCCACCACCACCUUCGCCAGUUUACAAGUCUCCGCCACCACCUUACCAUUAUUCGUCACCACCGCCUCCGGUGCAUUCACCUCCACCACCACCUGUUUACAAGUCACCUCCACCACCUUCGCCAGUUUACAAGUCUCCGCCACCACCUUACUAUUAUUCGUCACCACCGCCUCCGGUGCAUUCACCUCCACCACCACCGAUUUACGAGUCACCUCCACCACCUCCUCCAGUUUACAAGUCUCCGCCACCACCUUACCAUUAUUCCUCACCACCACCUCCAACGCAUUCACUCCCACCACCAGUUUACAAAUCACCGCCACCACCUCCUCCUAUGUAUAAGUCCCCUCCACCACCUUAUCAUUAUUCCUCACCACCACCUCCAGUGCAUUCACCCCCACUGCCACCAAUUUACAAGUCUCCGCCACCUCCAAUCUACAAGUAUAAGUCACCACCACCUCCUCCCCCAAUUUACAAGUCACCACCACCACCUCCUCCAGUAUAUAAGUCCCUACCCCCACCAGUGUAUAAGUACAAGUCUCCACCACCACCUCCUCCAGUAUACAAAUCACCUCCACCACCUCCUCCAGUUUACAAAUCUCUACCACCACCAAUUUAUAAAUACAAGUCUCCUCCACCACCUCCUCCGGUUUACAAUUCCCCACCACCACCAAUCUACAAGUCUCCACCUCCACCCUCCCAUUACUACUACAAUUCUCCUCCUCCUCCUCCUCAUCACUACUAAGCAAUUGUAUCCAAGUUUUUGAGGUAAUAAUGCUAAACCAAUAUAUUAACUUUCGCAUGAUAAACUUUAUCUCUAUCAAGACAAACUGCCAUGUGCAUCAAGCCAAAUACGUACACUUCGAUCCAUGAAAAUGACAAGUAGAAGGUUUUCUUAAGAACCAAGGAACAGCAUUAGUAUUCCCUCUGUUUCCAAAACUUGUGUAUUAAAUAGAUUAAUGAAUUGUUUAACAUGCUUAUCUACUUGAAAAUGCACAAUACCCAUAACCCACUGAAAUUUUUGCAGGUAAAGGGGAAGAGAAUCUGUGUUUGAGAGCUUCAUGAAGAUGUUGAAGAAUAAGAAUAAAAGCCCAAUGCGAGGAUGUUUUCAAGUUUUUCUAUGUUUCCACUUUAAUUUGUAAAUUGAAUUUUUCGACUUAAUUAAUUCCCUGUUUGUGGGGUACGUAUUGUUUUACGUACCAUGCCGUACAUGUUUGUAAGGAUUUCUAUCCUAUUGGCAAAAGUCGGUUCCAUACAAUUAAUCAAUUCAUUUCACUUCUAUUGGCUCUACUAUUUAUGCACGUUACGACAUUUUUUCUCUCUUUCCCUUAUAUUUUGUCUUUAAUAUUAUUGAGUCAAUAGUAAUACUGGGCCAUUUUUUUUAAAACUUAUACUAGUAUACAUAGGUAGUUUGGUCUAACGCCAAAUUCAUGUUUGUCUUUCUUUUAUUCCCUUUACAUUUCAAAGUAUACUAUAGUUUGUGAUCAUUGUGGUGAUGAUAUUACCAGCUGGUACUUAUAGUUUAAGGCAGAGACAUGAUAUUAACAACUAUCUCAUUGAAACAUAAGGAAAAAUCAUGACAAGUGUGAGUCUUGGUUAAUGCACAAUUUGUUAGUGGAAUUUAUAUUUAUAAAACUCAAAAAAAAAAUUUUGACAAUGCUAUUACUAAUUAAUUAAGGACUUUAUUGCUAUAAUUUAUCGCUUGCUAGUUUAAACUAUAAAUGAUCUCAAUACUUUUCUCCAUGAUGUCGAUUUCUUUAGAUACGAAAGGGAAAAAUUAGUGACAUAUCCCUUACUGAUUACAACAUCAGCAAAAAUUAGUUAUAAACUUUUCCGGUGGUUUUAAAUCCCCGGGCCCUAAGAUUUUUUGCUCAUCGAGUGAAUUAAGGAACAUAGGCAAUUCAUUUUGCAUACCAAGUCCUUGUUUAAGAUGCAAGUACUAAAAUGCAUCCACUUCAUUAAUUUGGGAAAUUGCCAUAGUUUUUUUAAGCAUUUUGAUUUUUUACAUGAUUUAAAAUUUUCUUAUUGGAUACAAUCACUUUGUAUCAAGAACACAUUUUCAAUCACCUUUUUUUAUCUUCUCAAUGAGAAAAUAAAAAUUUAUUCAUGCUUUUCUAACAUAUUCAAUCAUUGAUCUGAAAAUUAAAACAUUAAGAAAAGGACAUUUUCAAACAUUAAGAAGUAGUAUUUUAAAGACCAUGAUGAAAUUAAUACUUUCAAGGUCUCUAUUAGGAAGACUUCCUUUAUUAAUACUCUACUAGGCAGAGUUAUAUGCACGUUUACUGUUUUGGCCUUAAGUUGGGUGCAGAUGCUUAUAUUACAAAUAGAUGGUAUCAAAAAAUUGUUGUAUUCACGUCUGUUCUUUUUUUCUUCCUUAAGUUUUUUUCUUUAUUCUCGUGACUUCGCUAGUGAGGUAUAACUUCACAACUAGAGUCAAUAGAAAUCGUCAAAUGAUUUUUUGACAUCCAAAUUAAGCAAUAAAUUUUGUUUUCAUUUCAUAACAUAUAAUAGUACUACUUCAUGGGAGAUUUUAUAGUUUCUUUAGGGUAUCAUACCUACAAUUGAUAUUUAUCAUUGGAUAGUGAAAGAAGUGUUAAUGUCUCUAAGAUUAAAUAUUGUUAAAUAUUGAAAAUUUGAACUAUUUAUCUCUAUUGAGAGAUACAACUUAAAGAAUCCUACCCAAAAGAGACUAGAAUUUUCUCUGUUUUUCAUCAUCUGUAGACAUAAACUUUCCACGGUUGAUAGCAUUUUUCAUCAUCUAUAAGGAAAUUUUGCCUAUACAAUGUGAUAGCAUUUUUCAAAAAGACAAGAUGGAAAAUUGCCCCCCUUGAACGGAAAAUUGCCCCCUUGUCAAUUCUUUAAAAAAGAAUACCGUCCCGCAGAAUUCUAGAAAGUUAGGCAAAACUAGACAAGUUGACAGGUAUAAUCAGACCCAAGAUCAGGAACAAGCAGUUGCACAUUUCAAAAUUCGCUGCUGCAACAACUAAUUUGAUGACUUACAACACUAAAUGGUCAAACUUUGAAUGGCAAUGAAUCUUUUGUUGUACAUCAUGAUGUAAUUUUCAUGUUACAUAAUAGAUUGAUAUCUAUGUUCUUUAAAUUAUCAUAAUAAUUAAAUUUAACUGAAAAAAAGAACACAUAUCAAUACACAAAAGUGUGCAACGUGAAUGUUAUUUUAGUGUAUUGCAGAAGACCUAUAGUCUCUUCAUAUCUCUUCCUGCACGUAUCAAUUCGUUUCCUCUAGAUAAUAAUCUCCCAACUCAUUUAUUUACAAAUGCACCUUUUAUGUUUUAUUACCUCCAAAAGCCUAAAAAUCAAUUCACCGACUCGCAUUUGGUAUCAGAAAUUCUUAUUACGAAUUCUACUUUACUCAAAGAUUGACUGUUAAUAAUGAGACAACGACCAUUUUGUAUUAUUACACCGUCCUUCUUGAUAGGCAAAAGAAAUAGAGAGGAAAGCGGGUCCGUAUAUGGUCUUUUAUUCAUAGAUAAUACAACAUUACGCCAUCGAGCAUUCACACAAUAUUUCAAAGUCAUUGCAUGCCUAAGGCCUGCUUGAUAAUCUAAUUCCGUACUUAAAUUUAAUAAAUUCAAAUCUUAACACAUUCAAAUCGUUUGAUAACAAAAAAUUGAACAUCUAAAUUAAUUAAGUAACACUGAAUUUUCUAGGCAAAACUUGCUCCCAAAAUUAAGUGAUAAGUUAUUCACUUAUCACUGAAUAUGAUAUGUAUUCAAAUGUAUUAGAUUUAAUACUUAAUAAUUUAAUGAAUUCAAAUUUCAUAUUUCAUAUUUCAGUUUUAUCAAACACACCUUAAGUUGCAAAAUAAUACCAAAACUUGUUAUUACAUAGCUUGAGAUUCAAAAAUUUAGAGCAUAAUUCUCAACCAAACACAAUUGAAUAAUGAAUAUUCACGAGUGUCAAAUCUAUCAAAGUACAAUUUGAGGACAACCCAUUCAAACGCGUACACGAUUUUUAACUUUUCUAAAGUUGUUGAGAGCUGUUGAAAGAGAUUUACCAUGUUUACAUCUUCCAAGUCUUGGGAGUAAAAAAUGAAGCCACUGAGUGCUAUAAAAAGGGGGGUAGAGGCCACUUGAGAUCCUCGGUGACAUGUUUUCUAUGCCAAUCCAAUGCCACCAAUAGUGUUGCGCCAAGUGUCAUGUUAUUAUUUACACUUGUGUUAAACUAAGCCAAGUUGAAUUAUUAGAAAAUUAAAGUGUAAAUAAUAACAUGACACUUGGCGCAAUACUAUUGGUGACAUUGGGUUGGCAUAGAAAAUAUGUCACCGAGGAUCCCAAGUGGAUAGAUGCUGCCUAGAAGCAUAUCAGCCUAAAACAAGAAUUUGUAGUAACAAUGGGGAGCAAAGCAAAAGCAACGGGGUCUAGGCUGACUCCUCUUCUUACCACUGUUUUAGUGGUAUUUGUUGCCCUUGGCUUGCCCUUGGAAACUGCAGCUGAUUAUUACAAGUAUUCAUCUCCUCCUCCUCCUCCUUACCAGUAUUCCUCACCACCACCUCCAGUGUAUUCACCUCCACCAACCCCUGUUUAUAAGUUACCCCCACCAUCUCCUCUAGUUUACAAGUCCUCACCACCACCUUACCACUACUCACCACCUCCUGUGUAUUCACCUCCACCAUCACCAAUUUACAAGUCACUGCCACCACCCCCUCCAGUAUACAACUCCCCGCCUCCACCAGUGUACAAAUACAAGUCCCCACCACCACCUUCUCCAAUUUACAAAUCUCCACCGCCACCAGUUUACAAGUACAAGUCACCCCCACCACCUCCUCCGGUAUACAAGUCUCCUCCGCCACCUGUUUACGAGUACAAGUCUCCUCCACCACCUCCUCCAGUGUACAAGUCCCCACCACCUCCAGUUUACAAGUACAAGUCACCACCACCUCCUCCCCCGGUUUACCAAUCUCCUCCACCACCAGUUUACAAAUACAAGUCACCACCACCUCCUCCCCCAGUUUACCAGUCUCCACCUCCACCCUAUCAUCACUACUACGGUUCUCCUCCUCCUCACCACUACUAAGCAAGUGCAUCUAAGUUUUGAGGUAAUAAUACCGAUCCAAAACUUUAUCAACGCAAACUGCCAUGUAUAUCAUGCUAAGGACGUACACUUGAUCCAUGAAAAUGGCUAGUAGAAGAUUUUUUUUAAGAACCAGAGAAAUACAUUAUUUUUUCGCUCUGUUUUCAAGAAUUUGAGCAGUAUACAGAUUAAAGAGUGUUUUUUUUAAACUUGCUUAUCAACUUAGAAAUGCACAUAGCUGAAAGCCAACUGAAUAUUUGCAGGCAAAGGAGAAGGCAAUCGGUGUUUGAGACCUUCAUGAAGAUGUAGAAGAAUAAGAAUAAAAGCCCAAUGCGAGGAUGAUUUCAAGUUUCUACGUUACCAUUUCUACAUCUAAAUUGACUUUAGCUCCUGAGUUCCAUGUCUAUGGGGUUUGUACUGUUUUACGUACCAUGCAGUACAUGCUUGUAAGGUUUUCUGUCCUGUUGGCAAGCCGCAGGUCCAUAUAAUAAAUGAAUACUAUUUAUAUUACGACACUUUUCUCUCUUUCUCUUAUAUUUUGUCUUUAAUAUUGUUGAUCAUUUUUUUUUUUUAUCAAAAGUAUCAAAUGCUUAGGCAAUUUGGUCUAAUGCUAAUUGUUUUACAUUUAUUUUUCACCUACAUCCCUUUUCAACUCAAAGGAUGCUACAGUUUGUGAUCAUUGUUUAAGACCGAAGCAUGGUACUAAUAAAUAUCUCAUUGAAAGUCAAGGAAACUAACAUUAUGAAAAGUGUAAAUCUUGAUUUGUGAAACUAUUUAUUCGUGGAAUUUAGAGAUACAAAACUCAAAUUGUGACGGUGUUGUUGCUAAAUUAUUUUUUUUUUAUAAUAAAACACAGUUCAUUCAAGGAUUACUGGAAAUCGUCCAGCACAAUUGAGAUACAUUGUUGCCCAGGUGGCAGAUAAAUAUGCACUAAAAUUAUAGAUAUGCAAUUUAACAAAUACAUAAGAUUUGAGAAAUUAAGGACAAAUCUAAAAAGGACCAUAAAUUUGAAAAACAUUUCAUCCUAGAAUAAGUCGCUGCAACUCUCUUUGUGCAUGCUGUAAUCGUCAGAUCUACUAAUCAACAGUUGUAAGGUCCAGUAAAGAUGGUGAGAUCUGCCGAGAUUGAUCCAAAUCUGAAAUAUUCCCUCAGAUCUGCUAUCCAAUUGGUUCAAACUCAAUACUGAAAGUGAAAUCUGAUGAGAAGACUGAAAAAAUUGUAGAUCUAACAUAUAGAUCUAAAAAAACUCCAAGAUUUGAAAAAGUAAAGAAACAAAACUAAAUAAAACUCUCAUUAAGAUAGUUUAGGAGAGACUAAAACUCUCAAUAGGACACCCUAGGAGAGAAGAAAACUCUCACUAGGAUAACCUAUGAGAGACUUUAUUGAAUGAAAGGAAAAGCAAAGGACAAAGGAAGAAGAAGGGAGACCUUGGCUUAAGGCCAAGGUCUCCCUCCUAUGGAGGAGGAAGGGUAGAGGAGGAAGCCUAGAGAGAAGGAAGAGAAUCCCUCCGCUAGAGGGAAGGAAGAGCCUCUGAGAGGGUACCCGUGUUGUUGCUAAAUUAUUAAGGACAUUAUCACCAUUACUUUUCCCUUACUAGUUUCAACUGCAAUGAUCUCAAUCUUUUUGUGACUAAUUCUUUUCUUAAUAAUUUAUAAAUACAAAACUCACAAAGAAUAUGUGACUUAUUCUUUCCUUUCGUCUUCUAAAGAAAAUGCCAACUGUUAGUUUAUCAAGGGAAAAAGGAUCGACAUCAGUUGUUAUUGAAACUAGUAAGGAAUAAAUAAUGGUGAUAAUGUCCUUAAUAAUUUAACAACAGCACCAUCAGAAUUUGAGCUUUGUAUCUAUAAAUUCCACGAAUAAAUAGUUUCAUCAAAUCAAGAUUUACACUUUUCAUAAUGUUAAGUUUCCUUGACUUUCAAUGAGAUAUUUAUUAGUAUCAUGCUUCGGUCGUAAACAACGAUCACAAACGAUAGCAUCCUUUGAGUUGAAAAGGGUAGUGAAAAAGAGAAGUAAAAAAUACAAUUAGCAUUCCCUCAAAUUGUAGAAAGUUAGGUAGCAUUAUAGACAAGUUGAUAGCCGUAAUUAUACUAAAAAUCAGGCAAAAGCCAGCAAUUUUACAUUUCAAAAUUCACCUAUUCAAUAACUAAUUCGAUGGCUUGCUACAUGGUCAAAAUUCACCACAUAUCCCUUUCCUCAAUCAGGGGCUUCUACAAUUACCAGUUCCAAUUGUAUGGUAUAGUGUAAAUAUCAACAAAUUAGAUGUAGACACUAAUAUAAUAAAUAUGGAUGCUAAGGCAACAACAUACAAAAACAUAAUAAAUUUUGGCAUUCCUUAAAAAAUUACGUCCCCAAAUCAAUCUCAUACACCCAAUUUCUAAUUUAUUUAACUCAUUCCGUCUAUUAACUGCACCAUACAAUCCAACCUGCAAUUGCAUGAACCCCAAUCUCGCUUCCUAGUCCACCAUUUUUCUCUAGGUAAUAAUCUCCCUUCUAAUUUCUUCACAAAAUGCACCUUUCAUCACCUCCAAUAGCGUCGACAUGAUCUUUACCCUAGAAGACUAUUCACCGACUCCCAAUUGACGUCAGAAAAUCUAAGAGUAAUUCUACUUUACCCUAAGAUUGAUAUCAACUAGACAAUGACAAUUUAGAAUUAUUACACGCCUCUUCUUAAUAGGAAAAAGAAAUAGAGAAGAAAGUCAGGCCAGGUCUAAUUUCUUUUCGAAGGCAAUACAACAUUACGAAAUCAAGCAUUCAUUCAUACAAAUAUUUCAUAGUCACCGGUUUGCUGAGUAGAAAAGUUUAUACAAAAACUUAAUAUUAUAUUGUUUAAGAGUUAACAAUUUAGAGCUUAAUCUCCUUGUACUUUGGACUAAACUCGAACGUGAAAGGAAAUCCCAAAACCAUAUUGGGCAUGAAUUCACACUUAAAUAGACCCAAAAAAAGAUGGCGACUGGUGAAAGGCAGUGGAGACUGGUGGUGAGAUUUGAGGAAUAGAAGCAGACGGAAAAGCCACAAAUUUUUGCCGAAAGAGGGUCACUUUCAUGGUUAAUUUUGCUACUCUCUACUUGUACUUGACCAAUGACAGGUUGUCAGUCUGUGCAAUAAUAAAAACCUGUUCAAACUAAAAGUAAUUUCUGUAGAUAGUGGUAAGCAGGGUCGAAUCCACAGGGAUUAGGUGUAACUGUUUCUUUUCAAAUUCACAAUAACAAAGGGGGUGUUUUUAUGCAGAAUGUGACAAUCAAAGAAAUUCAAUUAAAAGUAAAAUAAUAAAAAUAAAAUAGCCAACUAGAAAUUAAAUAACAAUUUACUAAAAUCAAAUGAGUGAUAAUUAAGGAUCUAGCCAAGGAAUAACUUCAGCAGUGGUUCACCUAAUUGAUCAUUGGAACAAAGGCAAUUCCAAUUAUUUACUAAUAAAUAGGUUAUAACUGCCAAACAAGCGAUGACAGUCAAUCACUCCUUACUGUGUCGGUGAUUAAGGUACGCCCGUUAAUCACUGCCCUAAUUGAGAAAUAAUCUUAGGUACGCCCGUAAGAUUUAAUUUUCCAAUUGCCUUACAUAUUAGAGGAGUGUCAGGAACAAGGAAAUAGAAUGGGACGUCGUUUAAUGCAAAGGGUUGUGCGUUUAAGGCCUUAGAAGCAAUACUACGUCGUUCUAAUAACAUAGGCGGUGCUGGUGUGAUAGGCCAAGUUAGUUGAGGGUCAAUUACAUAAAUAGCCUUCUGUAACAGAUUUUUGGUUAUGUUUUUGAAUGAAAAGUAUCUCGCUGCUUUCUCUCUCUUGUCUGUUAUUUCCCUCCCUUUUCUUCUUUCUCUCUUCCCUCUUCUUAAUCUUGUUUCUUUCUUCUGAUUCUUCCCCCAAAUUCAAUACAAUUCCAGAAAUUAACCUGCAAGUCUGACAUUUGGUAUCAGAGCGGUCGAUUCUUGGCCGCGAAGGUAUCAGAAAUGGCUGAGAGCACGCGAUUCAGGACACUGGAGGAGCAACUCAAGAAGCAGGAGAAUCGGUUGCAAGAACUGGCGGAAUCCAUGGCUGCACUGCAGAGUACGAGUUCCGAGGAGUUGCGGCAUAAGCUACAGGCGGAAAUGGAGCAGAACAAUGCAAAAUUGGACGCGGUGGUGGGAAGUCUGGACCAGAAGUUCAAUAAAAUGGAACAGAGACUCAGUACAGUGUUGAAGCUGCUGAUGAAGGAGAAAGGUCUCCCUGAUGUCGAAGGAGGAAUUUCUGAUCCAAUCUUGCCGACUCCUCCAUCUCAUCUGAGGUUAGCAUCCUCAGUCGAAGGGAUUGGGCACCAACAAGAGUACAGAGGUAGGCAAUUCACUCCUAAUGUACCUCGAUUAGAACUGCCAAUGUUUAACUCUGGAAACCCUAGGGAAUGGACCAGGAAAUGCCAGAAAUAUUUUUUGAACUAUCAGAUAGCAGAGAGUCAAAAGGUAGAGGUAGCAGAGAUGUUUUUGGAAGGUAGAGCUGACAAUUGGUUUCAAGGAGUGAAAUUGGUGAGGCCAGGGUUGUCUUGGGGGGAAUUUAGUGAACUUUUGUGUGAAAGAUUUUCUGGAAGUAGUUCUCGUGACAUUGUGGAGGAAUUUAACAAGUUACAGCAGAAAGGAACUGUUGAGGAAUAUGAGGAGAAAUUUGAAGAACUAAAAGCUCUAAUGCUGAUGAAAACCCCCAGGUUGGAUGAACUUUACUUUGUUUCCAGUUUUAUUAGUGGCCUCAGGGAAGAAAUUAGACCUAUGGUGAAGAUGUUUAAGCCUCAAACACUGAUGAAGGCCUUUGAAGUUGCGGAGUUGCAGGAGUGUUCCCUGGAAAUCCAAUCGAAACAAAACAGAACUUCAAGGAGGACAGCAAUGGAACCCAAGUUUGGAAUGUAUAAGGGCACUACGAGUGAUUAGGGUCGCCAAAAUUCAUAUAAGUUGCCUGGAGUCACUCCUGUCUCCAGGAGGACUAAUGCAGUACACAAGGAAUUUAGUAAGAUAUCAGCGGAGGAAAUGCAGUAUAAGCGUAAGCACAGCCUGUGCUAUAGGUGUGGAGAGAAGUUUGGAAUAGGUCAUCAGUGUAAGAAAGGAAGUCUGAACUGUGUGAGCACUGAGGAAGAGGAGGACACUGAAUUUGAGGAUGCGGAAGGGGAACAGGAUGAGUUAACAGGAAGGGUCGGGGAACUUGCAGAAGUCUCUUUGAAUGCUUUAUCUGGUGCCAUAAGGAGGAAAUCCAUCCUGUUGAUAGGGAACUUAGGGGGGCUUCCAGUCAAAAUUUUGGUGGACACAGGCAGUUCUAACAGCUUCAUUCACCACAGGAUUGUCAACCUACUGCAUCUACCAUAUCAGGCAGUCAGUCCAUUUACUGUGACUCUAGCAGAUGGAACUGACAUUACCAGUGGAGCCAUCAGUCCCAGCGUGUCUUGGUUAAUUCAGGACUAUCAAUUCCAAUUUGACUUAAAAGUAAUGGAAUUAGGGGGAUGGGAUAUAAUUCUGGGGGUGGACUGGAUGUGCCAGUAUAGUCCCAUUACAUUUGAUUUCCACUCUCUUAGCAUUGCCCUUAGUGAUAGGGGUUCUUUACUACACCUCCAAGGACUUGUGAAGCAACCUACUAUGGAACUGGUGAGGGGCAGGGAUCUCAGCUCGUUUAUACAGGAGAAGCAAAGAAACUGUGCAGCCAUGCAUGCUGAUAGGGCCAGGGAAACAGGAGAGCAGCUUCCAAAAGCUAUAGAAAGGAUCCUGGAACAGCACUCUCAGGUUUUCUCCACCCCAACAGGAUUACCCCCAGAGAGGGAAUUGGACCAUCAGAUCAACCUCAAACCAGGAGCUGAACCCUUCAAGCUCAAACCUUACAGGUACCCCCACUCACAUAAAGCAGAAAUUGAAAAAAAAGUUGCUGAGAUGCUCACUAAUGGAAUUGUUAUACAUAGCACAAGCCCCUAUGCCUCCCCUGUAUUGUUAGUAAAGAAAAAGGAUAACUCCUGGAGAUUAUGCAUAGAUUACAGGAAGCUGAACGAGCUGACUAUAAAGGAUAAGUUCCCUAUUCCCAACAUAGAUGAACUAUUGGAUGAAUUACAUGGAACCAGAUACAUGUCCAAACUGGAUCUCAGAGCUGGUUACCAUCAGUUGAGGGUGAAAGCUGUUGAUACCCCUAAGACUGCCUUCCAGACACACCAUGGCCACUUUGAAUUCUUAGUGAUGCCUUUUGGACUCACAAACGCGCCAGCUACAUUUCAGUCCUUGAUGAACAGAAUAUUUCAGCCAUAUCUCAGAAAGUUUGUCCUAGUCUUCUUUGACUACAUAUUAGUGUACAGCCCCACACUAGAGAUGCAUGCACAGCAUCUACAGAUUGUGCUCAAUAUUUUAGAAGAAAAUCAGCUGUAUUACAAGAGGUCAAAGUGCUCUUUUGCCCAGUCCUCAAUUGAAUACUUGGGGCACGUGAUCUCAGAGGCAGGAGUGAGUAUGGAUGUGGCUAAGGUGGAGUGUAUCAAGUCCUGGUCUGUUCCUAGUACAGUCAAGGAGCUGAGAGGGUUUUUGGGAUUAAUUGGUUACUACAGGAGAUUCAUUAAAGGCUAUGGAGUGAUUAGCAAACCCUUGACUGUAUUGUUGAAAAAGGAAGGUUUUGCAUGGAACCAUGAAGCUCAAAUGGCCUUUGAAGAUUUGAAAAAGGUUAUGACCACAGCCCCAGUGCUGAGCAUGCCUAAUUUCGAACUUCCUUUUGUCAUAGAGACUGAUGCCUGUGGAAUAGGUAUUGGAGCAGUGUUGAUGCAGCAAGGACAUCCUAUUGCUUUCCUUAGCAAGGCAUUAUCAGUUCAGAAUUUGGGGUUAUCAGUCUAUGAAAAAGAGCUUUUUGCCUUAGUGCUAGCUGUAACUAAGUGGAGGCAUUACCUGGUGGGUCAUCACUUCAUUAUCAGGACAGAUCACCAAGCUCUCAAACAUUUGAUAGAGCAAAGGCUUACUCAUCCACUCCAGCACAAGUGGCUAACUAAGCUACUUGGUUUGGACUAUGAAAUACAGUAUAAAAAGGGUGCAGACAAUGGGGUGGCAGACGCCCUCUCCAGGAGAAGGAUUGAGGGAAACACUGUUGACUGUGGAGAGACUGGGCAUCAGACCUGCGCCAUAACCUCAGCUCAGCCUAGUUGGAUGCAGGAAAUGCUAGAAAGCUACAUUGGAGAUGCAGAGGCUCAACAGAAGUUAUCUGAGCUAUUGCUGGAUCCCAAUGCAGAUCCAGAUUAUCAGUUAAAGAAUGGGAUGCUCAAGUUUAAAGGGCGGCUGUACAUAGGAUCUGCUAACAACAUUAGGACCAAGGUGGUCAGAGCAUUGCAUGACUCAGCCCUUGGGGGGCACUCAGGUCCUGGAAUCCGUAAGGAUGUCCUUCAAUAUGUGAGAUCUUGUGAUGUGUGUCAAAGGAACAAACAUGAAAAUGUUCCUUAUCCUGGGUUGCUGCAACCAAUUCCUGUACCUCAGCAGGCUUGGUCACACCUCACCAUGGAUUUUAUUGAGCAACUACCCCCAUCCCAUGGAUUUGAUACCAUUUUGGUGGUGGUGGAUAGGUUAACCAAGUUCAGCCACUUCAUUCGACUCACUCACCCUUUUUCUGCACAGCAGGUAGCACAGCUUUUCCUUGACAACAUAUACAAGCUGCAUGGACUUCCUGAGACCAUUAUAACUGACAGGGACAUAAUCUUUCUUAGUAAGUUUUGGCAAGAGUUAUUUGGUAUGGUAGGGGUAAAGCUGCACUACAGUUCAUCGUAUCACCCUCAAUCAGAUGGUCAAAGUGAAAGGGUCAAUCAGUGUUUGGAAAACUAUCUCAGGUGUAUGUGCAGUGAGCAUCCUUCUCACUGGAGCAGUUGGCUUCCUACAGCUGAGUUAUGGUACAACACUAACUUCCAUACUAGCUUGCAGGUGACACCAUUCGAAGCACUAUACGGGUAUAAACCAAAUCACCUUCCCUUAGGACCUUUUCAUGAUAGCCUGGUACCUGCUGCUGGUAACAUGGUGCAGACUAGGCUCCAAAUUCUAUCCCUCAUCAAAGAGAAUCUAGCCACCGCCCAGAAUCGAAUGAAAAUGUUUACUGAUAAGCACAGGACUGAACGUGUCUUCCAAGUGGGGGAUUGGGUAUUUCUCAAGCUGCAACCUUACAGGCAACAAUCAGUGGCCUUACGGAAGAAUUUGAAGUUGGCUGCCAAAUACUUUGGACCUUUCCAGAUCCUUGCGAGAGUAGGGGAAGUCGCCUACAGACUUAAGUUGCCAGAGGGAGCUCGAGUUCAUUCCGUGUUCCAUGUGUCCUUACUUAAAAGGAAAGUGGGAGUUACACAGCAGGUAAAGCCCAGCUUGCCAGAAGUAGACGCAUCAGACCAAUGUUUGCUGAAGCCAGAGAAGAUUCUCCAGAGGCGUGUUAUCAUACGAGCUGCCAAACCAAUCAUCCAGUACCUGGUGAAGUGGAACAACUUACCAGAAUCCGAAGCAUCAUGGGAGGAUAAAAGCUUCAUUGACAGACAAUUUCCGGAAUUUCAAGCUUGAGGACAAGCUUUGCUUAAGGGGAAGAGAUUGUCAGGAACAAGGAAAUAGAAUGGGACGUCGUUUAAUGCAAAGGGUUGUGCGUUUAAGGCCUUAGAAGCAAUACUACGUCAUUCUAAUAACAUAGGCGGUGCUGGUGUGAUAGGCCAAGUUAGUUGAGGGUCAAUUACAUAAAUAGCCUUCUGUAACAGAUUUUUGGUUAUGUUUUUGAAUGAAAAGUAUCUCGCUGCUUUCUCUCUCUUGUCUGUUAUUUCCCUCCCUUUUCUUCUUUCUCUCUUCCCUCUUCUUAAUCUUGUUUCUUUCUUCUGAUUCUUCCCCCAAAUUCAAUACAAUUCCAGAAAUUAACCUGCAGAUCUGACAAGGAGCCCUAUUCUAACCAAAUAACACACUACCAGGGUUAUUUUAGGUUAGCCCGCGUAUUCCCCUGACAUGAAUCCAAUCAUGCCAGUUAUCACUAUUUUGAAACAAUUAAACAAUUACGGAUUUAACGUCCCAAUUGACAAUAGAUUAUCAAAUUAACUAAUUAUCCGGAUCCAAAACAAUCAAUUAAUUAAAUAAUCAUAAGCACUGUAAUCAGGGAAUAUUUGAAUACCAAUAAAUAAAAAGAAAGGACAAAAUUAAAUCGAUUUCACAAUUUUUAAACGAACCACAACCUCAGUUGUUCCUCGGCUAGAUUGAGAAAAUUAGCUCAUGUUCGAUGCGAAAAAUCCACAAGAAAUUGUUAAGAGAGCCGCGGCCAUUGUCCCUUGAAAUUGGGGAAAUUCAAUUCGGUUGAACUACGAAAGAAAAGUAAGCUACAGAGAGUUGCCGAUUGGGUUUUGCUUGUCCCUAACAUGCGAGGGAGCAAAGCCACGAAAGGACGACAAAGGUCAAAAAGAAAGGCUACAGAGCAUGUUCCAGGUCUUUUUGUGCUCUCCACAUCCGAGCCAACGAAAAGAAAUAAAAAACUACCAGGAGCUAAAGGAAAACCGCAAGAAAAGUCAAAGGCUAAAAAAACUUCCUAGUGCUUGUUCUCUGCUUAUCUCUUUAUCUAAUUCUAAGUCCCCGAUUUUUUGCUCCGUGCGGCGGCUCCCCCGGAGAGAAAGGAUUGCAUCCGCUGCCCUCUUCCACCAAUUACCAAAAUGGGCACACCGCUUCUUUUUCAAAAAUGCUCCUGGAUAAACUCUAUCAUCUGGACUUUUUUUCUGUCAAAUUGACAUUUAUUAUUAUAUUUUCGUUCUACUCCCUGAAAUAAAUGUAAAAUAUUAAAAAUGAGUAGAAUCCGACAAUUAAUUCACAUCAGGUCAGAUAAUAAAGAAAAUUAAUAAUAAAAUAAAUAAAUAAAUUGCAACCUAUCAACCAAAUACAACAAUUUCAUGGAGUUUGAUACACAAGCCCAAAUACACGAGAGUGUGUAACCUGAAUUGUUACUUAUACAUUAGUGUGUAAUAGAACGGCAAGCAUUAUGGUGGUCAUUGAGCAACUUGUAGGAGAAAUAGUCCUAUAAGCUGUUCAAUGACCAAUCACAACUUGCUAAUUGGAUGACUAAUAUAGCUCUAGCUGUAAUGUUUUAAUUAAAUUCCAUCACUAACGUUGGGAUGACUUUUUAAUCAAAAAAAAAAAAGCCUUAGUUCAAGCUUUUCCCCUUAUUGUGCAUUUUUUAAAACAUUUGAUAGGCACUGCAAAUCUGUCAUUUUGGACAUUUUAUUAUUAACUAACAAUGAAAGCCGUGGACAUCAACCCAUAUCCAACAAAAUAUUAAAUUAAUAUUAGAAAAAAUUAUUAAGUAAUUGGAAAAAAAAAGAAGAGGCUAAUUUUCAUUGAAACCCACCGACAAACUAUACGCUGCUUUCAAUCAGUUUUAACACGGGAAAAAGAAAAGGCAUGAAAAGCAAAAUUUGUGGGGAUAAUUUCGGAAACCUCCCAUGAAGUUUUUGACUAUUUUACUGGCCUCCCUUCAGAUUUUAAAAAUUGGACUAAUCUUCCUUAAAGUUAAUUAUCUUGUAACAUUUAGAUCCGAUCAAUAAUUUAAAAAAUAAUAUUAUGAGAGAGAAAAUAAUAUGAUUUUAUUAUUGCCCCCAUCUCACCACAUUAUUUAAUUAAUUUAAUAGCAACCCACACAUUAAAGAAAAUGACAGGUCGUCAACCUGUGCAAUAAUAAAAUUAAACCUAAUUGCCAGUUAAAAUGACCAAAACCCAAUUCCAAGUACUGGAGCAGGGACUCUAGGUGUGCAAUGGGUUACUUGAUUCACCCUGUUCCCGAAGAGUUUGCUUGAUCCGAUAUACCCGAAUGGAAUGGUUAUUCCUUUUCACAAAUGAUUAGGAAUUUGUAGACAGGGCAAGUAGGGUCGUAUCCACAGAGACUGGGUAUAUUUGUUUCUUAAGAAAUCCAAAGUAACACAGGGGGUGAUUUUGUAGGAACGACGAUAAUUAAAUAAAUUCAAAUGAGAAAGUAAAAAUAAAUAAUUAACUAGAAAUUAAACCACAAUUUACUGAACUCAGGAUAACAAUAGUUAAAGGCCUCAAUUAAUUAAAAUAAGGAAACAAUCAAAAAUAAAAUAAAGUAGGUAAUUAAAAGUCAAAUGGCAAUCCACUACAAUCAAGGAAAUAUUAACUAAAGAUCUAGCCAAGAAAUAACUUCAGCAAUGGUUCACCUAAUCGAUCAUUGAUGCAAAGCAAUCCCAAUUAUUUACUAAUAAAUAGGUUAUAACUACCAAACAAGCGAUGGCAGUCAACCCCUCCUUACUGUGUCGGUGAUCAAGGUACGCCCGUUAAUCACUGCUCUAAUUGAGAAAUAAUCCUAGGUACGCCCGUAGAAUUUAAUUCCCCAACUGCCUUACGUAUUAGAGGAGCCCUAUUCUACCCAAAUAACACACUACCAGGGUUAUUUUAGAUUAGCCCGCGUAUCCCCCUGACACGAAUCUAAUCGUGCCAGUUGUCACUAAUUUGAGGUAAUUAAACAAUUACGGAUUCAAUACCCCAAUUGACAAUAGAUUAUCAAACCAAUGAAUUAUCCGGAUCCAAGACAAUCAACUAAUUAAAUAAUCAUAAGCACUGCAACCAAGGAAUAUGCGAAUACCAAUAAAUAAAGGAAAAGAUAAAAUUAAAUCGAUCUCACAAUUUACAGGUGACCCAAAGCAUCAGUCGUUUCUUGACUAGAACGAGGGGGUUAGCUCAUAUUGGAUGAACUAAGCCCGCGGGAAAUUCCAGCAAAAGUCACGGCCGUUGUAUGCAUUUCAAGAGCCGCAAUUCGUCAAACACUUGGAAAGCGAAUGUAAGGCACGGGUAACAAUUGAAACUUUCUAAUUGUUCCUAGCAUUCGUAAAGCAAAUUCACUCCAGAAGUACAGUGAGGAAAAGUCAAAGAAAGUGGGCUUCAAUUCCUUGCUCCUGACAUGCGUGGAGACAAGCCAAUGCAAGACUACAAUAAACUAACAAGGAAAAGUCAAGAAUUGGAGCUAAGCUCCCCUGCCAUGCGCAGGAAUCCCAAAAGUAAAAAGUAAAGCUUCAAAGAAAAGUCAACAAUUCUUCCUAAGCUACAGACGGAAGAUCCAGCACAAAAGCCAGCUCCCUUUUUGAUCCCUUUUUCCCCCUUCUUAUUGCGGCGGCUCACCAGGAGAGGAGAGCCCUCCGUCCGUCCUUUCUUCCGGAAAUUACCAAAAUGGGCAUGACAUCUUCUCUUCCAAAAGUGCCCCUGGGACAAGCUUUCUCAUCUGAAUUCUUUUUUUUUCCAAUUUGGCACCUGUUAUCAUAUUUAUAUUCUACUCCCUGAAAUAAACGUCAAAUACUAAAAGUGAGUAGAAUCCAGCAAAUAAAUCCACAUCAAGUCAGGUAAUAGGAGGAAUUAAUAAUAAAAUAAAUGAAUAAAUUGCACCCUAUCAAUUCCCUCCACACCUAAACCAUGCUUGUCCUCAAGCAUAAGAAAAGUAAACGAACACCAAAAUUCGACGAUAGCCAUUGCCCAAUCUCCUAUAUUGCCAAGACAUUCAAGAGAAAAACACAUAUCGAGCAUUGGUGAUUAGAAUCCCAGAAGCAUCCCCCCGGUUAGCCUCUAACCCCCAGAUUCCUUCAAUUUCCAACUUAACUACUCUAAGAAAGAGGAAUGGCACACAACAUUUAUCAGCUAGUGGUCCGAAUAUUCACACAAGUCUUCAUAUCCAAUCCAUAAACCGGCAAGCUUCCCUAUUAUUUAGUCUCUCUUUUUUUCCGUUUUUUUUCAUUUUCAUUCUUCCCCUCUUUUUUUUUUUUUUUUAAAGCAGUAGCAAUCAACACAAAAGACUUAGUCGUUAGCCGUCAGGGCCUUUUGAUGCGAACUCCAACAUUUUUAGAAGGAGGAGCCCGGUUACUCAGCUCCUACCGCUAUACGACCACGCACUCAUAUAAAAUACCACCUUUUGACGCGAGAAUCGACACUUUUAGGUGCCGAUCCCCGGUUACUCAGUAGUAACUUAAUAGCGGAGCACAGUCAAGCUUAUUCUCAGCCAAACAAUGCACAAACGCAAAAUAACAGCACUAACAAUCAAACAUAGGAGCAGCUCGCCUCAUUAUUGUCAAACAUGGAGAACUGGAGUCAAUAUUGGACCAGUUCACAUUAAAAGGCCAUAUUCAUUCCCUACGCCUAGAAAAGUUAACAAAGAAAUCGAAAGAGUCAAACAGUUAAAUAUUCACCAAGGGGAUAUUCAGGACCCAACCACACUAACCCGAUACAUUUUGUAUUUUAAAAACUUGGCAAAAGUAGAUUUGGAGUCAAUGAGUCCACAUCUCAAUUUUAGCCUUCACAUGAAAGGCAAUCACCAAGAAGAAAGAACGGAAAAAUAAGCAACUAGAAAUGAGACUACGAAAAACUACUAAAACUAAAAACUCACUUUUUUUCUUUUUCUCUUUUUUUUUCUUUUUGAAUUUUUUUUUCAUUUUUAUUUUUUUUUAUUUUUUUUAUUUUUUAAACAUUAACUAUAAACAUUAACUACUAAAAACUAAAAACUAAAACUACUAAAAACUAAAAACACUAAAAACUGCUAAAAUGAAAAGCUGAAAACUGAAAACUACUAAAAACGGAGCACACUAGCAUAACUUUAGAUCCCCCCCACACCUAUAGGACACAUUGUCCUCAAUGUGACAAAUAAGAACCAAAAGUGAAGCACAAGUGAGAGGGGAAUCAGCCAAACUUCCCUGAAAUCGGGUCACAGCGGAGGGCGAGGUGGAAAUGGAGGUGCAAAGCCUGUAUGCAUCAGGAACUGUGCCAAAUUCUGUGCUAUGCCGGCGACAUUGGCGUCGACGUUGGUCAUCCGGGCCUGCAAAUCCUGAACCAGCUCCCUGAGAUGCUGCCAAUCAUCGGUCCCAGGUGGUGGAGGUGGCGCAGAAGUAGAGGUAGACGGCCCAGCAGUGUCCGCGGCCGACCCAGGGAAUGAAGAUGGCCCUGCCCGGGCCGAAUGGUGUGCACCCGGGGCUCGAGGUGGUCCCGGACGGGUAAACUGGUGAAAACCAUCUGGCAGACGCUCGACGACCCCCAUUUUCUCUAAGCAAACUACGUCCAAGUGCUCCAUCUCAAAUGCCAAAUGGAGGUCGUGGUCAUCCAGGUUAAGAACUCCCAACUGGGUCGCCAAGUGAGUGAUGUAGGACCCAAGGAUCAGUGGUUUGUUCUUCUUGGUCAAGACCGUCUUGAACUGUGCGGCCAACCAACAUCCCAAGUUCACCUUGAUAUUGUUCUUCAUACUCCAGAGAAAGAAGAAUUCGGGCCGAGAGAGUAUACCGGAGCUGUCCUUGCGCCCCGAGUAGCUAUAAGCUAAGAAUCGCUGAACAUAGCGGGCGCUAGGGUCCUUAAGAAAGGAGCUCCUGGACCGGGAAGGAUCGUAGCGUUGCCUAUCGACGGACAUGUCCUCCCAUACAUCAUGGUAGUGGGAGAGGAAAGGCUCUACGUAGUCACAGGCACUCUCCGCAUACUCCCUAGUCUCAGCAUACUCUCUAGUGAUAAACCCAAAUGCCAGAUUGAAUUGAGUAAUGGAGAAAUUGAAUUCUCGACCCAUGAGCCGGAAAUGAAUGACAUUCGGUGUUUCACCCGUGUAUCUCGUAGGUAAUUCGAACUCAAAGGUGGAGUAAAACUCCCGGAUCAGCUCAACAAAAGCGGGACAAGAAAUAUGGAAAUAUGGGCGCCACCCAAUGGCUGUGAACAUUUGCUCAACCUCCUCCCGUAUACCCAGGGCAGUUAGAGAGAGUCUAUGACAAGACUUACAGGAUAUUAUACGCCUCUCGCAGACCUUAGCGUACCUCUGCCGAUCGGCGGGUCUGGUAAAUGUUAAGUGCCCCCCAAAAUGAACAGGUGCAUCUACCUGAGCACCCCUAUCCCUACCCAAACGGGUUCGAACACUAGAAGAGGAGGGUAGGUUGGUAGGUGAGUUGACAGGAAUAGAGGCUUGUGGAGGGGGUUGAGACUGAGAGGUCCUAGACCUAGAGGAGGAUUUCGGUCUCACCAUUCCCCCCAAAGUAAGUUCAAGGCAACAGAAAAUCCGACAAGUAUAGAAACCAGCAAUUGACAAAGCAAAAAUCUCCCAGUAGUAACCCAGCCAAUAGCAAACAAAAGAGUUCCAGCAAGUAAUCAACAAGCAAUUCAGAAAUAUCUCAACUAAAAUCUCAAGAGAAACCCCAGCGAGUUAUCCAGCAAUUCAAGCAAUAUCCCCAAGCAAUGUGGUGGUCAAAAUGUCAUCUCCAAAUUGAACAAAUAAUCAGAGCAUUGCAACACAUUGAAAAUCUCAAUAAACGGCUCCAGUUGGCCAAGAAAAAUUGCUAACUCAUACUCAGCAAUAGUAGUGCAGCAAAGGGACAGUAACCACGCAAUAAAAACACUUAGCUUGCACUCAAAUGGUCACCCCAAAUAACAACCCAGUAUGAAACCCGCAGGCAGAGUAUUCCUCAAACCGUUAGCCUAAACCCAGUCAACAACCACGGCCAGAAAUAACCCCAUAAAUAGUGCAAUGAGUAAUCCCCAGCAACAUAAUCAGGUGUAAUCAACUGGAGCAAGCAAUUUACAUGGCAUAGAAACCUCCCAAUCAAACAAGUGCAUUAUUCUAGCGCACCCCAAAAUUCCAAGAAAUGGCUCCAGUUGGCCAAUUAAUUUCACAAUGUCACCCAACUCAGGAGAAAUAGCAAUUCCACACAAAAAUAGUCAAACCAGUACCACUGGCGAAAAAUCUUUCAAAUAUGCACAAUUUGCUACCAAAUAUCACCGGCUAACACUGAAAAAUUGAGGGCAAGUGUCAAAUACCUCCACAGGGACUACCCCAGGCGGCAGACAGAGAAGCGGCGUUGAAGCUGGUGGUCGAGCGGGGCGGCGCUCGCGUCGGCGUGCGCAGCGGCGACGGCGCGCGAGGAUGGAGUUUCGGGAGGUUGCGUGCGGGCUUGGCUGAAGACGCGGCGCGCGCUAGGGCUUCGCUGCGGCAGGCGUGCAGCAGGGGAGAAGAAAGAAAAGAGAAAGAAAGAAAGAAAAAGAAAGGAAAGAAAGAACAGAAAAGAAGGAAAAGAAAAAGGAAUUUUUCUUUUUUUUCUUUUUCUUUAGGCUACGGUUUAGAGGACAAAUUUUUCUUCUUCUUGUUUUCUACUUUUUUAUUUUUUUAUUUUUUAGUUUUUAAUUUAUUACUAUUAUUAUCAUAUUUAAUUGAGGAAAAAAAAUGUUUUUUUUUAAAUCCCUACCUUUCCCACGAACGUGACGCGGGCACGUCAAGAGGGCAAGAGAGCUCCCAGAAGUUUCAGAAUUUUCUGAUCGUAAGCGUCCUGCACAUCACCACGCGGGCACGUCAUGAGGACAGGAGAGCUCCCAGAAGUUCAGAAUUUUCUGAUCGUGAGCGCCCUGCACGUCACCACGCGGGCACGUCAUGAGGCCAGGAGAGCUCCCAGAAGUUUGAAGUUUCUGAUUCCUGCCCGUCAUCACGCGGGCGCGUCAUGACUGAAGGUCACCUACAAAUCAGCAAAAACGAAAACUAACACCCAAAAUCAGUCAAAUUCAGGGAAAGCAGAUUUAAACUAUGCUACAAAACCAACAAACAAUUAAAAGAAAUAAUUAGGUUGCCUCCCAAUGAGCGCCUUUCUUUAAUGUCUUUGGCUAGACAUGGUAAAGUGUCACUGAUUAGGACACGGUGGUGCGUCAAGCCUUAUUGUCUCCACCUCUCUACCUGAAAAUCCUUCGUAAUAAUAUUUGAGACGGUGUCCAUUCACCACAAAUUUGUUGUCUGUCUUAGCACUCUGGAUCUCAACUGCACCAUAGGGAAAAACAUGAGUAACAAUGAAAGGUCCAAUCCAACGGGAACGUAGCUUACCUGGGAAUAGCUUGAGCCUGGAUUGGUACAGGAGGACCUUCUGACCAACUUCAAAUGUUUUUCUUGAAAUUUGUUGGUCAUGAAAUGCCCGGCUUUUCUCCUUAUAUAUCAAGGCGUUUUCGUAUGCUUCGUUCCGGAUCUCCUCCAAUUCUUGCAAAUCCAACUUCCGUUGAGCACCGGCCUCCUCUAAAUUCAUAUUGCAGUGCUUUAUCGCCCAAAAAGCCUUGUGCUCGAACUCCACUGGAAGGUGACACGGCUUCCCAAAUACCAACCUGUACGGUGACAUCCCAAUAGGAGUCUUGUACGCCGUCCGAUAGGCCCAGAGUGCGUCUUCCAACCUUUGGCUCCAGUCUUUUCUAUCAGGGCGCACCAUUUUCUCUAAAAUGGACUUAAUCUCCCGAUUCGACACCUCCGCUUGACCAUUGGUCUGAGGGUGGUAUGACGUUGAGACCCUGUGGAGUACACCAUACUUGCGAAACAACGCAGCUAUGGUUUUGUUGCAAAAGUACGUUCCCCUAUCACUGACAAUAGCUCUAGGCAUUCCAAACCGCACAAAGAUAUUAGACCUGAUAAAAUCUGCAACUACUCUCGAAUCAUUAGUUCGAGUGGCCUUAGCCUCCACCCAUUUAGACACAUAAUCAACUGCCAGCAAAAUAUAUAAAAAACCAAAUGAAGUAGGAAAAGGCCCCAUGAAAUCUAUACCCCAGACAUCAAAAAUUUCAACAAAAAUCAACGGGACCUGGGGCAUUUGAUCUCUACGGGCUAUAUUACCUACCAUUUGACAGCGAUCACAUGACUUACAAAACACAUAGGCAUCUCUAAACAAUGAAGGCCAAUAAAAUCCACUUUCUAAAACCUUAUGAGCAGUUCUCUUAGGUCCAAAAUGACCUCCACAGGCAAAAGUAUGACAAAAAGCUAAAAUUGAUUGAAAUUCCAUUUCACUUACACAUCUCCUCAUCACUUGAUCGGCACACCUCUUCCAUAGGUACGGGUCAUCCCAGAUAAAAUACUUGGCAUCGCUCUUCAAUUUAUCCCUCUUCGAUUUCGGCCAACCUGCAGGAAAAUUACCAGUUACCAAAUAAUUGACCAAAUCAGCAUACCAAGGCAACUGAGAAUUUAAGAAAAAUAGGUAUUCUUCGGGGAAUGCAUCCUUCAAUGGCUCGCUAUCCUCUUCAACUAGUAUGCGACUCAAAUGGUCCGCUACUAGAUUUUCUGAGCCUUUUUUGUCCCUUAUCUCCAAGUCAAAUUCCUGUAGGAGCAGUAUCCACCGUAUGAGCCUCGGUUUUGCAUCUUUCUUGGUCAUCAGGUACCUCAAUGCUGCAUGAUCAGAAAAUACAAUCACUUUAGCACCUAACAAGUAUGACCUAAAUUUUUCCAAAGCAAAAAUAACUGCCAGAAGCUCCUUCUCAGUGGUGGAAUAAUUCAACUGGGCUCCAUUCAAGGCCCGGGAUGCGUAAUAGAUGACAUGAGCCGCCUUGCCUAUUCUUUGCCCCAGUACAGCCCCAACAGCGUGAUCACUGGCAUCGCACAUGAUCUCAAAUGGCAAAUUCCAAUCGGGGGGUUGGAUGAUUGGGGGUGAAGUCAGCAAUUCCUUCAGCUUGUUAAAGGCUCUCUCACACUUAUCAUCAAAUUCGAAGGCUACAUCUUUUUGUAGGAGUUGGAACAACGGGGCUCCAAUCUUUGAAAAAUCCUUGAUGAACCUUCGAUAAAAACCUGCAUGUCCAAGAAAAGAGCGCACCUCCCGCACACUCGCGGGGUAAGGUAAUGCAGAAAUAAUGUCUAUUUUAGCCUUGUCAACUUCUAUGCCCUUAGACGAUACAAUAUGACCCAGGACUAUUCCGUGCUCAACCAUAAAAUGACAUUUUUCCCAAUUAAGCACAAGAUUAGUCUCUAUACACCUGAUCAGGAUUAAUUUCAGGUUAUCUAGACAAGUAUCAAAACUAUCACCAUACACACUGAAAUCAUCCAUGAAAACUUCUAUUAUUUUCUCAACAUACUCGGAAAAGAUGCUUACCAUACAUCUUUGGAAAGUCGCAGGUGCAUUGCACAACCCAAAUGGCAUUCGUCUGUAGGCAAAGGUCCCGAACGGGCACGUGAAGGUUGUCUUCUCUUGAUCCUCCGGGGCAAUUGCUAUCUGAAAGUAUCCUGAAAAUCCAUCCAAAAAGCAAUAAUAAGCCCUACCAGCUAAACGUUCAACCAUUUGGUCAAUGAAAGGGAGAGGGAAAUGGUCCUUUUUGGUGACGGCGUUUAGCCUACGGUAAUCUAUACAUUGCCUCCAUCCAGUGGGUUUGCGCACUGGCACGAGCUCACCAGUUUGGUUGGCCUCUACCGUCACUCCUGCAUUCUUUGGGACUACCUGGACCGGACUCACCCAAGGGCUAUCAGAUAUUGCAAAAAUGAUGCCCACAUCUAGCAAUUUUAGAAUCUCUUUCUUUACGACUUCCAUCAUGAGGGGAUUGAGCCUUCUUUGAGCCUGCCUAACAGGUUUGGCAUCGUCUUCCAGCCUAAUCCGGUGCAUACAAAUGGCCGGGCUGAUCCCCUUAAUGUCUGCGAUUGUCCAGCCUAUUGCCUCUUUAUGCUCCCGAAGGACCCGGAUCAAUUUCUCUUCCUGGGUCUUUGACAGUGCCGAUGAGAUAAUCACUGGGAGUGUCUCAUUAUCACCUAGGUAUGCGUAUUUCAGGUGCUCUGGUAGAGGUUUCAACUCCAGUACAGGUGCCUGCACCACAGAUGGCAAUACCCUCUGGUGAGCCUUGGGAGUAAAAAUAGGUAAGACUUCAUACCUUUUCGUGGUGGUCUGCAACGAGUGUAAUGCACCUAUUGUGCAUUUUAAAUCCUCGCUCCACUCCACCUCAGGAGUUGUCUCCAACUCGAGGUGCUUGGUUAAAGCCACCUCCAGCUCAUCCCUGCCAUCAGUUUCAAACACUUCCUGCACUACAGGGUCAAUAGCACUCACAGAAAAAACUGAGCUAAAGUUGGAGUUAGAGGGGUACUUCAUAGUAUCAAAAAUAUUAAAAUGCACAAUUUACCCAUCAAACUCCAUGGACAAGGUACCCUUAUUAACAUCAAUUUUCGUCUGCGCAGUGCUCAUAAAAGGUCUACCCAAUAACAAAGGUGAGGGAUCAGGGGAGUGAUCAUCAUCCAUAUCUAGUACAUAAAAAUCAGCUGGAAACACCAAAUCAUUAACCUUUACCAACACAUCUUCAAUCAACCCAUCAGGAUAUGCAUUAGUUCGGUCAGCUAAUUGAAUAAUUAUUCCAGUUUCUUUUAAUGGACCUAGUUUCAAAGAAGCAUAGAUAGAUUUAGGCAUGACAUUAAUUGAUGCUCCCAGAUCCAGCAUGGCCCUUCUGAUCACAGUAUUACCUAUCUUACAGGGAAUAGUAAACAUACCUGGGUCCCCGCACUUUGGUGGGAGCUUUCUCUGCAGGACCGCAGACACAUUUUCUCCAACUAUGACCCGUUCAUCUCCCCUCAACCGCCUUCGGUUGACACACAAGUCCCUUAGGAACUUGGCAUAUUUUGGUACUUGUUUGAUGGCGUCUAAGAGGGGGAUAUUUAUCUCAACCUUGCGAAAAACCUCCAAGAUCUCCUUCUCCUUAUCCUGCUUCUUCGAUUUUUCCAACCUGCUAGGAAAAGGAGGCGGGUUAGUUUUAACUGUAAUUAUUGGGUCAGGAAGUACCUCUGGAUCUGCACCAUUGCUGUCCUCCCUUUCGAGCUCAUUUUCGAUCUUCUCUUCAUCCUUGUCCUUGGGAAUCACAGGUUCAGGCCCCUGAAUUUCUUUCCCACUCCUUAGGAUCAUUGCGCUCACGUUCUUCGGAUUCAACUCCGGUUGAGAUGGCAGCUUCCCUUGGUUCUGGGACUCCCAACGGUUCAUUCUGGUGGCCAAUUGACCUAUCUGAUUCCUUAUGUCCUGCAUUUCGGAGUCCGUCUUUUGCUGAUUUUGCAUAAUAGCUGCCUCCGUCCUUUGCUGAUUCUGCGCCAUGGUUGUCAUCAUUUGUUUCAGCAUCUCAUCCGUAGAUGAACCAGAUUGAGGGAGCGGAGGUGGUCGGGGUUGGUAUUGCUGCUGGUACCCUGGUGGCUUAUUUGGCACAAAGUUAGACUGCCUGUUUGGCGUGAAGUUGGAUUGCCUAUUUCCACCAUAACUGAGGUUGGGAUGAUCUCUCCACCCGGGGUUGUAGGUGCUUGAGUAAGGGUCGUACUGCUUCCUUGGCGCGGGCGCGUGGUCAGCCAUGUUCACCUGUUCCGCAGUUUCUUCCUGAAUCAUUGGGCACAUGUCUGCAGAGUGACCUAUACCAGUGCAAAUCCCGCAUACCCUGGCUUGUGAUGCAUUUCUCACAGCCUAUUGCCUAACGAACGCAGUCAACUCAUUUAGCUGCUGCUGCACAGAGGGUGUCUCUAUCUCAUUCACCCUACGUAUUGGGACAUCCUAUCUUGUACUGAAUUGCUGUGAAUUCUCUGCCAUCCCCUCUAUUAACUCCCGUGCUUCCUGAGGGGUUUUGUUCACCAGUGCCCCUCCACUUGCAGCAUCAAUGAUGCUCCUGUCUCUAAAAAUGAGCCCCUCAUAGAAAUAUUGUAUGAUCAACUGCUCACUUAUUUGGUGAUGGGGGCACCUGCGCAACAAGCUCUUAUACCGUUCCCAAUACUCGUAAAGUGACUCCUCGGGAUGCUGCUUGAUCCCACAAAUUUCUUUCCUUAGACUCGCAGCCCUGGACGCAGGAAAAUAUUUAUCCAGAAAUUUUUUCUUCAAUUGGUCCCACGUGGUGAUGCUACCUGGUGACAGGUAGUACAGCCAGUCCUUCGCAGAAUCUUUCAAGGAGAAGGGGAAUGCCCUCAUUUUUAUCUGCUCUUCUGUGAUUCCCGGGGGUUUCAUACUGUUGCAAACGACAUCAAACUCCUGCAGAUGCUUAUACGGCUCUUCACCUGGUAAACCAUGAAAAGAGAGUAAAAGCUGAAUCAGACCAGAUUUUAGUUCAAAUGGAAUGUUGUCAUUUAAAGCUGGGAAAGUAAUGCAUAACGGCUGCUGAGUUAAAUCAGGAGCAGCCAACUCCCUUAAUGUUUAUGCAUUAGCCAUGGUGCCUUCCUGCUGGUCAGAGUCACUCGAAGUGUUACCAAACGAAUCUGUUGGUUCAACUUCUGACUCGGGUCUUUGAGAUGUAGCACUAGAGUGCUCUUCUCUGAGCUGUCUGGUUUCCUUUCUCGUUCUACGCGCGGUCUUCUCUACCUCAGGAUCAAAAACCAAAUCACCUGUGCGACAAGAUCGAGGCAUACACUAGAAGAAAACCAGAAAAUUAGGACAAAAUUGAAUUUAAGAAGAAACAAAUAAUAACGCCAGUCCCCGGCAACGGCGCCAAAAAUUGACAGGUCGUCAACCUGUGCAAUAAUAAAAUUAAACCUAAUUGCCAGUUAAAAUGACCAAAACCCAAUUCCAAGUACUGGAGCAGGGACUCUAGGUGUGCAAUGGGUUACUUGAUUCACCCUGUUCCCGAAGAGUUUGCUUGAUCCGAUAUACCCGAAUGGAAUGGUUAUUCCUUUUCACAAAUGAUUAGGAAUUUGUAGACAGGGCAAGUAGGGUCGUAUCCACAGAGACUGGGUAUAUUUGUUUCUUAAGAAAUCCAAAGUAACACAGGGGGUGAUUUUGUAGGAACGACGAUAAUUAAAUAAAUUCAAAUGAGAAAGUAAAAAUAAAUAAUUAACUAGAAAUUAAACCACAAUUUACUGAACUCAGGAUAACAAUAGUUAAAGGCCUCAAUUAAUUAAAAUAAGGAAACAAUCAAAAAUAAAAUAAAGUAGGUAAUUAAAAGUCAAAUGGCAAUCCACUACAAUCAAGGAAAUAUUAACUAAAGAUCUAGCCAAGAAAUAACUUCAGCAAUGGUUCACCUAAUCGAUCAUUGAUGCAAAGCAAUCCCAAUUAUUUACUAAUAAAUAGGUUAUAACUACCAAACAAGCGAUGGCAGUCAACCCCUCCUUACUGUGUCGGUGAUCAAGGUACGCCCGUUAAUCACUGCUCUAAUUGAGAAAUAAUCCUAGGUACGCCCGUAGAAUUUAAUUCCCCAACUGCCUUACGUAUUAGAGGAGCCCUAUUCUACCCAAAUAACACACUACCAGGGUUAUUUUAGAUUAGCCCGCGUAUCCCCCUGACACGAAUCUAAUCGUGCCAGUUGUCACUAAUUUGAGGUAAUUAAACAAUUACGGAUUCAAUACCCCAAUUGACAAUAGAUUAUCAAACCAAUGAAUUAUCCGGAUCCAAGACAAUCAACUAAUUAAAUAAUCAUAAGCACUGCAACCAAGGAAUAUGCGAAUACCAAUAAAUAAAGGAAAAGAUAAAAUUAAAUCGAUCUCACAAUUUACAGGUGAUCCAAAGCAUCAGUCGUUUCUUGACUAGAACGAGGGGGUUAGCUCAUAUUGGAUGAACUAAGCCCGCGGGAAAUUCCAGCAAAAGUCACGGCCGUUGUAUGCAUUUCAAGAGCCGCAAUUCGUCAAACACUUGGAAAGCGAAUGUAAGGCACGGGUAACAAUUGAAGCUUUCUAAUUGUUCCUAGCAUUCGUAAAGCAAAUUCACUCCAGAAGUACAGUGAGGAAAAGUCAAAGAAAGUGGGCUUCAAUUCCUUGCUCCUGACAUGCGUGGAGACAAGCCAAUGCAAGACUACAAUAAACUAACAAGGAAAAGUCAAGAAUUGGAGCUAAGCUCCCCUGCCAUGCGCAGGAAUCCGAAAAGUAAAAAGUAAAGCUUCAAAGAAAAGUCAACAAUUCUUCCUAAGCUACAGACGGAAGAUCCAGCACAAAAGCCAGCUCCCUUUUUUAUCCCUUUUUCCCCCUUCUUAUUGCGGCGGCUCACCAGGAGAGGAGAGCCCUCCGUCCGUCCUUUCUUCCGAAAAUUACCAAAAUGGGCAUGACAUCUUCUCUUCCAAAAGUGCCCCUGGGACAAGCUUUCUCAUCUGAAUUCUUUUUUUUUCCAAUUUGGCACCUGUUAUCAUAUUUAUAUUCUACUCCCUGAAAUAAACGUCAAAUACUAAAAGUGAGUAGAAUCCAGCAAAUAAAUCCACAUCAAGUCAGGUAAUAGGAGGAAUUAAUAAUAAAAUAAAUGAAUAAAUUGCACCCUAUCAGAAAAAUGCAAAAAUUUGUUAUUUAUCAUUAAGGAUCAUAUCGCAUAUAACAUCAAAAAAUAGUAUAUUAUUUAUAUCUUUCACUUAAUAUAAUAUCCAAAUUACUCUUUUCAGUUACAUACCCAUUGUUAGACAAAAUCAACAACAAAUAACCAAAAAAUUUGCAACCAAAAUAUUACCAAAAAAAUAAACUUUAACAUCAUAAAUAUUUUUAUCAACAUAUUAAAGUUAGUUAUUGAAAUUUUUAUGGUGUUAAACUUCACUCUUAGCAAUAUUUUGGUUACAGAUUUUUUUGAUUAUUUAUUGUUGAUCGUGUUUGACAAUGGAUUUGUAACUGAAAAGAAUAAUUUGAAUCUUACAUUAAGUGAAAUAUAUAAAAUAUUAUACUAUUUUUUAUGGCAUAUGUGAUUCUUUUUUUUUUUUUUAUCAGAACGGCAACAUUGUAUUAAUAGUAAACCAAUUACAGUAUAGGUGGGCAACCGCCCUCACAAUCUGCCUGGACUUGUUCCAGCAGCCAAACUGGGAAGUUUUCCUUCCAUUCAGUAUUUUGUUCCAAAGUAAUAGCUACUUUAGCUAGUUUAUGGCUAACAAAGUUGUUCACCCUAUUUGCAAAGGUAAAACAACAUUCAUCAAAUUUUAUUCAUGUACAAUUGUUGCUAUCACCACGUCCUCCUCCUCCUCCUCACUGCACACUACUUGACUACCACCCUUCGCCAACCUUGCUGUUGCAUGUGCAACUAUCAUGGCCUCUCUUAGCGCCUUUGCUUCUUCGACCUUUGGACUGGCACAGCUAAAAUUUGGAACAGCCCAGGCCCACCCGCAAUCUUCCCAACCAAUCCCUGGCCACCCUUUUCCCACCCAGCUUCUAUGGCAUGUGUGAUUCAAUCCUUCUUGAUAGGAUUGGUAAUAGAGGCAGAGGGGGGAGCCGGCUGCAUCCGGUCUACUUUUCAUAGAUAGUACAAUAUUGCGAAAUCGAUCGCAUUCACACAAGAAUAUUUCGAAGUCAUUGCAUCGCUAAGUUGCAAAAAAGUACAAACACUUGUUAUUAUAUAGCUUAAGAUUCAAAACUUUAGAGCACAACCCUCCACCUAACACAAUUGAAUAAUGAAUAUUCACGAUUGUCAAAUCUGUCAAAGCACAGUUUGAGGACAACCCAUUCCAACCUGCAAAAGAUUUUUGACUUUUUUAAAGUUGUUGAGAGCUGUAAAAAGACUUACCAUGCUUACAUCUUCCGAGCCUUGGGAGUUAAAAAUGAAGGCACUGAGUGCUAUAAAAAGGGGGCUAGAGGCUGCCUAGAAGCAUAUCAGCCUAAAACAAGAAUUUGUAGUUAUGAUGGGAAGCAAAGCAAAAGCAAUGGGGUCUGGGCUGACUCCUCUUCUUACCACUGUUUUAGUGGUAUUUGUUGCUCUUGGCUUGCCCUCAGAAACUGCAGCUGAUGAUCACUACAAGUAUUCAUCUCCUCCUCCUCCUUACCACUAUCCCUCACCACCACCUCCAGUGCAUUUACCUCCACCAGUGUACAAAUACAAGUCCCCACCACCACCUCAUCAUGUUUACAAGUACAAAUCUCCACCACCCCCACCACCACACCCAGUUUACAAGUAUAAGUCGCCACCACCACCUCCUCAUCCGGUAUACAAGUACAAGUCUCCUCCGCCACCUCCUCAUCCGGUACCACACCCAGUUUACAAGUAUAAGUCACCACCACCACCUCCUCAUCCGGUACCACACCCAGUUUACAAGUAUAAGUCUCCUCCGCCACCAGUUUACAAAUAUAAGUCUCCUCCACCACCACCUCCAGUGUACAAAUACAAGUCUCCACCACCACCAGUUUACCACUACAAGUCUCCACCACCUCCUCCCCCAGUUUACAAAUACAAGUCUCCACCACCACCACCACCAGUUUACCACUACAAGUCACCACCACCUCCUCCCCCAGUUUACAAAUACAAGUCUCCACCACCUCCUCACCACUACUAAGCAAUUGCUUCUGAGGUAAUAACACUUGUUCAAUAUACCCACUUCUGCAUGAUAAAGCAUAUCUCUAUCAACACAAACUGUCAUGUCUAUCAUGCUAAGUGCCUUCACUUCAUCCACCAAAAUGACUGCUAGAAAAUUUUUUUUAUGUUACCAAAGAAAGGCAUCAUUUUUUCCCUCUGUUAUCAAGAACUUGUACAGUAUAUAGAUUAAAGAGUAUUUUUUUAACUAGCUUAUCAACUGAGAAAUGCAUAUAGCUGAUAGCCAGCUGAAUAUUUGCAGGCAAAGGAGAAGGAAACCAGUGUUUGAGACCUUCUUGAAGAUGUAGAAGCAUAAGAAUUAAAGCCCAAUGUGAAGAUGAUGAUUUCAAGUUUUUCUACGUUACCAUUUCUUUAUCUAAAUUGGUUGUAGCGCCUUAGUUCCUUUGUUUAUGGGAUUUGUAUCGUUUUACGUACCAUGCAGUACAUGUCAUGUUUGUAAGGUUUUCUAUCCUGCCGGCAAACCGCAGGUUCCAUGUAAUAAAUCAAUACUAUUUAUAUUACGACACUUUUCUCUGUUUCUCUUAUAUUUUGUCGUCUUUAAUAUUCUUAAUCAUAUUUUUAACAAAAAUAUUCAAACACUUAGGCAAUCUGGUCUAAUGCUAAUUGUAUGUUUUACUUUUCUUUUUCACCUGCUCCCCUUUUCAACUCAAAAGGAUGCAAUAGUUUGUGAUCACUGUUGAAGACGGAAGCAUGAUACUAAUGAAUAUAUCAUUGAAACUCAAGGAAACUAACAUUAUGAAAAGUGUAAAUCUUGAUUUGAUGCAACUAUUUAUUCGUGGAAUCUAUAGUUACAAAACUCAAACUCUGACUGCGCCAUUGAUAAAUUAUUAAUGACGCUAUCAUCAUUAUUUAUCCCCAACUAGUUUCGACUACAACUGAACCCAAUAUUUUCCCCAUGAUAAAAGUUUUUUACUAUUUUACUGGCCUCUCUUCAAAUUUUAAAAAUUACACUAAUCUUCAUUGAGAUUAAUUAUCUUGUAGCAUUUAAGUCCAAUUAAUAAUUAAAAAAUAAUAUUAUGAGAGAGAAAAUAAUAUAAUUUUAUCAUUGCCCCCCAUCUUGCUAUAUUAUUUAAUUAAUUUAAUAGCAACCCACACAUUAAAGAAAAAUACUAAAAUUUGCUGCUUUUCAUUAAAGAUCAAAUUGCAUAUGCCAUAAAACAUAGUAUAUCAUUCUAUAUGUUUCACUUAAUGUAAGAUCCCAAUUGUUCUUUUCAAUUACAAACCCAUUGUCAAACAUGAUCAAUAACAAAUAACCAAAAAAUUUGCAACCAAAAUAUUACAAAAAAAAACUUUAACAUCAUAAAUAUUCUUACCACCUCUAGUGCAUUCACCCUCAUAAAAUAAUUCAAGACCCUACUGUCAUAAAAUGACUGAUCAACUCCUGUAAACCUAAUUUGACAACAUUUAAAUGGAGAACUUUAGCUAAAAGAAUUAUGGUCAAGCUAAAGAAAAAACCAGUUAUUUUCCAACAUAUGCAAUCAUUGAUCAGGGAAAAAAAAAAGAAGCAAAAAGACAUCUUCAAUCAUUUAAUAGCUUACAGGGCAAAUUAACCCCUAAGCGAAAACUGGUUGCUCUAGAAUCAAAAUUUUACUUUAGUUACCCAGGCAACUUUUUUUGUUGCCUUUUCUUUUUCUUUUUUGGGUAUAUAUAUAGCUCCAGUUUUGCCCCCUCUGUCAAGCUUAUAUAAUUAUUAAGAUAAUAAAAGUGCCUUUAAUAGUAUUAAUAUAUCCAUUGACUUGAGCUGUCAUCGAUCGGUUUGGGCUACUUCGAUUCCAUGAGAACAAAUGGUAAUAAAAGUACUCAGAAAAUGGGGAGUCAUGAAACCCUUUUGUUCUAUUCAUUGCUAAGAUGCUUUUCUCUAUAAAGACACUUCCUAACGAAAAUACUUUGUAGAUUUCUUUACUCCAAGUGGUGCAUGGAAAAUUAAUAUUUUCAAUUAUCAAAUAAAAUUCCCUUUUUUCGGUGUAGAUUUCAUCCAUUCAGCUGUUAACACUCCGAAUUGACUAAUCUUUUCGUUUCCAUUUUCCAACUUGCGAAUACGGCAUCUUACAUAUUGUCUGCUGAAUAUGAAUACAUAUCCCUUUUCUGAGCAGGUGCAGAGUCAUUAUCAUUUUUAUUCCCACCUAACAAAUUAGUUAAUAAUCUUUUAAAGAACAUGUUAAAUUAAUUUAUUGGUAUGAAUAGUAGUCAAAGAAGUAUGUUAAAGUUAGUAAUCUUUAAAAUAAUAUGUUAAAAUUAUUCGUACAAAUUAGCCAGAGAAGUAGCAUAAACACCGCGAUGCAAUUAAUACUUUCAAUCUCAAGGUCUCUAUUAUGGAAAUUUGCAUCGGUCAACAUACACAAAGCAUUAUUGUAUGCACGUCUCUCUAUUAUGGAAAUUUGCAUAGGUCAAUAUACACUUGGCAUAGUUGCAUGCACGUCCAAUUUUUUUUUAUUUUUAUUUUUGGUAUUUUACUUCCUGCCUUAAGUUGCCUGCAGAUGUUUGUAUUACAAAUAUAUGGUAUACUAAAUAUAUAGUAUGCACAUUAAUUUCUUUGGGUUGCUUAAGGGUAUAUUGUUAAUAAUAGGGGGUUUAACCAUAAAUUAUAACAAUGAUGAAGUAAUAUAUAUUAGAAAAUUAACACAAUUAUGAUUUUUUUUUUUGUAAAAUUCAAAUUUUAUUAAUAAGAAAUGAAAUAGGCAGUAAGCAUUUACAAACCGAAAACAAAAUCCUACAACAACUCUAGGACUCUACACCUUAUUAAAAAAAAACAUUUUGAUAGCGUUUUUCCAAAAGCAGAAGAUGGAAAAUUGCCCAUUUGUACUGGGGAGUUCGUGAUCUUUUCCUCAUUCUAGUCUACUUACAAUUCUUGGAAAAAGGAAUACUCACAUCUCAAACAACAGCCUGUUCAUCUGCAGUGUCCUGCCGAAUUCUAGAAAGUUUGGUGGCAAUGUUAAUUACAUUUCAAAAUUGACUGCUGCGAUAACUAAUUCGAUGGCUUACUACAUGGUCAACGUUUGGAUCUCUUCCUGUCCUUUUUGGAUGCACAUUUUUUUUCUCUAGGUAAUAUAUAAUCUCCCAACUCAUUUCUUUACAAAUGCACCUUUAAUCACCACCAAAAGGUGUGGACAUGAUCUUUACCCUAGAAAACUAUUCACCGACAGGCAAAUUGACGUCAGAAAUACUAAGAGGAAUUCUAGUUUCCUUCGGGUUAAUGCCAUUUUGUACCCUUCAACUGUAACUCAAUUUCUAAGCUGUAAUUUGUGACAUUAUAGUCCUUAAACUAUGAAACCCUUUCUUAUUUAAUUACAAUGGUUAAUACAAUGCCCGUGACUAGACAAGUAUGAAGCAACCAUAACAAAAAAAAAAUCCAAAAUUAGAGAAAAGAAAGAAGUUGCGACCAAAGUAUGUAUCAAGGCAUAGUAUAGAAAUAAAAGUGUCAAAAUUAAGAGUUUAGGGAUAAAAAAGAAUCAAAAUAUAGUUUAGGAAUUGAUUUGUCUCAAUUAGAGUUUAGAUGUCAACUAAGAAGAGAGAUAUAGUUGAAGGGUAGAAUAUAGAUAUAACAGUUCAAUGAUUGAUAUCAACGAGACAAUGACAACUUUGGAUUAUUACCAACCUCUUCUUGAUGGAAAAGGAAAUAGAGAAGAAAGUCGGGCCUGGUCUAAGCCUGUUUCGGAGGCAAAACAACAUUAUGAAAUCACCGGCAUUCACACAAAUAUGUCAAAGUCACCGGCAUGCUAAGUUGCAAAAUUUAUACAAACACUGAAUAUUAUAUUCUUCUCAAAAUUUUUGUUUAAGAUUUAACAAUUAGAGCACGGUACACGAAUUAGCAAUAUUAAAUAAUGAAUGUUCACGAUUGAUAAAGUUAUCAAAGUACAGUUUGAGGACAACCCAUUCCAACGUGUACAAGAUGUUUAGCCUUUGAAAAGUUAAUUAGAGAAGGUGACGAGAUUUUACUAGGCUUACAACUUCUAGGCCUUGGGAGUAAAAAGUGAAGACACUGAGUGCUAUAAAAAGGGGGCUAGAUGUUGCCUAGAAGCAUAUCAGCCUCGGACCACAUUUUGUAGCAAUGGGGAGCAAAGCAAAAGCAAUGGGGUCUAGGCUGACUCCUCUUUUUACCACCGUUUUAGUGGUAUUUGUUGCACUUGGCUUGCCUUCAGAAACUGCAGCUGAUUACGACAAGUAUUCACCUCCUCCUCCUCCUUACCAUUAUUACUCACCACCACCUCUUGUGCAUUCACCUCCACCACCGCCAGUUUAUAAGUCACCCCCACCACCUUAUCACUACUUCUCACCACCACCUCCAGUGUAUCCAUCUCCACCACCAUCUGUUUACAAGUCACCUCCACCACCUUCGCCAGUAUACAAGUCCCCACCACCACCUUAUCAAUAUUCCUCACCACCACCUCCAGUGCAUUCACCUCCACCACCACCGAUUUAUAAGUCACCUCCACCACCUCCUCCAGUUUACAAGUCCCCGCCACCACCUUACCAUUAUUCCGCACCAUCACCUCCAGUGCAUUCACCUCCACCACCACCGAUUUACAAGUCACCUCCACCACCUCCUCCAGUUUACAAGUCUCCAUCACCACCUUACCAUUAUUCCUCACCACCACCUCCAGUGCAUUCACCCCUACCACCACCGGUUUACAAGUCUCUGCCACCACCUUACCAUUAUUCCUCACCACCACCUCCUAUGCAUGCACCUCCACCACCAAUAUACAAGUCACCUCCACCACCUCCUCCAGUUUACAAGUCUCCACCACCACCUUACCAUUAUUCCUCACCACCACCUCCAGUGCAUUCACCCCUACCACCACCAGUUUACAAGUCUCCGCCACCACCUUACCAUUAUUCCUCACCACCACCUCCUGUGCAUGCACUGCCACCACCAAUUUACAAGUCACCUCCACCACCUCCUCCAGUUUACAAGUCCCCACCACCACCUUACCAUUAUUCCUCACCACUACCUCCAGUGCAUUCACCUCCACCACCACCGAUUUACAAGUCACCUUCACCACCUCCUCCAGUUUACAAGUCUUCACCACCACCUUACCAUUAUUCCUCACCACCACCACUCUUCAAUUUGGAUGUAAUUCAAUUUUCCUUGUAAUCGGUGGCCCUCCUUCGGAAUCCAAAUAGUCAUUGAGUGCAGCCUUCUUUCUUUAUUUUUUACUCAUUUUCACCUCAUAAAUUGCUUUCAUCCCCUAAAACUUGUUCGCUGGAAUUUUGAAUUUACCCAUACAACUAAACUCAGAAAAUUCUUACACAAAGGGAUUAGUAGCAUGAAUAGCAAACACAGAAUAAGAGAUAACAGUAUGUUUUAUUGUAUUAAAAAUAUUAAAGUGGAUUAUUUCUCCAUCGAAUUCCAUUGUGAGAGUAUCGUUACUAACAUCAAUCUUAGUUUGAGCAGUACUCAAGAAUGACCUUCCUAAUAUAAUGGGUGAUGGAUUUGGGACACUUUCAUCAUCCAUAUAAAACACAUAAAAAUCAACAGAAAAAAUUAAUCCAUCUACUUGAACUAAAAACAUCCUCAACUACCCCAUUUAGAUAAGCAAAUAUACGAUCAGCCAAUUGAAUUAUUAUCCCUAUUUCUUUUAAAUGUUCUAAAUUUAGGGAAUCAUAAAUUGAUUUAGACAUCACAUUAAUAGAAAUCUUUAAAUCUAUCAUGGCAUUUUUUAUAUUAGAAUGUCCAAUCUUACAUGAGAUAGUAAACAUACCUAGAUUCUCGCAUUUAGGUGGUAGUUUCCUUUGUAAAAUUGCUGAAACGUUCUCAUCUACCACAAUAUGCUUGUCCUCCUCAAUUUCUUCUUGUUGACACACAAGUUUUUCAAGCAUUUAACGUAUUUUGGAACUUAUUUGAUUUGCGUCCAACAAAGGGAUAUUGAUUGCCACCUUGCGAAAAUCUCUAAAAUCUCCUUUUCUUUAUCUUGUUUCUUUGAUUUCUCUAACCUGCUUGGAAAAGGUGGUGAGUUAGUUCCAACUCUAAUUAUAGAAUCAACAAUUACCUUUGGAUUCACAUUUCUCAUUCCUUCCUCCUCAAGCUCUUUGUCGAUUCGAUCUUCAUUUUUAUCCUUUGGAAUCACAACUUCGGAUCCCUGAAUUUUCUUCUCGCUCCUUAAGGUCAUUACACUUACAUUCUUCAGGUUCAGUUCAGGUUGAGACGACAAUUUUUCAUAGAUUUGGGAUUCCAGGCGGUUGAUUGCUAUUACCAUCUGACUCAUCUGACUCUGCAGUGCUUGCACCUGUCCCAAUUGAUUCCUCAUACUUUGCAAGUCAAAAUCCAUCUUUUGUUGAUUAGCAAUUAAUUGCUUCAUUAUCUCUUCUAUAGAUGGACUUGAGUUUGAAAGAGGUGGUGGCGGGCGAGACUGAUACUGUUAUUGAUACCCUUGCUAUCUAUUUGGUGCAAAAUCUGGCUACCUAUUUCCUCCAUAGCUGAGGUUGGGAUGAUCUCUCCAACCAAUAUUGUACGUAUUCGUGUACGAGUCGUAUGGUUUUCUUGGCACGGCGCGUGACCAGCCAUGUUCACUUGCUCCGUACUUUUCUCUUGAAUCAUUGAGCACAUCUCUGUAGAAUGACCCAUAGCAGUGCAGAUCCCACACAUCUUGACUCGUGAUGCAUUUCCUAUAGCUAAUUGCCUAACAAAGGAUGUUAAUUCGGUCAACUGCUGUUGGAUAGAAUAUGUUUCUACCUCAUUUACUUUGCGUGUUGGGGCAUCCUCCCUCGUACCAAACUGUUGCGAAUUUUCCGCCAUUCCUUCAACUAGCUCCCACGCUUCUCGAGAAGUCUUGUUCACCAAUGCCCUUCUACUUGCAGCAUCAAUUAUACUCCUGUCUCUAAAACGCAGCCCCUCGCAAAAAUAUUGGAUGAGCAAUUGCUCACUUAUUUGGUGUUGAGGGAACUUGAUGCAUAACUUCUUGAAUCGCUCCCAAUAAUCAUAAAGCGACUCUCCUGGAUGCUACUUGAUACCGUAUAUCUCCUUCCUUAGACUUGCAGCUCGAGAUGCAAGAAAAUAUUUGUCCAAGAACUUUUUCUUCAGCUGAUCCCACGUGGUGAUGCUACCUGGUGGUAGAUAGCACAGCCAGUCUUUUGCGGAGUCCUUCAAGGAGAAGGGAAAUGCCCUCAUUUUUAUCUAUUUUUCUGUAAUUCUCGGAGGUUUUAUGCUGUUGCAAACGACAUCAAACUCUUGCAAGUGCUUAUACGGUUCCUCACCUGGUAAACCAUAGAAAGAUGGCAAGAGAUGAAUUAGACCAGAUUUUAACUCAAAUGAAGUGUUAUCAUUUAAAAAUAGAAAAGUAACUGAGAUGCAGCACUGGAAUGUUCUUCUCGAAAUUGUCUGGUCUCUUUCUUUGUUCUACGCGUAGUCUUCUCUACCUUAGGAUCAAAAAUUAAUUUACCUGUACGAGAAGAACGAGGCAUACACUAGAAAAACACUAGAAAAUUAGAACAAAAAUGAACAUAAAAAGAAACAAAUAAACCAACGUCAGUCCCCAGCAACGGCGCUAAAAAUUGACAAGUUGUCGAUGCCUGUGCAAUAAUAAAAAUAAACCUAGUUACCAAUUAAAAUAAUCAGAGCCUAAUUCUGAGUACUAGAGCAGGGACUAUAGGUGUGCAAUGGGUUACUUGAUUCACCCUAUUCCUGAAGUUUGCUUAACCCGAUAUACCAGAAUGAGAUUGCUUAUUCAAAAGGAAUUAUUGAUUUGUAAACAGGGCAAGUAGGGUCGUAUCAUCAGGGAUUGAAAAAAUUUGUUUCUUUUCAAAUCCACAGUAACAAGGGGAUGUUUUUGUAUAAAUGAUAACAAUCUAAGGAGUGCAAAUAGAAAUAAAUAGAUAACUAGAAAUUAAAUGACAAUUCACUAAAAUUAGAGUAAUAAUAAUUAAAGGUCUAGCUAAGAAAUAACUUCAGCAAUGGUUCACCUAAUUGAUCAUCGACGCAAAGGCAAUUCCAAUUAUUUACUAAUAAAUAGGUUAUAACUGCAAAACAAGCAAUGACAGUCAACCCCUCCUUACUGUCGGUCGGUGAUUAAGGUACGCCCAAUCACUGCUCUAGUUGAGAAAUAAUUUUAGGGACGCUCGUAAGAUUUAAUUUUCCAAUUGCCUUACGUAUUAGAGGAGCCAUAAUCUAACCAAAUAACGCUACCAGGAUUAUUUUAAAUUAACCCGUGUAUUCCCUUGAUACAAAUUCAAUCAUGUCAGUUGUCACUAUUUCAAGGUAAUGAAACAAUUACGGAUUUAAUAUCCUAAUUGACAAUAGGUUACUAAAUCAAUUCACUAUUUCGAUCCAAGAUAAUCAAUCAAUUUAACAACUAAUAGCACUGCAAUCGGAGAAUAUGUAAAUACCAAUAAAUAAGAGGAAAAGAUAAAAUUAAAUCGAUCUCACAAUUUUUAAACAAAUCAAAGUAUCCGUUGUUUCUUGACUAGAAAAGAAAAUUUAGUUCAUUCCUAAUGUGAAAGACCCACGUGAGAAUUCAAAAAUAAUAUUCACGGAUAUUGUCUUGAUUCAAUAGAUUCAAUUGCGUUGGAAUAAGGAUAAAAAGCCAAACUAUAGAGAGUGAUUCAAUGUUUUGUUUCGUUUGCAUUUUUUCUACACAUAUGGAAGAAGAAAAACAACUAAAGGACGAAAAAAAAAAGUCAAAGAAAGGCACCCAAAGUAGUGCUUGGUCUCUACCAUCCUAUUUCCUAUCUAAUUACUACUUCCCUUCUGCGGCUGCCUAGAGGAAGAAAGAGAAAGCAGACUUCAGGUCUUGUUCCAUCUCCUCCCUUUUCGGCAAUUCCCCAAAAGUAGAAAAGUUCCUCCGUUUACCAAAAUGCCCCUGGAAUGAGGACUGCUACUUGAACUCAUUUUCUUGAUAACUGUCAAAUUAGCACUUGUUAUGGUAUUUGCGUCUACUUCCUGUAAUAAAUGUAAAUUGCCAAAAGUGAGUAAACUGAUAAUUAAUUUACAUCAGGUCAGGUAAUAGGAAAAAUUAAUUAUAAAAUAAAUGAUAAAAUUGCAACCUAUCACUUAGAAUAACCAGAAAUAAAACAAAACAAGAAAUGAAAGAAAUAAGAGGGUAGCAUAGACAUUUUGGAUUUUUCUGUUAAUUUGGAUGAUUUCCACCUACGGUCUAAUUUAAUCCAAAACACAAAUGGAUUAUGUGGAGAUUUUUAAACAAUGAGGGAGUAUCGUGACCGAAUCCCAAACCACAAAGGGGAUUUACUAUAUUUUACUCUUAAAUUUUGGUUUCAUCUCAUAGCAUACAAGAGUACUAUUUCACUGUCUGUCGACCAGGGAGGAGGGUUGGGUUGGGUGGUACGGGGGAGGGAGUCUAAGUAAGAGGUCUCAGGUUCGAAUCCUCCUGUUUAUACUAAAAAAAAAAAUUUACUAUCUGUCGACAAAGAUUUUCUAUGGUUGAUGUACCAUAGGAAAAAUCUGCCUAUACAAUUAUUUGGAAAAAUUAUCCAUCCAAACAUAGUCACGAUAGCAUUUUUUCAAAAACACUAGAUGCAAAAUUGUCCCCUUAAACGUGGAAAUUCAUGAUCUUUCCUCGACUAGUCUACUUGUCAAUUUUUGAAAAAAGAAUACUCACGCCAAAAACACGGCCUCUUCAUCUGCAGAAUUCUAAAAAGUUACGUAAACUCUAUAAACAAGUUGAUAGGUACAAUCGUACCCAAGAUCAAGUACAGAUAGUUGUACAUUCACUGCUGCAAUAACUAAUCUGAUGACUUACAAACACAUCAUGGUCAAUCGUUGAAUGGUAAUGAGUCUUUUGUUAUGCAUUAGUAUUAGUGUGUACACUCUAAUAGAUUGAUACUUAUACUCUUUAAAUUAUCAUAAUAAUACCCUUAAUUAACUUUAACCCUUAAAAAGAAUACGUGUUAAUACACGAGAGUGUGUAACCUGAAUUGUUACUUAUACAUUAGUGUGUAAUAGAACGGCAAGCAUUAUGGUGGUCAUUGAGCAACUUAUAGGAGAAAUAGUCCUAUAAGCUGUUCAAUGACCAAUCACAACUUGCUAAUUGGAUGACUAAUAUAGCUCUAGCUGUAAUGUUUUAAUUAAAUUCCACACUAACGUUGGGAUGACUUUUUAAUCAAAAAAAAAAAAGCCUUAGUUCAAGCUUUUCCCCUUAUUGUGCAUUUUUUAAAACAUUUGAUAGGCACUGCAAAUCUGUCAUUUUGGACAUUUUAUUAUUAACUAACAAUGAAAGCCGUGGACAUCAACCCAUAUCCAACAAAAUAUUAAAUUAAUAUUAGAAAAAUUAUUAAGUAAUUGGAAAAAAAAAAGAAGAGGCUAAUUUUCAUUGAAACCCACCGACAAACUAUCCGUGUCCAUAGCUUUUGAAUAGUGCAUUCAACGUUUAAUUGUAUGGUCCAGUUCAUUGCCGAUUACAUGGAGUAAAGAUUGUGCUCUUUCCUUUUUCACCCCUUUUGGAAUCGAUACUGUGGAGAAUUGGGUUUUUCCCUCCUUUUUUUCUUUUCUUUCCUUCUGUGCUUUGCAAAACAUACGUAAAAAUAUGAAAUCCGAAGCAUUCUUUAAUUGGGAUUAAGUAUUGUUGUUGAAAUUAAAAAGAAGAAAGAAAGAACAACAAAAAUCCCAAUCUGGGUUGAUUGUUGAGCUCUAGAUUGGCUGCAUCGUGCUUCCAUAGAAGUUCUCUUAGUGUGAUACGCUGCUUUCAAUCAGUUUUAAUAUUUAAGUAGAGUGCAAAAUAACUUUACUAUUUAAUGGGUUAUAAUGCACCAUUUGGUACCUCUCACCCACCUAUGAUUUGAUUUACUACUGGCAUGGUAAUGGACAGAGUUGGGGGAGCAGGAGGAGGGAGAUGGCGGUACCAGUCCGUCAACCACAGCACACCCUCCCUCGGACUUUGCGUGGUAGCGAAGUGGAGGCAGAUCGAGCACACAUGCACUAACGCCUUAAGUAUGUACAAUAUAUGUAUGCCAAAAGCAUAGCCAAGCCUACCAGCGCAUUUCAAUAAUAUAACCCGGAAAUUAAGGGCAUUGAAUUAAGUACGAUGAAUCAUAUUGGUGCACAAUUACAGUUUGAAGCUACCGAUUCGAGUAAAUUUAAGCGUAAGCACAAUCAAUCGCCAGUCAAAUGCUGAAAUAUGCAUAUGCAUGGAUGAAUGUAUGGGUUUCUUAGUUCCAGACCAAAGGCCAACAAUAAGGGAAGGAAGGACAGUUCUCAUUUUUAGCACGGACAAGGAGAUGAAGAAAAGUGUAUGUAGCUUGAGACAGAACAAUGGCAUGUGACCGCUCCUGAGACCACAUAACGUGGGGUGGGGAUGGGACGGCCAAGAAUGAAGAUGCCUGUCGGUCUCUCCGUGCUGCUACCAUAUGAAUCCCCCGUUAACCAAUUCAAGAUAAGCCUGAAGUUCUUUUCAUCCCCAAACCCUGUCCCAUCUGUGUAAAUCCAACAUCAUCAUUUACGACCUGCAACUCAGGUUAAGCAUGUUCUAUUGAGAUUCAGACACCACCCUUCAAAAGAUAUACUACUGUGAAACCAGCAGCUUAAUAUCAUUGUAUAAAAAAAAAAAAAAAAGAAAGAAGAAAAGACAUGAAAAGCAAAUUUUGUGGGGAUAAUUUCAAAAUCUCUCCUAAAGUUUUUUACUAUUUUACUGGCCUCCUUUCAAAUUUUAAAAAUUACACCAGUCUUCCUUGAGAUUAUUUAUCUUGUAACAUUGAGGUCCAAUCAAUAAUUAAAAAAUGAUAUUAUGAGAGAGAAAAAAAAUAAACUUUAACAUCAUAAAUAUUCUUAUCAACAUAUUAAAGUUAGUUACUGAAAUUUUUAUGGUGUUAAACUUCACUCUUUGUAAUAUUUUAGUUACAGAUUUUUUGAUUACUUGUUGUUGAUUUUUUUUUUUUUAGUGUAAACAGGAGGACUCGAACCUAAGACCUCUCACUUACACUCCCUCCCCCCGUACCACCCCAACCCAACCCAACCCUCCCCUCGUUGUUGAUCAUGUUUGACAAUGGAUUUGUAAUUGAAAAGAACAAUUUGGAUCUUACAUUGAGUGAAAUAUAUAGAAUGAUAUACUAUUUUUUAUGGCAUAUGUGAUUCAAUCCUUGAUGAUAAAAGCAAAUUCAAGUGUUUUCUUUAAUGUUUGUGCUGAUAUUAGAUUAAUUAAAUAAUUUAGUAGAUGAAGGAAAAUGGUGAAAUCAUAUUAUCUUCUCUUUCCUAAUAUCACUAUUUAAUUAUUGAUUGAACUUAGAUAUUACAAAUAAUAAAUCUCAAGGGAGAUUAGUAUAAUUUUCAAAUUUUGGAGAGAAGCUAAUGAAAUAGUCAAAAACCUUAAGGGAGGUUUACAAAAUUAUCCCAAAUUUGUGGGAAUUAGAAUAAUUGUACUGGACGGCACUGCCGCAACAGAGGGAAAGAGGAGGAGGUGCAGUUAACUUUUUGUUGUUUGAAAUCCUUGGUGAAAUAUUACAGAAAGACAGAUAAAACAGUUAGUACAUAGAUGUAUAUGACAGGGAAAAUGGUACGUCUGUUAAUCACAUUUGAAACACUUUCAUUGGUGAAUGACGAAAACUAUCAGGCUUGCCCAAUAGUUGAUCAUUGACCAAGACAAAUCUUGCCAUGCUAGAGGUACCAUCUUUUCGUACCUCUUUAGUGCACAGGACAUUCCUUUGUUUCAUCUAGCUAAUAAUCUACCAACUCAUUUCUUUGCAAAUGCACCUUUUAUGGUCACGUCUACGAAAGCUUUACAGGAUCUUUACCCAAAAAAUCAAUUCACCGACUCGCAUUUGAUGUCAAAAUUUCUUUACUUUACUCCAAGAUUGACUGUUAAUAAUAAUGCCACUUUGAAUUAUCACACCAUCCUUCUUGAUAGGAUUUGUGCUAGAGGUAGGGAGGGAGUCGCUGCAGCCGGUCUUCUCUUCAUAGACAGUACAAUAUUGCGAAAUCGAUCGCAUUCACGCAAUAUUAUAUUUCCAAGUCGUUGCAUGGGUAAGCUGCCAAAAAGUACGAACACAUGUUAUUAUAUAGCUUAAGAUUCAAAACUUUCGAGCAUAACCCUCCACCUAACACAAUUGAAUAAUGGAUAUUCACGAUUGUCAAAUCUGUCAAAGUACAGUUUGAGGACAACCCAUUCCAACCUGCAAAAGGUUUUUUUACUUUUCUAAAGUUGUUGAGAGCUGUUAAAAGAUUUACCAUGCUUACAUCUUCCGAGCCUUGGGAGUUAAAAAUGAAGGCACUGAGUGCUAUAAAAAGGGAAUAGAGGCUGCCUAGAAGCAUACCAGCCUAAAACAAGGAUUUGUAGUUAUGAUGGGAAGCAAAGCAAAAGCAAUGGGGUCUGGGCUGACUCCUCUUCUUGCCACUGUUUUAGUGGUGUUUGUUGCUCUUGGCUUGCCCUCAGAAACUGCAGCUGAUGAUCACUACAAGUAUUCAUCUCCUCCUCCUCCUUACACUAUCCCUCACCACCACCUCCAGUGCAUAUACCUCCACCUCAUCCUGUUUACAAGUACAAAUCUCCACCACCCCCACCACCACACCCAGUUUACAAGUAUAAGUCACCACCACCACCUCCUCAUCCGGUACCACACCCAGUUCCUCAUCCGGUGCCACACCCAGUUCCUCAUCCGGUGCCACACCCAGUUUACAAGUAUAAGUCACCACCACCACCUCCUCAUCCGGUACCACACCCAGUUCCUCAUCCGGUACCCACACCCAGUUUACAAGUAUAAGUCACACCACCACCUCCUCAUCCGGUACCACACCCAGUUUACAAGUAUAAGUCACCACCACCACCUCCUCAUCCGGUAUACAAGUAUAAGUCUCUCCGCCACCAACACCCAGUUUACAAGUAUAAGUCACCACCACCACCUCCUCAUCCGGUGCCACACCCAGUUUACCACUACAAGUCACCACCACCACCUCCUCAUCCGGUACCACACCAGUUUACCAUACAAGUCACCACCAAUCCUCACCCAGUUUACAAAUACGAGUCUCCACCACCUCCAGUUUAUAAGUACAAGUCACCACCACCUCCUCCACCAGUUUACAAGUAUAAAUCUCCUCCACCACCACCACCAGUUUACCACUACAAGUCUCCACCACCUCCUCCCCCAGUUUACAAAUACAAGUCUCCACCACCUCCUCACCACUACUAAGCAAUUGCUUCUGAGGUAAUAACACUUGUUCAAUAUACCCACUUCUGCAUGAUAAAGCAUAUCUCUAUCAACACAAACUGUCAUGUCUAUCAUGCUAAGUGCCUUCACUUCAUCCACCAAAAUGACUGCUAGAAAAUUUUUUUUAUGUUACCAAAGAAAGGCAUCAUUUUUUCCCUCUGUUAUCAAGAACUUGUACAGUAUAUAGAUUAAAGAGUUUUUAUUUUAACUAGCUUAUCAACUUAGAAAUGCAUAUAGCUGAUAACCAGCUGAAUAUUUGCAGGCAAAGGAGAAGGAAACCAUGUUUGAGACCUUCUUGAAGAUGUAGAAGCAUAAGAAUAAAAGCCCAAUGUGAAGAUGAUGAUUUCAAGUUUUUCUACGUUACCAUUUCUUUAUCUAAAUUGGUUGUAGCGCCCAAGUUCCUUUGUUUAUGGGAUUUGUAUCGUUUUACGUACCAUGCAGUACAUGUCAUGUUUGUAAGGUUUUCUAUCCUGCCGGCAAACCGCAGGUUCCAUGUGAUAAAUGAAUACUAUUUAUGUUACGACA